rnacentral:lncRNA from 1 species
UGUGUGUGAGCUAGCUGAGCUGGGCUGACGUACGUCGUGUGGCGCGCGGCAGGCCGGGCAGAGGCGGAGAUCGAGGCCGGUGGCGCUCGUCGUUUCUUCCUUCACUGUUUUCUCCAGCGAGUCGGACAUGCGCGCCCGGGCUCUCGCAAGCGCAAGCUCGGUACGUACUACGUUGGAGUGCGGGGACUGUGUCAUGCCCAUGCGCGUACGUACUAGCUGCUGCUGUAGCAGCAAUGGCUCGUCUUUACACCACUGGCCGUUGCUCGCCACUGCACACCGCGUUGCGCCCUGCGCGCGUGCGCUGCGCCUGCACUGCAGUCGACGGACGGCAUGCAUGCAGACAGAGCGGGGCAGAUCGAUGUACGUGCGUGCCCGGCCAUGCACGCACGCGGGCGCGCAGCUCAUAACUGGCCAAACCAGGCAGUGGCGAGUUACGUGUGCACGUACGUGCGUGCGGGCAGCGUGUGCAUGCAGCGUGUCGUCGUGUACAGCGGCUGAAACUUCAACUCCUUUCCCCUCUUCGUGGUAUGCCCUUUUCUGUAGGGUAAACCAUCGAAUCGAAUCGAAUGACUUGGUGCGUGGUGUGUGCUAGUCAGUCUCGCGCGUAACUUUGUUGCAGGCGAGCAUGCAAACCAAGGGAUACUUGCAGAAAACAGAAAUGGCCUCGCGCGUCAGUUGGGAAGGCCCAAACUCUGAAACAGGACCAUGAAGGUCCAACCGGAACCCUUUCGGGGGCGAGUCCCGGGAGAGCUCCGCUCGCUGCGGCGAAUUGUCGAGCGGACGCACAGGCGCGUCUCCAGCUGGGCCGGCUCAUUCGCGAAACGCAGUGAAAAAAUCCCAAAAAACUCUGCUGGAGAGAGGGAUCGAACCAGGAACCUCCAUCUUUCUACGCACGAGCAUAACCAUCGCAAUAGACAAGAUUUCUUCGUUUUCUAUGGCGUGCGGAGCUAAAUGUAAUGGAGACCCGAACAUUUUCUCAAAUUCCUAACGCGAAAAUUAUUUUGAAAAGGUGUUCCUUAAAAAGCGAACACUUUCCAAAUUUUAGAAGAAAAACUAAAAGGCAUGAAGAAAUUUUUGAUAAACUGAACACUUUUUAAAAUCAUGAACAUUUUUUGAAUUUAGGGAACAAAAUUUUGAAAUUGAGAACAAAAUUUGAACAUGAACAUUUUUUAAAGCACGAAUUUUUUUAAUCUUGAGAACAAAUUUUGAAACGGAGAACAAAUUUGUAAGCGCGGAAAUUUGAGAACAAAAUUUGAACAUGAACGUAUUUUAAAGCACGAACAUAUUUUGAAUCUUGAGAACAAAAUUUGAAACAGAGAAUAAAUUUGGAAGUGCGGAUUUUUUUUAAAGCAUGAACUUUUUUUUUGAAUCUUGAGAACAAAUGUUGAAACAUAGAAUAAAUUUGGAAGCGCGAACAAUUUCUUAAAGCACGAACAUUUUUUGAAUAUUGAGAACAAAUUAAAAAAAUCCCGAAUACAUUUGGAAGCGCAAACAUUUUUUGAAAACCUGAACAAAAAAGUUGAAGUCCGGUACAUUAUGUUAAUUUCGAAAAUUUUGCACUUUUUUGUGGAACGAGAACAAUUUUCUAAUUUUGAGAACAAUUUUUAAAAAACUGAACAUUUUAUGAAAAGGCAAACAAAAUUUGAAUAUUUUGAAAAAAAGAGAAAUCAAAAAGUGAAAUAAUAAACCAAAGAAAGAAAACAAACAGAAAAAACGAAAAAGAAGAAAAAAAAGGGAACAGAAAGGAAUUUGAAAAUCUGAAGAACAAAAAGGAAAUAGAAAGAGAAGAAAGGGAAUUGAAAAAAUGAAAUAAAGAAACAGAAAAACAAAGAAAGAAGAAAAAAAAGAAAGAAAAAAGAAACAGAAAAAGAAAAAAACCAGUGAAAAACCGGUUCAAGAACCUUCUGGAAGGUUCCCAAAACCGGUCAGGAACCUUCCAGAAAGUACCCAAAACCGGAUACUGUAGCGCGCGUAGUUGGGCCGGCCCAUCUGGAUCGGUAGGUCGCUCGGCUCUGUGCGUUCGCCCGACAAUCUGCCGCAAUGAGCGUCCGCUAGGAUAUUCCGAGUCCCGGGAACUCCUCCUGUCUAUACCUGGCCAUCCCUCGGGCCGGGCCGGGCUUCAGGCCAGGCCAACCAAAGCCCGACGCAAAAAACCCAGGCCCGAGCCCGGCCCGGCCUGGCUGUCGGGCCUAAAAAUUGGGCCCGAGCCCGGCCCAUCAUGCUAAAAGCCCGCCGGACCUCGGGCCACGGACCGGGCCUCUUCCUUAAACGGCGAAAUUGACGGGCCCAAGCCCGGGCUUCGGGCUCAAAACCUAGGCCCGAGCCCGGCCUGUGGACAAGGUCGGGCCGGGCCGGGUCGGGCUUUUUCGGGUCGGGUCGGGCCGACCGGGCCGGGCUGCCCAUGGCCAGGACUACUCCUGUCUGUCCGAAAUCACCAAUUUAAGGAGUUUCCCUUGUAAAUGCCACUCUCACGGUCUCACUUUAUUAGAUUGCGAUAGGUGACGCACUGUAUGUACGCUACUUUUUUCCUCACCAAUUCGCGGAAGCAAAAACACAUUUUUUUCGCUUUUCGAGAGGCAGAACUCGUCGAAGCAAACACGUGCUUCCACGAGAAGCAAACAUGUGACUCUCGCGGAAGGAAAUUUUUUUUUUCCGAGAGGCAUAGAUGUGCCUCUCGCGGAAGAAAAUAAACAUGUGUUCUCAUGCAAUUUUUCCCCAACACCUAGGGAAACACAAACAUUUUUUGAACUCCCAAACAAAUUUGAAAGGACAAACAUUUUAAUAAAUUAGCAAACAAUUUUGGAAACAAGACAUCAGUUUUAAAACUCCAAAAAAAAGAAAAAAAUGACAUUUUUAGAAUUACUAUUUUUUGAAAAGUUAUGAAAAUUUUGAACAAAAACAGUCCGAACAGUUUUUAAAAAACAUGAGCCUUUUUUGAAAAUCCUGGAAAAAAUAAUUAUGAUUUUUUAAAAUACAAACAUUUAAUUUUGGACAUGUUUUGUAGGAACGAAUAUUAUUUGAAACUAUGGAACAUUUUUCGCAAAAUGAACUUAAAAAAACAUUAAAAGGAAAAAGAAAAUAAAAAUAGAAAGAAAAAUAAGAAAAAGAAAAGAAAAAAUCACUUAUCAAGGGAUACCCCUUGCAAAGUCUACUCCCACCUUCUCUGGUGCUAAUAUGUGUUACUUGUUGUAACCUAUGAGUUUUUCCUUCCUAUUUUCGUUUUUUUAAUCUUUUGAACCAUAUGUCCAAAUCACAAACUAUUUUCACCCUUGGAUUUCUCGUGUUGAGAUCUUCGAAACCAAUCCCAUGAUUAUAUGUUUUGACCAUUUUUUUCAUAAAAAGGGAAAUAAAAAAUGGAAACCGAAAAAGCACAAUGGUGCUCUCCCUUUUUUGGGAAACACAACUGUGCCUUUCCAUUACGAAAAGCUCAUGUUGUGCGUCUCCCUUUUUAGGGAAGCAUAACCGUAUCUCUCACAGAAGCACAUAUUGUGUUUCCAAGGAAAAACACUGCUUAAAAAAUAAAAUUUGCCGCCAAAACCUAGGAAAAACAAGGGAAAAAACGAAAAGCCGAGAAAACACAAAAAACCCAAAUAAAAUAAGAAAACACUUCCAAAUAAAGGAAAUACCGAGAGGUCACCAGCGUGCGAGUCGUGGCGGCUCCUAGGCGCACCAAUUGCACGCUCCCAAGCCAGAAAGUGACUUAUAUGAUAGCCCUCAAAGGGUUCCCCUUUUGUUUCUCCUGAAAUCAAGUUGACUCCCUUAUUUUUUUAGGGGUAGUUGACUUCCGUAGGUGGCAAUUAGGCGAGGCGCGAUGCUAGCAUUAGAGACAUGUUGGGCCGGCCCAGUGGGAUACUUUAUGCGCUGUGCUAAUUAAUUGCAUGCUCCUGCAGUUUUACCCUUUUUAUUAUCUUGUGUUGUCUCUUGUUUUGAUUUUCUAUCAAGUUUCUUAUUCCAUUUUUUCCAUGGGAAAUUUUCUUCUUUUGUACAGUUUUCAUACCAUAAUUUGCAAAAAAAUGGAGAACAAUAUAAGAAUCCGCACUAAAUAUUAUUAAUAUACGAUCAACAUUUUCCUUAAUAAAUAGUGCACUUGUUGGCUACUAAGCGCAUGAGAAUGUCACCUCCGGAAAACCAUUGCCCCCCAGGGGCAACGUCAUCCAGGGGCGGAGCCCAAUGGGCCAACCCUGUAGCACAGGCUACAGGGUCCAAAAGAAAAUUUAGUGCUAAUUAUAAGGUAUAUGGCCCGAGGCAACAGGGUGGCCCAUCGAGUGUGCAUCAGGGUGGCCCAUGAAACCAAUGAACCAGGCCGCACCAGCUCCGAGGCACGCGCGUACGCUCUCGCAGCCCAACUCGCGGAUUCAGGUACGGCUGCGGCUGGGCGUUCGGUCUUCUAGUACGUGAUCGUGACUUUUCAGUUUUCUACUCGAGAAAAAAAACAGCGACCCCAGAUCCCAAUCCUAUAGUCUUCUCAUCUCCCGUGAUCUGUUCCUGGCGGCUGGGCGGCUGGCGUUCGUGCAGCAGCGGCCAGCCGGGCGCCGGCAACCAGAAGGCCGCCGAUCAACGGCAUGACGCCGGACGCCGAACUCCUCUAACGCGAGACGCGACUAGCCGACUACGCUUUGAGUCCAAGAGACUCAUUUCGUGAUUUCAAUUUCGAUAAUCUCAUGAGUUUGGCUAAACUAUACCCUCAGGAUUUUGAUUCCGGGGAUUUGAGGGAUCUUGAUAAGGAUCUAUGUCUCUAUAUUGCUGAUGUGCACACAGAUGCUAGCUUUUCCAACAUAGCAACAAUCACCGAGCUUUCAAAAAAAAUGGUGCAAACAAGGAGACAUAUUAUGUAUCCUUUGUUUUAUCGGUUGUUGAAACUAGUAAUUGUGUUGCCUAUUGCUACAGCUACAGUUGAGAGGUGCUUUUCAGCAAUGAAAUUGGUCAAAACUGACUUCGCAGUCGCCUCAAUGAUGACAGCUUGAGUGAUGAUGUUAUUUGUUAUGUGGAGAAAGAAGAGAUGAAAAAGGUCACCAAUGAUCAAGUGGUUGAGUAUUUCAUGGCUAGAAGGAAAAGAGUUUACUGAAGGUAAUUCAUAAAAAAAGCAAAUUAACGUACUUUCAUUUGUGCAUUUUAUUAUGUUCCACACUUCUACUUGAAAAUUCAAUACUAGUUUUUAUACUGUAGGUUAUUGAGUCUUGGUGUGUGAUGAGGUGUUUUGGAAUCUGAGAAUGCAAGACAUCCUUUUGAAGUAAAUUGUCAUUUGUUUUACUGUUUUAUUAAGCCGUUUACCUCUUACAUUUUGUUUUUUAUAAACCGACUUGUAUUAUGUUCUGUAAUUCGUGUUACAAGAUCUGAAACAUUUCUUUAUUCAUUGCAUCCUCGCUUGAAAAAUUUAUGCCAUAGUUAAGUGGUGCUUCAGGGUAAGAUUAGCUCCAGAUCCGCCCCUGACGUCAUCGCUGUCCCGGUCCCCUGUACGUCUCAAGUGAAAUUCUGACCCAACAACCGAAUGCGGCUCGGGAAACAGGAAAGUAGCCCGUUUCUUGCACGAUAAGACCGUCGGACAACGUUGCACCGACGUCCCGAUAAAGUUGCCUUCGGAAAAACGUUGCAUCCGUAACUUUAUUGCUGCAGGUGUGGCACACGCGUGAUUUGGCCUUGCAGGACGCCUUCGUGCAAGUGAUCCUCCCAUGCUCUGCAAGCGAACAUUUUAAUGUAUGGCAAAUAAUUUUAGUAUAGGAUGAGUUAUUUUAUAUAAGGGGAAUACAUUUUUUGAUAUGCAAAAACUUUUCUAAACACACAGUGCGUAUCGUUAUAAAAAUAUUUAUUUUAUAUUAUGUAUUUUAGCUCCAUAAAUUAUUUCAAUAAAAAUAAAUGGAAAACCGAAGGAAUAAAAAAACCAGGUUCAAAUGAGCUUGCCAGACUAGGCCGGCUCACUUACGGCUUUCGUUAGGUCAGGUGCUGCGUAUAUGGGCCCAUAUAUCUUUCUAUUAUAUCCCCACCAGUCUUCUUUUGGUGUCCUUUUUUUUUCGUCAUUUUUUAGUUUCUCUAAUUUUAAUUUUGUGAAUAUUUUAAAAAUUCAUAUUUUUUUAGAACAUAAUUCAUUUUCUUGAAAUCAGGGAACAUUCCUUAAACUUGUGAACAAUUUGUAGAAUUUGGAUUUUUUUUUGAAUUUCGGAGUACUUUUUGAGAUUGAGAUAAAAAAUUCAAAUUAUUGAUUUUAUUUAUAUUUAGAACUUUGUUUUUAAUCCUGGGAUACUAUUCAAAUAUUUGAAUUUUUUUAGUUUAGCACAUCUAACUACAUGAGUUGUUUUAAAUUUACAAUUUUGAAAUAAAAAUAUGUUUCAAAAAAUUUAAACGUUUUAAAAAAUUUGUAAACUUUUUCAAAUUCAUGGACAUUUUUUGAAAUUCAAAUGUAUUUGCAAUUUCACUUUUUUUGAAAUGUGAAAGAAUUUUUCGAAUUGAUGGAGGAAAGUGAAAAUUCCAUGGAAAUUUUGAAGAUUUGAUAAGGGAAAAAGGAAACAACGGGACGCCCCGCCUGGCACAUGCGCGUCGCCAAUAGCACGGGGGUGUAACAUGCAAGAGUCCUUUAUGCGCGGGAGCUACUGCUGCCUCUUGCGCUCGGCUAGUGGGCCUGCCUAGUACUAUAGUUGCAUCUGUGUGAGUAUUUUCCUAUUCCUCUUGGUUUUUUCCCGGCUUUCACUACUUGCGUCAGGUUUCCCGCUUUUUCUCUGGUUUCUUAGGUUUACAUUGGUUUUCAUCAGCUUUCUUAUUUUUUUAUUUUUCAUAUGUCUUUCAUUACAUGUCUGGUUUUUUCAUACACAUCGUACAUUUUUCGUCUACAAAGGGGAAAAUUAUGCACGUUUAUCUUUUUCAAAUACAUGAUUAUCAUUUUUGCAAAUAUAUAUAUUUUGUCCAACUAUUUUCACAAAUAUUGCAUAUUUUUUGUAUACAUCUAAAUCAUAUUUAUACACAUAUAAUACUUUUCAAAUGCAUGAUUAGCAUUUUUCAAAACCAAAUACGUGUUAAAACUUUUCUAAUACAUGUUGAAACAUUUUAGAACUAUGCGGCCAUUUUUAAAAUCANNNNNNNNNNNNNNNNNNNNNNNNNNNNNNNNNNNNNNNNNNNNNNNNNNNNNNNNNNNNNNNNNNNNNNNNNNNNNNNNNNNNNNNNNNNNNNNNNNNNNNNNNNNNNNNNNNNNNNNNNNNNNNNNNNNNNNNNNNNNNNNNNNNNNNNNNNNNNNNNNNNNNNNNNNNNNNNNNNNNNNNNNNNNNNNNNNNNNNNNNNNNNNNNNNNNNNNNNNNNNNNNNNNNNNNNNNNNNNNNNNNNNNNNNNNNNNNNNNNNNNNNNNNNNNNNNNNNNNNNNNNNNNNNNNNNNNNNNNNNNNNNNNNNNNNNNNNNNNNNNNNNNNNNNNNNNNNNNNNNNNNNNNNNNNNNNNNNNNNNNNNNNNNNNNNNNNNNNNNNNNNNNNNNNNNNNNNNNNNNNNNNNNNNNNNNNNNNNAACAUAUCUUUGAAAAACUCAAACAUUUAGAAAAAUGCAAUGUACAUUUUUAUGAUUGGUAUGCUACAUUUUCUUUUGAAUUACACAAACAUUUUAUUACAUUGCAACUUUUUUUUACUAAUGUCACGUAAAAUUGUUUGAAACAUGCGGACAUUUUUGAAUUCUAUCAGCAAUUUCCUGAAUUAGACUAACAGAAUUUACAGCGCGUUAACAUUUUUAAAAUUCAUGGCGAACUUUUUUUAGAGUUUGAAGUACAUUAUGUUUUUUGCCAUAUUUGUAUUUAUAAUAAUAAUAAGUUCUAUGACUAUGAUGUUAAUAAAAUUAUAAUGAUGAUGAUAAUAAUAAAAAAUGGAAUAAUAAAAAAAGAAAUGUAUGUGUACCUGCGUGAUUAUGGGCCGGCCAGUUUUGGAUCCUUGUGGUGAGAUGGGCUUGUGCCUUGCUGUGGCGAGACAUAACCGCUUCCUCCUUUAUGGGUCGUAAGUGCCACUGUCGUUUCAUUGCCUGAUGGGCUUUCACUCCGAAAAUUAUCAUUUUUUUUGCGGGUGAUAAAUUGUAUUACUCAAACCAUAGUAGUGUUACACUCAGCAGUAGCUAGUUCCAGAGCGCAAGAAGGACCAGAACCUAUCCAAGUCAUUGUUCUACCCUCUGUGCGAGCGAAAUUCGCUAAGCUAUCGCUAACUUUAUUUUGAGGACGACUAAUAUGAGUAAUACAAUUUUCACGAAGAGAUAAGAGAUAUCUAAUCUCUUUAACUAGAGAAGCAUAAAUAGACCUGUCUUGAUCACGCCCCUGGAUCAUCUUGACUGCAACUAAUGAGUCCAUCUCAAUGACAACUGGGAGCUCACUUCUCUGGAUCGCAAACGAUAAGCCCUCCAUGCAAGCACACAACUCUGCCUCCAGAGCAUCCCGACAAGAGUAAAGCGUCCUGCACGCGGAGAAGAUUAUAUUUCCCUGGUCAUCUCGAAGCACCAUACCUGCACCAGCCGCACCUGCUGAAUGAGACCCAUCGGAGUUAAGUUUAACCCACCCAUUUGGCGGAGAGGACCAUGGGGGGGGCACAGGCAUAGCUUGAACUGGUGUUUGAUACCUCAUGCGAUCAUAAGUUAUAGUUGUUUUACCCUUAUCUGGAUCCAUAUGUGAGUUUAACUUGAUAGCAAUUAAAAACUUCAAAUAGCUGAGAAGAAAUCUCUUUGAUACUUCCAAAGGGGGCGGAUUCUUAUGGUGAACAAUUUCAUUCCGGAUGAACCAACAAUGGCACAAUGUCAUCAGAACCAUGCACCUUUGGGUGUCAUGCAAAUGCUGCAGCACAUGGAAUAGCCACUCCUUGCCUGUGUUUUGGAUCAAAUCAAUGUCAGGCAACUGCCACACAUUCGACAUAAACCACCAUAAUUCCCGAGCUCUAGGGCAUCGACACAAGGGGUGGAAGUUAUCUUCAGGCUCCAAACCACACACCAGGCAUACAGCCGUUGUCUCCAAGGUUCUCUUAUGUUUAUUGACCCAAGUAGGCAGAGAAUCCGUGAUUACCCACCAAGCAAAGUUCCAUACUGUAGGGGGUACAUCAGUAGACCAUACCAAUUUGCACAUCGCCCUUCUACCAUCAGGAUUAAUGCUAGACGCUGAAGCAUGCUCUCUGUACAUUUCCUCAAAAGCGAAAUUAUAGGCAAAUUUAACCGAGAAUUGGCCACAUUUUCCCGGUCCCCAUGCUAGGAUAUCUUCCUCAUUCCUAGGGGACGCUCUAAUUUUGAGGAUCUCAUCAACAUCACAAGGUAAAAAAUAGUUCUGUAGUAGCUCAAGGUUCCAGGACCCAUUUUCAUUCAAAAGCUCAGAUACAAAGCAAAUACGGCAAAGACCUUUUGGGGAUCGAUACUGGUUUGAACGAGUAGGGUCUUGGUAUGCAGUUAUCCCUCCAAACUCUUAUAUGCUUGCAUUGCCGACCCUCCAAACAAGGCCUUCUUUUAGUAGCUCUACUUCAUAGCUGAUCGCUUGCCAAGAGGGCGAAGCAUUCCUAGAAAAGACUGUAUCCUCCAAUUUACCAUUUGGAUAGUAUCUUGAUUUCAGCAAGCGUGCACACACGCUCUCGGGUCUGUCAAUGAGUUGCCAUGCUUGGCGUGCUAGGAGUGCUUGAUUAAAUAUCCUAUAGUCCCAGAAUCCAAGCCCUCCUUUGCACUUUGGCUGUAACAGAUUAGCCCAAGCCUUCCAAUGCACUUUUUUGCGAUCGUUUUUAGAACCCCAAUAGAAAUUUCUAACCAUCCUUGUUAGUUCAUCGCAAAUUGAAAACGGAAGUUUGAAAACACCCAUUAUAUAUGUAGGCAGAGCUUGAGCAACUGAUUUUAUCAAUACCUCUCUACCAGGUUGAGCUAGCCAUCCAUCCCCCCAUUGGAUUAGCCUUUUAGUGAGACUAGCUUGCAGGUUUUGGAAUCACCCUUUUGACAUCCGACCUUCAGGUGUAGGAAGGCCUAGGUAUUUGUCCUCAAACUCCAGCUUAGUAACAUUCAGUACAGCCCUGACAUCAUCCUGUAUGGCCGAUGGACAAGCUUCACCAAACAUGAUCGAGCACUUACUCAAGUUAAUGCUCUGUCCUGUGGCACUUGCAUACAAGUCCAUGGCGGCUUUCACUCUUAAAGCUUGCUCCUGUGUAGCUUCAAAGAAAAGUAAAGUAUCAUCUGCAAAUAAAAGGUGUGAGAUCCCUGGUGCACUUCUACAGAUUUUAAUAGGCGUGAUGUUACCAACAUUAACCUCGUGCUUCAAAUGGCAGAUAGCCCAUCAGCCACCAAUAAGAAUAAAAACGGUGAUAAAGGGUUUCCUUGCCGUAGCCCACGCGACGGUGCAAACGAAUCUAAGAGGGUUCCAUUUAAUUUAACUGAAUACCUCACCGAUGUGACACAUGCCAUUAUCCAGUCCACCCAUCGAUGAGAAAAACCCAACUUCUGCAUCAUUUGCUUCAAGAAUGCCCAGUCCACUCGAUCAUAUGCUUUUGACAGGUCCAAUUUGUAAGCACAAAACCUCUUGGUAGGGUCCUUUUCCUGUUUAAUAUGAUGGAUGCACUCAAAGGCAAUAAGUGCAUUAUCUGUUAUCAUCCUCCCCGGGAUAAAGGCGCUUUGUUCCUGUGAUAUAAUGCCAUCCAGUUAUGGUCGCAAACGGUUAACCAAACACUUAGAGAUAACCUUAUAAACGACAUUACAUAGGUUUAUAGGUCUAAACUCAGUCAACUUAGUAGGAUUAGGGGUUUUGGGGAUGAGAACAAUGGAAGUUGAGUUAACCUCCUCUUGCAUUACCCUUGUUGUAAACAAAUCCUUGACUGACUUUGUAAUGCUGUCCCGGAGCGUACUCCAAUUGUGCUGAAAAAUCGGGCUGGAAAACCGUCCAACCCCGGAGCCUUCAGCGGCCCGAUCUGAAAAAGAGCGUCCGCUAUCUCCUUGUUGGUGAAAGGUUCACAUAAUUUUUCAUUAUCCUCAUCAGUGACCAUAGCAUCACAAAGAUUCAGUACAUGAGAGUAGUCAAGGUACGGAUCAGCCGAAAAAAUGGAUUGGAAGUACUUGUUUGCCAUAGUUUUCAUUGUGUCCACAUCAGAAUGAGCUAUCCCAUUGUCAUCGACAAGCUCCCGGAUCUUAUUCUUUCGAGCCCUCCAAAUCGCCUUACUUUGGAAGUAUUUCGUGUUCCUAUCGCCUUCUUUUAACCAAGUUAUCCUUGACCUUUGCAACCAUAACAUCUCUUCCUGAUAUAAUAGUUCAUUCAUCUUGUCUGUCACUCUCCUUAUAUCCUGUUGAUCAGCGUUCAUGUUCAUUAACUCUUCUAGCUGCGAUCGGGACUUCGCGAGCUCACGUGUAACGCUUCCAAACUUUUUCCUGCUCCACAAUCCAAGAGUAGACAUGGUUUUCUUCAACGCAGACUGUAGAUGUUCUAGGUUGUUGACAGAACCAGCCGACUCCCAGGCUCUCUGUACUAAUUCUGGAAGCUCGCCACUCCUUUCCCAGAAUAUUUCAUAUUGACGCGAGCGGCCACCACUCGGACCUGUGUCCGGCGUACGUUUCAGGAGCAGAACUACAUGGCCGGAGCAGGCCGACACCACAUGAGUUAGUGAGGAAAAAGCAAAUAUAUUACGCCAUGCAUUGAAGCCAGUGCUCGAUCCAGACGGACUCGUACAUUCGCUGUACCACUCCUCUUGUCGUCAUAUGUGAAAGGCACCCCCGAGAAGCCAAUAUCCACUAGCUGACAUACUUCAAGUGUAUCUCGGAAAGCAAACAUUUGAGGCACCGGUCUGGGUGUGGCUGACAUAUGCUCGAAAUCCCAGAGGCAUUCAUUAAAAUCACCGAUCACCAACCAAGGUAGAUCCGAUGAUGAGUAUAAGGACUGCAGCUUCUGCCACACGAGAUGCCGAUUCUCCACCCGCGGCUCGCCAUAAACAAAAGUAACUCUCCAUUGUUCAGCAUCUGCAUGCACAUGAACAGUAGCGUCUAUGAAUCGAUCAUCUUUGUCCUGAACAUGAACCACCCAACUCUCAUGCCAAAACAAGGCAAGACCUCCACUAAGUCCAUUACUAUCCACACCUUCGAAGCCUUUUAGUCCCAAACGGCCUCUCAAUCUCCUCAUCCUCUCUUCCUUCUGUCUGGUUUCACACAAAAAGACCAUCAUGGGGGAAUGCGACUGUACAAGCGUCGCUAACUGUCCAGGAAUUCCCCCCUCCCCGACUGUUCCAGCCCAUGAGAUUCAUUGGUCACGGUUGUUACUACCCAUUCUCGAUCUCUUGGGACGGGGGGCUUUGGGAAACAGUCCCCCCGCCCCGUAAAGAUGUAGCAUUGUGAAAUUUAUCUUUCUCUUUGUAUCUCCCUUCCAUACUUUUUCCAAUCACCACGACACGACUUUUGGUAAUAGAUUCAAAGUCCAAAGCAAGUGAAAUAAAUGUGCAAACAUCACAUCUAAACAACUAAACAUGGUGUUUCUCCAAUUCUUUAGCCUCGUCGAAACACCUAAUUUUAUGGACAAUGAUCUUUAAAAUUUUGAAACUCUCAAGAUUGUUAUUCUAAAAUGAGCAUCAUGUCAUCGACAUGGUAAGGAAUGAGAAGACCACCCCACAUACAUGUCCAGCCUUAUUUAUUCUCUAUGUUGUUCUUGAUAGCAUAUCUGCCGGUUCGAGGCCUCUCUUAUGAGUCUAGAAGAAUUUCCAUUGUUCAAUUAAUAACACCCACACACAUGAAAUUACCAAUUAAUCCAUGCGCCAGAUGUAGAUAGAGCUCCCUCUAGAUCCAUGACCAUACCCAAAUACACGUAUGUUGUCCACUUGCGAAGGUAUUCACGUGUCACAAAUUUUGCUGAUGCCCACAUGCGUUGGAUAACCAGCUAUCCAUGGGGAUAUCCAUGGAGCAACAGAAACACCACCAACAAUAAUUUAUAAAUGGCAACCACGACACUCAAGACUAUUUUUUAAAAACUUAAUACUAAUACUUAAUUGUCUCACUUUCACACAAGUGAUCAACACAAUCCUCAAUCAUUUGAUGCAAAAAUGUGGUGAUGAGUAGUCGGGCUAGGACAGGGAGAGUGGCAGGUUGGUAAUUAGUGAUGGUGAGCAUAUGGGUUAGCCGAUUAGGUGGCUUGGGUAACGGGGAUUGAGGAUCAGGUUGGGGUCAUAACAGAACACCAAACAUAUAUCAUUAGAUAAAUCUUCAAACAAGCUUUCACCCCAUUUUUUAUUAAUAAAGCCACAUGACCAAACAUUAGAUGACAGGAAAUCCUCAUAAGGUGAUCAAACUAGCCAAAAUCGCUAAAAAACGCACGAGUGUGCACCACUAAAUGACUCACGGGAUUCACCAAGAAGAACCACAAGACUACGCCGUCACGCCCGAGGGGCCUCGGCACUUAUCGUCGACGCCUCUCUACGAGGGACAAGACGUGGAACGCGCAAGCCGAAGCGAAGAAAGGUUUUCACCCCGAGUGCCGUAGUUUAGGGAGAGAGUUAAGGCAGUGCCUCGAGAGAAGAGCGGUACCCGCAUGCAUCGCUGCUACCGGCGCCGAGGUGCGGAGAUUUUGCUCGACUUCCCCUACUCAUACAUCUUGGGAUCAUGCCACGAACCCUAUCCCAGCGGAACAGGGACUCCGAAUCCAAACCAAGGCUUGGCCGCCACCAUCGGCGACAGCUUCACCAGGACCACCCGUCAAAGAACACCUCGCCACCCACAUGACCAAAGCGCACUGCCAACACAUGCUGCAAUGCCGCUCGCCAGAGAGCCAAUCUGUGCAACUUUACCAUCUAGGGCCACCGCCCUCACUUCCAAGACUCAACCAGAACCACCGCCAAGACAACAGGCCGAUGAACCACAUGGAUUGAUAUGAACAACGCAUGGGCGGAACCGCCAUGCCAUAGCACAACAAUGGCCAUGAAUGGCCAACAUCUGUGUCAAUCCGCGUGUGAGUGACCCAGACAUGGGAACCGAAUCCCAGCUGGAUCCAACCCCUACUUCGUCUAAGGGCGCGUAUCUUUGGGGUCAGCAGACAUCAUCGCCGAUGCAGCCCUGAACGGGCUGUCAGAGCAGCAUACCGGCACGUGCCAGGUCCAGUCCAACCCUCGAAGCCUGCACGUGCCAGGUCCAGUCCAACCCUUGUGUGAGUGACCCAGACAUGGGAACCGAAUCCCAGCUGGAUCCAAACCCUACUUCGUCUAAGGGCGCGUAUCUUUGGGGUCAGCAGACAUCGUCGCCGAUGCAGCCAUACACGGGCCGUCGGAGCAGCAUGCCUGCACGUGCCAGGUCCAGUCCAACCCUCGAAGCCUGCCACUCCCUAACCCUAGAUCUUUCCCACCGGCCAUCGGUCACCUGCAUGCCACCACCCCCGCCCUCGUGAACGGACUGGACCAAGUGCACUCCCAUCCUACAUCGGCGGGGAAGCCGCCUCACGCCAUCCGAAGGAGCAGGCCCACCGGAAACACUAGAUGGCUGACGGCUCGCGCACACCAUCUAGCCGCCACCACGCCACACAGCUAGGCCUCCCAACAUCGCCGAUCCACGCCAGCCACCCGUCAGGGAGUGUCGCCUCAUCAUCGGCGCACCCGUAAACUCAGGCGAGGUGCCCUACAGCCGUCAGACGCUUGGCUGGGGGGGGGGGGAGAGGUCGACCCAGGGGACCACCCCAACCGCCUUCAUUGGGUCCGCUUGUCUUUGCCGGCAGGAUCACAGGCGGCGACAUGAUCAAAAGGAUGAGGGGGUGAGAGCAAUGGUGGCACAAUGAGUCACCCCUGUGUCGAGAGGAGGGCGAUGCAUGAGGGUGUUUUCGUCUCCCCCUUACUUUUCUGUAGCGACCGUACCAUUAGAUAACACAUAAAACAUAUAAGUAUAUUGUAUAUAUUAUAUUGUAGAUAUAAUAGUUUUCACUGUGAACUUGGCACGUUAGAUUCAUCCAACUUCCACAAUAUAUUAAAAGUUGAAACAAACAUUCGGAGUUCCAUUUGGGUACAUCCUCUAACUUACCCACUCGGGUUUCAAACUUUUCUAAUCUCUCUUCAUAUAGAAAGGAAAACCAUUCAUGCAUAUCUUUUUGAAGCACUGACAGUCGAACAAUCGUUACAAUUUUCUCAUUAAAUAAAUGCUUUUGGUGAAGCACAUCUGGUUGUGCUAUACGUAUACCUAAGUUCUCUCUCAUUGAUUUUAUAUGAAGAUUUAUGUGCUUUUUCUUUUUUAUAUUUGACUGAGUGUGCAAUAACUAUGAACAGACACCUUUUUUUUUGAAAGAAAGCCUCUUGGCACUUUAUUGCAAACUUGAGAGUUACAUCAUUCAGUACAUGAGGUAAUAGAAAAUUAGGCGGAACAUCAUCCCACCAUAUCAUUUCUUUUGAGUCAUAAGCAUGUCUCGCUAAAACAUGUGCCAACUUAUUUGCUUCCCUGCGGCAAUGACGGAACUGAAUCGACGAUAUCUCAUGUGCAAGUUGGAAAGCAUCAUAUAAAAUAGCAGUAUAUGAUGCCAGUAUCUCUGAACCUCCAUUGCAAGCGGUAACGAGCUCUAAACAGUCUAACUCCAUGGUGAUUUUUGAGCAUCCAAUAUCACGUACUAGUCGAAGACCAAGGUAAAGUGCCAUUGCUUUUGCAGACGCAACACCUGAGGCAUAACUGAAAAUCUGCAGCACCGGCAACUGCUUGCCCACAACUGUUACGCACAACAGCAACCAUUGAUCCUGUACCAUCUUCAAAGAAAAAUGCAUCAGUGUUUAACUUGUAAGUACCAAUACGUGGUUUCUCCCAGCCUACUCUUCUCGCCUGCUCCUAAGGAGACUUCUCUGCAUAGUCUGUCGUUAGUGAUUGGAUAGCGAAAGCUGAGCUAAGAGGUCGUUUGACGUUCUCACCUUUCCUUGCUUCUCUCCUUUCCCACCAUAUGUACCAUGAGGCCACAACCACUGUUUCUUGCAAGCCUAGCUGCCCUAACACCGACGACUUCCUGUGUGCCCAUCGUAGGAUUUCUUCCAAAACUACAGAGCCUGAAAGAUCCACUGCCAAAGCUUGAUCAAUAACUGUAUUAAGGCCAAGUGCCUUCCAAACUUGCCAAGCGCGUGUACAAGUAAACAGCAAAUGGCGAAUAUCUUCAGGCCGAGAAUGACAAAUAGUACAUUCUGCUGAGACUUUAAUAUGCCUAGAAGUGAGAACUGCCAUACCAGGAACAACACCUUUAAGAGCUCGCUAGAUGAAGAUUUUUAUCUUACUAGGGACUUCCAACUUCCACACAGCCGACCAAACGGGAUUAACCGAUUAACAUUUGAGGUCCCUUCACUACUACUAAUUUUUGAACCAAACUGGUGUUCUCAUUCUAAGUAGUAGGCUGACUGAACAGAAAAUGAGUGCGAUUUGGUCUUAUGCCAUGCUACAAAAUCCUCAUUAGAUGCACUGAUAGAGGAAUUCUCAAAAUUCUUUCUGCAUCAAUUGGAAGAAAAAUAAUCCUGAUAAUUUCCACAUCCCAGGCUCCUGUAUUGGGAUCAAUCAACUCAUCAUUCACCGUUCUUAGUAAUAUGUUCCCUUUCCUUGUCUGGAUCAUCCUUGUUGGACUCGAAGGUACCCAAUGGUCCUCCUAGAUAUUUAUUUUCUCACCGGAACCAACUCUCCAAAUGUGGCCUCUCCUGAAUGUUUGCAGACCAGCGACGAUACUCUGCCACGUAAAAGAUGAUCCUUUUUUGGUCCUGCCUUUAAAAUAUUCCCAUCAGGAAAGUAUUUUGCUCUUAAGACAGUAGCACAAAGAGCGUCCGGAUGCUUUAUCAUUCGCCAACUUUGUUUCGCUAGCAUGUCUAAAUUAAAAGCAUGGAGGUCCCGAAACCCCAUACCUCCUUUAUCUUUUGGAAGGCACAUCCUCCACCAAGCUAGCCAGUGCAUUUUCUUCUCUUGCUCUGUAUCCCCCACCAAAAAGCCACCAUUGCAUCUGUGAUUUCUUUACAUAUUUUCUUUGGAAUUUUAAAAACAGCCAUGACAUAAACUGGGAUAGAUUGGAUAAUUGCUUUCAAAAGAAUGUCCUUUCCUCUUAAGGACAACAACUUUUCCUUCCAACCUUUAAGUCGAUUCACAACUCUUUCAACGAGAUAAGAGAAACUAUCACUCCGGUCCAAACCCACCAUAGAUGGAAGGCCAAGAUAUGUGUGAGAGAUAGCUUCCGUCAUUAUAUCAGUUCUGCACAGACCUGAGCUUUGAUAUCCACAUUCACAUUUGGGCUAAAGAAGAUACCACGCUUCCCUUCACUCAUCAAUUGUCUAGAACUUACACAAUAUUCAUCCAAUACUUGUCUCAAUGAGGUUGCAUUAUUCAUAUCUGCUUUCAUAAGGAUUAAGGAAUCAUCAGCAAAUAGUAAAUGAGAGACUGAUGGUGCAUUUAUGCACACCCGAACACCUUCAAUGCCACGAAUCUUUAUGAGCCAAAGCACUAGAUAAACCACCUGCACACAUAAGAAAUAAAUAAGGUGAUAAGGGGUCCCCUUGUCAGAUCCCCCUCAAAUAAACACUUAAAUAAAGGGACCGUCUAUUUAACAGGUGCCUGAAAAAACCCUUUCCAUCAAUUACUUUAUUUCCCAACCAUCGGAUCCAGAUCUAACGGCCUCCAUCAUGCCGCGGACUAUUCAUCUUCUUCCUCCUGAUGGAAGAUCCCCGCAGCCUACCCCGCCCCAUCCGCCUGCCUUCGCCCCCCGCGGCCGGUGGGCGCUACCGCGCACUGCCUCGCCGCCUCGCCCUCCCCUCAACCUCCCCCACCGCCGUUGCUGGCCACCGCCCUGGCAUCCCUCUAGGCCCCGCUCCACCGGAGAAAACCUCCGAUGAUCCCCUGCACCCGCCCACCCCUAACAUACACUAGUAGAAAACUGGGCUUUGGUCACAGGGCAAUAUUCACAUUAGUCCCGGUUCAGUCACGAACCGGGACUAAUGUGAGCAUUGGUCCCGGUUCGUGCGGCCAGGGGCCUGCCGGGCCUCGUGGGGGCAUUGGUCCCGGUUCGUCCGGACCCUUUGGUCCCGAUUGGUGGGACAAACCGGGACCAAUGGGCCACGCUCCUGGCCCACCACCCUUUAGUCCCGGUUCCUACCACAAACCGGGACUAAAGGGCUGGUCCUAGUUGCGGCCAGUGUUUAGUCCCACCUCGCCAACCGAAGGGCGCUCACACCAGUUUAUAAGCCCGUCCCUCUCUGCCUUGUUGAGCUCCUCUUAAAGUGAAAAUAGAUGCCCUUAUACAGGGAAUUUGACCUAAAUUCACAGUAAAUUUCAUAGAAAUUUAUUAUGAAUUUAGGUUGAAUUUCCUCUAUAAGCGCAUCUAUGUUCAUUUUUUUAUAUUUAUAAAAUAAAUAAACCUUAAUAAAAUAAAUAAAANNNNNNNNNNNNNNNNNNNNNNNNNNNNNNNNNNNNNNNNNNNNNNNNNNNNNNNNNNNNNNNNNNNNNNNNNNNNNNNNNNNNNNNNNNNNNNNNNNNNNNNNNNNNNNNNNNNNNNNNNNNNNNNNNNNNNNNNNNNNNNNNNNNNNNNNNNNNNNNNNNNNNNNNNNNNNNNNNNNNNNNNNNNNNNNNNNNNNNNNNNNNNNNNNNNNNNNNNNNNNNNNNNNNNNNNNNNNNNNNNNNNNNNNNNNNNNNNNNNNNNNNNNNNNNNNNNNNNNNNNNNNNNNNNNNNNNNNNNNNNNNNNNNNNNNNNNNNNNNNNNNNNNNNNNNNNNNNNNNNNNNNNNNNNNNNNNNNNNNNNNNNNNNNNNNNNNNNNNNNNNNNNNNNNNNNNNNNNNNNNNNNNNNNNNNNNNNNNNNNNNNNNNNNNNNNNNNNNNNNNNNNNNNNNNNNNNNNNNNNNNNNNNNNNNNNNNNNNNNNNNNNNNNNNNNNNNNNNNNNNNNNNNNNNNNNNNNNNNNNNNNNNNNNNNNNNNNNNNNNNNNNNNNNNNNNNNNNNNNNNNNNNNNNNNNNNNNNNNNNNNNNNNNNCCAACCGGGACCAAAGGCCUUUAGUCCCGGUUGGUGCCACGAACCGGGACCAAUGAGUUCCCUAUAUAUACCCCAUCGCCACAGCAGAGCACUCCAGAGUGCUCUGUUUUUUCUGGCCGGCGAGGGGAGGGCAUUUGGGUGCUCUAGCUCACCUCCUAUGCACAUGAGGUGUUCGACGAAAUGUCUGAGCCACACUAGUUAAUCUUUCUCCUCUCGAAACUCGACCUCCGAGCUCCAUUUUCCCCGAGAUUUGUCUAGGUUUACCGGUCCGUCACGUCCCGUCCCCAUCUUCACCGCCGUCAAUCGCCCGCGCCGAUCUCGUCGCCAGCACCACCGUGGUGAGCCUCUUGUUCUUAUCUUCUUUCUGAAAGGAAAAAAUUCUUACUUUAGAUAGUUACUUGUCUAAUUUUGUUACUUUUAUUAUUCCUUCUUAUUACAUAGUGCGAUGGUUUUGGUAUCCGCCCCCGUCGGCCCUCAUCCUGCCUAUGAUUCGGAUGUGGUAUAUAUUAUCUUUUUAUAACUAUUUGGUUCAUUUAUUGUUUAUGACAAAUAUACCGACCAACGUGACAUAGAUUUUAUUUAUCUAGGAGGUGGUUGAACCGGAUAUUCUAACCGACCCUAUUGUCGAGAGGUUAAAUUUAGUUGAAGAAGAAAACAAUUACUUGAAGGAAAAAAUAAAAAAAAUUGAGGAGGAGAAGAUGAUAUUGGAGUUGCAUGUUGCGGAUGUCGUCGAUGAUCACAAGAUCAAGAUGGAUGCAAUGCGCUUGAAGAUUAGAAAGAUUAGAAAAUAUGCCAUUCAUACCGAGGCUUGGUAUCAUUAUGCCGUGGAUCAAUUGUUACCUUGGUUGCGAUUAUGAUCGCAUUUGUUUUCGCAUUGAAAUGUUUUACAUAGUUUCAAUGUAUGGUUUAAUUAAUUAGAUGCUCUGGAGAGCUAUAUAUAUGUUGUUAGAUGAGAACUAUGUAUGUACUUUGGUUUUAAUGUGAUGAUGAACUUCUAUUAAUUUGGCCACUUAAUUAUCUAUUCAUGAUGUUCUGUAAUGGUUUUUGACACACUUAAUUAUAUAUAAUGCACGCAGAUGAACCGGCAAUGGAUGUACGGUGACAGACACACCUCCGAGUACAUUAAGGGCGUGCAUGAUUUUCUCGAAGUGGCUGAGGCAAACAAGCAGAAUGGUUUUAUGUGUUGUCCAUGCCCUAUAUGUGGGAAUACGAAGUCUUACUCUGACCGGAAAAUCCUUCACACCCACCUGCUUUACAAGGGUUUCAUGCCACACUAUAAUGUUUGGACGAGGCACGGAGAAAUAGGGGUUAUGAUGGAAGACGGCGAAGAAGAAGAGGACGAUGACAACUAUGUGCCCCCUGAAUACGGUGAUGCUGCAACGGGGGAAGCUGCUGAAGAUCAAGAGGAACCAGACGAUGUGCCCAAUGAUGCUGCAAGGGGGGAAGCUGCUGAAGAUAAAGAGGAAUCAGUGCCCGAUGAUGAUGAUCUCCGCCGGGUCAUAGUCGAUGCAAGGACGCAAUGCGAAAGUCAAAAGGAGAAGCUGAAGUUCGAUCGCAUGUUAGAGGAUCACAAAAAAGGGUUGUACCCCAAUUGCGAAGAUGGCAACACAAAGCUCGGUACCGUACUGGAAUUGCUGCAGUGGAAGGCAGAGAAUGCUGUGCCUGACAAAGGAUUUGAGAAGCUAUAGAAAAUAUUGAAGAAGAAGCUUCCAAAGGAUAACGAAUUGCCCGACAGUACAUACGCAGCAAAGAAGGUCGUAUGCCCUCUAGGAUUGGAGGUGUAGAAGAUACAUGCAUGCCCUAAUGACUGCAUCCUCUACCGCGGUGCGUACAAGGAUCUGAACGCAUGCCUGCGGUGCAUUGCGGUAUAAGAUCAGACGAGAUGACCCUGGUGAUGUUGACGGCGAGCCCCCCAGGAAGAGGGUUCCUGCGAAGGUGAUGUGGUAUGCUCCUAUAAUACCACGGUUGAAACGUCUGUUCAGAAACGAAGAGCAUGCCAAGUUGAUGCGAUGGCACAGUGAGGACCGUAAGAAAGACGGGAAGUUGAGAGCACCCGCUGACGGGUCGCAGUGGAGAAAAAUCGAGAGAAAGCACUGAAGGAAAUAUGCCCUAGAGGCAAUAAUAAAGUUAUUAUUUAUUUCCUUGUAUCAUGAUAAAUAUUUAUUAUUCAUGCUAGAAUUGUAUGAACCGGAAACAUGAUACAUGUGUGAAUACAUAGACAAACAGAGUGUCACUAGUAUGCCUCUACUUGACUAGCUCGUUGAUCAAACAUGGUUAUGUUUCCUAGCCAUAGACAUGAGUUGUCAUUUGAUUAACGGGAUCACAUCAUUAGGAGAAUGAUGUGAUUGACCUGACCCAUUCUGUUAGCUUAGCACUCGAUCGUUUUAGUAUGUUGCUAUUGCUUUCUUCAUGACUUAUACAUGUUCCUAUGACUAUGAGAUUAUGCAACUCCCGUUUACCGGAGGAGCACUUUGUGUGCUACCAAACGUCACAACGUAACUGGGUGAUUAUAAAGGUGCUCUACAGGUGUCUCCGAAGGUACUUGUUGGGUUGGCGUAUUUCGCGAUUAGGAUUUGUCACUCCGAUUGUCGGAGAGGUAUCUCUGGGCCCUCUCGGUAAUGCACAUCACUUAAGCCUUGCAAGCAUUGCAACAAAUGAGUUUGUUACGAGAUGAUGUAUUACGGAACGAGUAAAGAGACUUGCCAGAAACGAGAUUGAACUAGGUAUUGAGAUACCGACGAUCGAAUCUCGGGCAAGUAACAUACCGAUGACAAAGGGAACAACGUAUGUUGUUAUGCAGUCUGACCGAUAAAGAUCUUCGUAGAAUAUGUGGGAGCCAAUAUGAGCAUCCAGGUUCCGCUAUUGGUUAUUGACCGGAGACGUGUCUCGGUCAUGUCUACAUAGUUCUCGAACCCGUAGGGUCCGCACGCUUAAAGUUAGAUGACGGUUAUAUUAUGAGUUUAUGUGUUUUGAUGUACCGAAGGAGUUCGGAGUCUCGGAUGAGAUCAGGGACUUGACGAGGAGUCUCAAAUGGUCGAGACGUAAAAAUCGAUAUAUUGGACGACUAUAUUCGGACAUCGGAAAGGUUCCGAGUGAUUCGGGUAUUUUUCAGAGUACCGGAGAGUUACGGGAAUUCGUAUUGGGCCUUAAUGGGCCAUACGGGAAAGGAGAGAAAGGCCCCAAAGGGUGGCCGCACCCCUUCCCAUGGACUAGUCCGAAUUGGACUAGGGAGGGGGGCGCCCCCUUCCUUCUUUCUCCUUCUCCCUUCCCUUUUCCUACUCCAACAAGGAAAGGAGGAGUCCUACUCCCGGUGGGAGUAGGACUCCCCCCUUGGUGCGCCCUCCUCCUUGGCCGGCCACCUCCCCCUUGCUCCUUUAUAUACGGGGGCAGGGGGCACCCCAUAGACACAACAAUUGAUCAUUGAUCUCUUAGCCGUGUGCGGUGCCCCCCUCCACCAUAUUACACCUCGAUAAUAUCGUAGCGGUGCUUAGGCGAAGCCCUGCGUCGGUAGAACAUCAACAUUGUCACCACGCCGUCGUGCUGACGAAACUCUCCCUCAACACUCGGCUGGAUCGGAGUUCGAGGGACGUCAUCGAGCUGAACGUGUGCUGAACUCGAAGGUGCCGUGCGUUCGGUACUUGAUCGGUCGGAUCGUGAAGACGUACGACUACAUCAACCGCGUUGUGUUAACGCUUCCUCUUUCGGUCUACGAGGGUACGUGGACAACACUCUCCCCUCUCGUUGCUAUGCAUCACCAUGAUCUUGCGUGUGCGUAGAAUUUUUUUGAAAUUACUACGUUCCCCAAGAGUGGCAUCAGAGCCUGGUUUUAUGCGUUGAUGUUAUAUGCACGAGUAGAACACAAGUGAGUUGUGGGCGAUAUAAGUCAUACUGCUUACCAGCAUGUCAUAUUUUGGUUCGACGGUAUUGUGAGAUGAAGCGGCCCGGACCGACAUUACGUGUACGCUUACGCGAGACUGGUUUCACCGUUGCGAGCACUCGUUGCUUAAAGGUGACUGGCGGGUGUCUGUCUCUCUCACUUUAGUUGAACCGAGUGUGGCUACGCCCGGUCCUUGUGAAGGUUAAAACAACACCAACUUGACAAACUAUCGUUGUGGUUUUGAUGCGUAGGUAAGAACGGUUCUUGCUAAGCCCGUAGCAGCCACGUAAAACUUGCAACAACAAAGUAGAGGACGUCUAACUUGUUUUUGCAGGGCAUGUUGUGAUGUGAUAUGGUCAAGACAUGAUGCUGAAUUUUAUUGUAUGAGAUGAUCAUGUUUUGUAACCGAGUUAUCGGCAACUGGCAGGAGCCAUAUGGUUGUCGCUUUAUUAUAUGCAAUGCAAUCACCAUGUAAUUGUUUUACUUUAUCACUAAGCGGUAGCGAUAGUCGUAGAAGCAAUAGUUGGCGAGACGACAACGAUGCUACGAUGAAGAUCAAGGUGUCGCGCCGGUGACGAUGGUGAUCAUGACGGUGCUUCGGAGAUGGAGAUCACAAGCACAAGAUGAUGAUGGCCAUAUCAUAUCACUUAUAUUUGAUUGCAUGUGAUGUUUAUCUUUUAUGCAUCUUAUCUUGCUUUGAUUGACAGUAGCAUUAUAAGAUGAUCUGUCACUAAAUUUCAAGAUAAAAGUGUUCUCCCUGAGUAUGCACCGUUGCCAAAGUUCGUCGUGCCCAGACACCACGUGAUGAUCGGGUGUGAUAAGCUCUACGUCCAUCUACAACGGGUGCAAGCCAGUUUUUGCACACGCAGAAUACUCAGGUUAAACUUGACGAGCCUAGCAUAUGCAGAUAUGGCCUCGGAACACUGAGACCGAAAGGUCAAGCGUGAAUCAUAUAGUAGAUAUGAUCAACAUAGUGAUGUUCACCAUUGAAAACUACUCCAUUUCACGUGAUGAUCGGUUAUGGUUUAGUUGAUUUGGAUCACGUAAUAACUUAGAUGAUUAGAGGGAUGUCUAUCUAAGUGGGAGUUCUUAAGUAAUAUGAUUAAUUGAACUUAAAUUUAUCAUGAACUUAGUCCUGAUAGUAUUUUGCAAAUUAUUUUGUAGAUCAAUAGCUCGCGUUGUUGCUUCCCUGUGUUUAUUUUUGAUAUGUUCCUAGAGAAAAAUUAUGUUAGUAGCAAAGAUGCGGAUUGGAUCCAUGAUCUGAGGAUUAUCCUCAUUGCUGCACAGAAACAUUAUGUAAUUGAUGCACCGCUAGGUGACAAACCUAUUGCAGGAGCAGAUGCAGACGUUAUGAACGUUUGGCUAGCUCAAUAUGAUGACUACUUGAUAGUUUAGUGCACCAUGAUUAACGGCUUAGAAUCGGGACUUCAAAGUCGUUUUGAACGUCAUGGACCAUAUGAGAUGCUCCAGGAGUUGAAGUUAAUAUUUCAAGCAAAUACCCGAGUUGAGAGAUAUAAAGUCUCCAACAAGUUCUAUAGCUAAAAGAUGGAGGAGAAUAACUCAAGCAGUGAGCAUGUGCUCAGAUUGUCUGGGUACUACAAUCGCUUGAAUCAAGUGGGAGUUAAUCUUCCAGAUAAAAUAGUGAUUGACAGAAUUCUCUAGUCACCAUCACCAAGUUAGUAGAACUUCGUGAUGAACUAUAGUAUGCAAGGGAUGACGAAAGUAAUUCCCGAGCUCUUCGUGAUGCUGAAAUCGACGAAGGUAGAAAUCAAGAAAAACAUCAAGUGUUGAUGGUUGACGAGACCACUAGUUUCAAGAAAAGGGGGGAAGAAGGGGAACUUCAAGAAGAACGGCAAGCAAGUUGCUGCUCAAGUGAAGAAGCCUAAGUCUGGUCCUAAGCCUGAGACUAAGUGCUUCUACUCACUGGAAGCGGAACUACCCCAACUAUUUGGUGGAUAAGAAGGAUGGCAAAGUGAACAAAGGUAUAUUUGAUAUACAUAUUAUUGAUGUGUAUUUUACUAGUGUUCAUAGAAACCCCUCGGUAUUUGAUACUGGUUCAGUUACUAAGAGUAUUAAUUCAAAACAGGAGUUGCGGAAUGAACAGAGACUAGUUAAGGGUGAAGUGACGAUGUGUGUUGGAAGUGGUUCCAAGAUUGAUAUGAUCAUCAUCGCACGCUCCCUACACUUUCGGGAUUAGUGUUGAACCUAAAUAAGUGUUAUUUGGUGUUUGCGUUGAGCAUGAAUAUGAUUUGAUCAUGUUUGUUGCAAUACGUUUAUUCAUUUAAGUUAGAGAAUAAUUGUUGUUCUGUUUACAUGAAUAAAACCUUAUAUGGUCAUACACCCAAUGAAAAUGGUUUGUUGGAUCUCGAUCGUAGUGAUACACAUAUUCAUAAUAUUGAAGCCAAAAGAUGCAAAGUUAAUAAUGAUAGUGCAACUUAUUUGUGGCACUGCCGUUUAGGUCAUAUUGGUGUAAAGCGCAUGAAGAAACUCCAUGCUGAUGGGAUUUUGGAAUCACUUGAUUAUGAAUCACUUGAUGCUUGCGAACCAUGCCUUAUGGGCAAGAUGACUAAGACUCUGUUCUCCGGAACAAUGGAGCGAGCAACUGACUUAUUGGAAAUAAUACAUACUGAUGUAUGCGAUCCAAUGAGUGUUGAGGCUCGCGGCGGGUAUCGUUAUUUUCUGACCUUCACAGAUGAUUUGAGCAGAUAUGGGUAUAUCUACUUGAUGAAACAUAAGUCUGAAGCAUUUGAAAAGUUCAAAAAAAUUCAAAGUGAAGUGGAAAAUCAUCGUGACAAGAAAAUAAGGUUUCUACGAUCUGAUCGUGGAGACAAAUAUUUGAGUUACGAGUUUGGCCUUCAGUUAAAACAAUGUGAAAUAGUUUUCACUACUCACGCCACCUGGAACACCAUAGUGUAAUGGUGUGUCCGAACAUCGUAACCGUACUUUAUUAGAUAUGGUGCGAUAUAUGAUGUCUCUUACCGAUCUACCACUAUCGUUUUGGGGUUAUGCAUUAGAGACAGCUACAUUCACGUUAAAUAGGGUACCAUCUAAAUCCGUUGAGACGACAUCUUAUGAACUGUGGUUUGGCAAGAAACCAAAGUUCUCGUUUCUUAAAGUUUGAGGUUGCGAUGCUUAUGUGAAAAAGUUUCAUCCUGAUAAGCUCAAACCCAAAUCGGAGAAAUGUGUCUUCAUAGGAUACCCAAAGGAGACAGUUGGGUACACCUUCUAUCACAGAUCCGAAGGCAAGGCAUUCGUUGCUAAGUAUGGAUCCUUUCUAGAGAAGGAGUUUCUCUCGAAAGAAGUGAGUGGGAGGAAAGGAGAACUUGAUGAGGUAAUUGUACCUGCUCCCUUAUUGGAAAGUAGUUCAUCACAGAAACCAGUUUCUGUGACGCCUAUAACAAUUAGUGAGGAAGUUAAUGAUGAUGAUCAUGGAACUUCAGAUCAAGUUAUUACUGAACCUUGUAGGUCAACCAGAGUAAGAUCCGCACCAGAGUGGUACGGUAAUCCUGUUCUGGAGGUUAUGUUACUAGACCAUGACGAACCUACGAACUAUGAAGAAGCGAUGGUGAGCCCAGAUUCCGCAAAAUGGCUUGAGGCCAUGAAAUCUGAGAUGAGAUCCAUGUAUGAGAACAAAGUAUGGACUUUGAUUGACUUGCCCAAUGAUCGGCGAGCCAUUGAGAUUAAAUGGAUCUUCAAGAGGAAGACGGACGCUGAUAGUAGUGUUACUAUCUACAAAGCUAGACUUGUCGGAAAAAAGGUUUUUGACAAAGUUCAAAGUGUUGAAUACGAUGAGAUUUUCUCACUCGCAGCGAUGCUUAAGUCUGUCCGAAUCAUGUUAGCAAUUGCCGUAUUUUAUGAAAUCUGGCAAAUGGAUAAACAAAACUGCAUUCCUUGAUGGAUUCAUUAAAGAAGAGUUGUAUAUGAUGCAACCAGAAGGUUUUGUCAAUCCUAAAGGUGCUAACAAAAUAUGCAAAAUCCAGCGAUCCAUCUAUGGACUGGUGCAAGCAUCUCGGAGUUGGAAUAUACGCUUUGAUAAGUUGAUCAAAGGAUAUAGUUUUAUACAGACUUGCGGUGAAGCCUGUAUUUACAAGAAAGUGAGUGGGAGCACUACAACAUUUCUGAUAAGUAUAUGUGAAUGACAUAUUGUUGAUCGAAAAUAAUGUAGAAUUAUUCUGCAAAGCAUAAAGGAGUGUUUGAAAGGAGUUUUUCAAAGAAAGACCUCAGUGAAGCUGCUUACACAUUGAGCAUCAAGAUCAUAGAGAUAGAUCAAAACGCUUGAUAAGUUUUUUCAAUGAGUACAUACCUUGACAAGAUUUUGAAGUAGUUCAAAAUGGAACAGUCAAAGAAAGAGUUCUUACCUAUGUUACAAGGUGUGAAAUUGAGUAAGACUCAAAGCCUGACCAUGGUAGAAGAUAGAAAGAGAAUGAAAGUCAUUCCCUAUGCCUCGGCCAUAGGUUCUAUAAAGUAUGCCAUGCUGUGUACCAGAUCUAUUGUAUACCCUACACUGAUUUUGGCAAGGGAGUACAAUAGUGAUCUAGGAGUAGAUCACUGGACAACGGUCAAAAUUAUCCUUACUGGAAUAAGGAUAUGUUUCUCGAUUAUGGAAGUGACAAAAGGUUCGUCAUAAAGGGUUACGUCGAUGCAAGUUUUGACACUAAUCUAGAUGACUCUAAGUCCUGGUCUAGAUACAUAUUGAAAGUGGGAGCGAUUAGCUAGAGUAGCUCCGUGCAGAGCAUUGUAGACAUAGAAAUUUGCAAAAUACUUACGAAUCUGAAUGUGACAGACCCGUUGACUAAAAUUACCUCACAAGCAAAACAUGAUCACACCUUAGUACUCUUUGGGUGUUAAUCACAUAGCGAUGUGAACUAGAUUACUGACUCUAGUAAACCCUUUGGGUGUUGGUCACAUGACGAUGUGAACUAUGGGUGUUAAUCACAUGGUGAUGUGAACUAUUGAUGUUAAAUCACAUGGCGAUGUGAACUAGAUUAUUGACUCUAGUGCAAGUGGGAGACUGAAGGAAAUAUGCCCUAGAGGCAAUAAUAAAGUUAUUAUUUAUUUCCUUAUAUCAUGAUAAAUGUUUAUUAUUCAUGCUAGAAUUGUAUUAACCGGAAACAUGAUACAUGUGUGAAUACAUCGACAAACAGAGUGUCACUAGUAUGCCUCUACUUGACUAGCUCGUUGAUCAAAGAUGGUUAUGUUUCCUAGCCAUAGACAUGAGUUGUCAUUUGAUUAACGGGAUCACAUCAUUAGGAGAAUGAUGUGAUUGACUUGACCCAUUCCGUUAGCUUAACACUCGAUCGUUUUAGUAUGUUGCUAUUGCUUUCUUCAUGACUUAUACAUGUUCCUAUGACUAUGAGAUUAUGCAACUCCCGUUUACCGGAGGAGCACUUUGUGUGCUACCAAACGUCACAUCAUAACUGGGUGAUUAUAAAGGUGCUCUACAGGUGUCUCCGAAGGUACUUGUUGGGUUGGCGUAUUUCGAGAUUAGGAUUUGUCACUCCGAUUGUCGGAGAGGUAUGUCUGGGCCCUCUCGGUAAUGCACAUCACUUAAGCCUUGCAAGCAUUGCAACAAAUGAGUUUGUUAUGAGAUGAUGUAUUACGGAACGAGUAAAGAGACUUGCCGGAAACGAGAUUGAACUAGGUAUUGAGAUACCGACGAUCGAAUCUCGGGCAAGUAACAUACCGAUGACAAAGGGAACAACGUAUGUUGUUAUGCGGUCUGACCGAUAAAGAUCUUCGUAGAAUAUGUGGGAGCCAAUAUGAGCAUCUAGGUUCCGCUAUUGGUUAUUGACCGGAGACGUGUCUCGGUCAUGUCUACAUAGUUCUCGAACCCGUAGGGUCCGCACGCUUAAAGUUAGAUGACGGUUAUAUUAUGAGUUUAUGUGUUUUGAUGUACCGAAGGAGUUCAGAGUCCCGGAUGAGAUCAGGGACUUGACGAGGAGUCUCGAAAUGGUCGAGACGUAAAAAUCGAUAUAUUGGACGACUAUAUUCGGACAUCGGAAAGGUUCCGAGUGAUUCGGGUAUUUUUCGGAGUACCGGAGAGUUACGGUAAUUCGUAUUGGGCCUUAAUGGGCCAUACGGGAAAGGAGAGAAAGGCCCCAAAGGGUGGCCGCACCCCUCCCCAUGGACUAGUCCGAAUUGGACUAGGGAGGGGGGCGCCCCCUUCCUUCUUUCUCCUUCUCCCUUCCCUUUUCCUACUCCAACAAGGAAAGGAGGAGUCCUACUCCCGGUGGGAGUAGGACUCCCCCCUUGGCGCGCCCUCCUCCUUGGCCGGCUGCCUCCCCUUGCUCCUUUAUAUACGGGGGCAGGGGGACACCCCAUAGACACAACAAUUGAUCAUUGAUCUCUUAGCCAUGUGCGGUGCCCCCUUCCAUCAUAUUACAUCUCGAUAAUAUCGUAGCGGUGCUUAGGCGAAGCCCUGCGUCGGUAGAACAUCAACAUUGUCACCACGCCGUCGUGCUGACGAAACUCUCCCUCAACACUCGGCUGGAUCGGAGUUCGAGGGACGUCAUCGAGCUGAACGUGUGCUGAACUCGGAGGUGCCGUGCGUUCGGUACUUGAUCGGUCGGAUCGUGAAGACGUACGACUACAUCAACCGCGUUGUGUUAACGCUUCCGCUUUCGGUCUACGAGGGUACAUGGACAACACUCUCCCCUCUCGUUGCUAUGCAUCACCAUGAUAUUCGUGUGCGUAGAAUUUUUUUGAAAUUACUACGUUCCCCAACAAGUACUGGGCUGAGUUUGCAGCUGACCCAAGGAACGUAUGGUUUGGUUUAAGCGCGGAUGGCAUUAAUCCUUUCGGGGAGCAGAGCAGCAAUCACAGCACCUGGCCCGUGACUCUAUGUAUGUAUAACCUUCCUCCUUGGAUGUGCAUGAAGCGGAAGUUCAUUAUGAUACCAGUUCUCAUCCAAGGCCCUAAGCAACCCGGCAACUACAUUGAUGUGUACCUAAGGCCAUUAGUUGAAGAACUUUUACAGCUGUGGAAUGGAAACGGUGUACGUACGUGGGAUGAGCACAAACAGGAGGAAUUUAACCUGCACGCGUUGCUGUUUGUAACCAUCAACGAUUGGCCCGCUUUCAGUAACCUUUCAAGACAGACAAACAAGGGAUACCACGCAUGCACGCACUAUUUAGAUGACACUGAAAGUAUAUACCUGGACAAAAGCAGGAAGAAUGUGUACCUGGGCCAUCGUCGAUUUCUUCCGACCAACCAUCAAUGUCGAAAGAAAGGCAAGCAUUUCAAAGGCGAGGCAGAUCACCAGAAGAAGCCCGCCAUGCGUACAGGUGAUCACGUACUUGCUAUGGUCAAUGAUUUACACGUAAUCUUUGGAAAGGGUCCCGGCGGACUAGCUGUUCCGAAUGACGCUGAGGGACACGCACCCAUGUGGAAGAAGAAAUCUAUAUUUUGGGACCUACCCUACUGGAAAGAGCUAGAGGUCCGCUCUUCAAUCGACGUGAUGCACGUGACGAAGAACCUUUGCGUGAACCUGCUAGGCUUCUUGGGCGUGUAUGGGAAGACAAAAGAUACACCUAAGGCACGGGAGGACCUGCAACGUUUGCACGAAAAAUAUGGCAUGCCUCCGAAGCAGUAUGAAGGUCCUGCCAGCUACGCUCUUACGAAAGAAGAGAAAGAAAUCUUCUUUGAAUGCCUGCUCAGUAUGAAGGUCCCGACUGGCUUCUCGUCGAAUAUAAAGGGAAUAAUAAAUAUGCCAGAGAAAAAGUUCCAGAACCUAAAGUCUCAUGACUGCCACGUGAUUAUGACGCAACUGCUUCCGGUUGCAUUGAGGGGGCUUCUACCAGAAAACGUCCGAUUAGCCAUUGUGAAGCUAUGUGCAUUCCUCAAUGCAAUCUCUCAGAAGGUGAUCGAUCCAGAAAUCAUACCAAGGCUAAGGAGUGAUGUGGCGCAAUGUCUUGUCAGUUUCGAGCUGGUGUUCCCACCAUCGUUCUUCAAUAUCAUGACGCACGUCCUAGUUCAUCUAGUCGACGAGAUUGUCAUUCUGGGGCCCGUAUUUCUACAUAAUAUGUUCCCCUUUGAGAGGUUCAUGGGAGUCCUAAAGAAAUAUGUCCGUAACCGCGCUAGGCCAGAAGGAAGCAUCUCCAUGGGCCAUCAAACAGAGGAUGUCAUUGGGUUUUGUGUUGACUUCAUUCCUGGCCUUAAGAAGAUAGGUCUCCCUAAAUCGCGGUAUGAGGGAAGACUGACUGGAAAAGGCACGCUUGGAGGGGACUCAAUAAUAUGCAAGGACGGAUAUUCUUGGUCUCAAGCACACUACACAGUUCUACAGAACUCUACCUUGGUGACCCCGUAUGUCGAUGAACACAAGAACAGUCUGCGCUCCAAACACCCGGAGCAGUGUGACGACUGGAUUACAUGUGAACACAUCAGGACUUUCAGCAGUUGGUUGGAAACACGUCUCAGAGGUGACACCACUGUUUGUGAUGAGUUGUACUCGUUGUCCAGGGGACCAUCUUCGACUGUAUUGACUUACAAAGGAUACGAGAUAAAUGGGAAUACAUUUUACACGAUCGCCCAAGAUCAAAAGAGCACCAACCAAAACAGCGGUGUCCGCUUUGAUGCAGCAACCGAGAGGGGAAAGGACACAUAUUAUGGUUACAUAAUGGACAUAUGGGAACUUGACUACGGACAUGAUUUUAAGGUCCCUUUGUUUAAGUGCAAAUGGGUCAAUCUGUCAGGAGGUGGGGUACAGGUAGACCCACAGUACGGAAUGACAACAGUGGAUCUGAACAAUCUUGGGUACACUGACGAACCGUUCGUCCUAGCCAAUGAUGUGGCACAGGUUAUCUAUGUGAAGGACAUGUCUACCAGACCGAGGAAAAGAAAAGAUAAGGAAGCGAAUACAUCAUACGAUGAGCCAAAGCGCCACAUAGUUCUUUCAGGAAAAAGGGACAUUGUGGGAGUGGAGGGCAAGACAGACAUGUCUGAAGAUUAUGAAAAGUUUCAUGAAAUUCCUCCCUUCAAAGUCAAGGCUGACCCAAGCAUCCUGAUAAACGAUGAAGAUUAUCCAUGGUUACGGCGCAAUAAGCAAAUGACACAAGCGAAGAAAAAGUGAGGACUUUCUCCCGCAACUAUUAUGAUGAUACCAUGCCAACUUUGUAAUAGACGAGUAUGAUACCAUUGUCUGUUUUGUACAAGAAGUGCAUCUAGUUUUUGCCGUAACCCUCUCAACUUUCUUGCACAUGCUAUGCGGAUGAAAUAAUGAUACCAUGCCAACUUUCAACCUUUUUAGAGUUCAUUUGAAAUGCUUUUCAAUUUUAGGGUCUUAUAGCUCAAAAUAAUUAGUAAAUGCAUGAAAAAUAACAGGCCAAAAAUUAAAAAUUAUGCCACCUACUGGGCCACCACGGCCUGAAUACGAUUAGAAACCCAUCCAUGGGCCAGGAUUCAGGCCCGCAGAAGGCCCAGUAGGCCCACAGGCAUGUACAGAGAGGUUAGGCCCGUAAGCCUGCUUUAGAGAGGAGCUCGACAGCUCAGGCGCACCGCACCUUAUAAACAGGUGCGGCUCUCUCUUAGCUAGCGAGGUGGGACUAAACUCACCACCACGCCGCUGUGCAAGGCCAUUGGUCCCGGUUGGUGGCACGAACCGGGACCAAUUCCACCCUUUGGUCCCUGUUGGUGCCACGAACCGGUACUAAUGAGGCUGUGGCCCCACGAGCACCUUUAGUACCUGUUCGUGGCACGAACCGGUACUAGAGUUUCUUACUAAGCAGUUUUUUAGUCCCACCUCGCUAGCUGAGAGGCACUAGGAGCGGUUUAUAAGCCCUGAGUGCAGAGACGAUGAAGAAGAGGCGCAAUGCUAACGUUGCUUAGCUUCAAGCCUUGAGGAAUAAGGUAGACUGCAUGGAGCUAUGUGCAGUGCAGUCUACACUAUUCCGAAAGGCUUGAAGCAAAUCAACGAGCAUUGCGCCUCUUUUUUAUUUUUAAUAACUUAUUACAACUCUGGACUUCUUGUGUUCCGACAAAAUAAAAUAAACUUUAAUAAAAUUUAUGAAACUAAAAUUAACAAAGUAUUUUCUGUUCAAAACAUUAUAAGAAACCUCUAUUAUUAUUGAAACUAAAAUCAUAUAAAAUUGAUGCAACUAAAAUUAUCGAAGUAUUUUCUGUUCAAAAUCAUUAAAAGCAAAAAGAAUUUUCAUAAAGAACUUUUUUUGAUAGAAACUUUAAUAGCAAAAAGAAUUAUCAUAAAGUAAAAUAAAUAAGUAAUUAGAAACAAAAUAAAAUAAAAUAAAUAAGUUUUUUGUUGUAAGUAGAAACAAAACAAAAUAAAUAAAGCAAAAAAGAAAACAAAAAAACAGGCACACAAUAAAAAUUAUGCCACCUACUGGGCCACCACGGCCUGAAUACGACUAGAAACCCAUCCAUGGGCCAGGAUUCAGGCCCGCAGAAGGCCCAGUAGGCCCACAGGCAUGUACAGAGAGGUUAGGCCCGUAAGCCUACUUUAGAGAGGAGCUCGAUAGCUCAGGCGCACCGCACCUUAUAAACAGGUGCGGCUCUCUCUCAGCUAGCGAGGUGGGACUAAACUCCCACCACCACGCCGCUGUGCAAGGCCCUUUGGUCCCGGUUCGUGGCACCAACCGGGACCCAUGCCCCCCCUUUAGUCCCGGUUGGUGCCACCAACCGGGACCAAAGGCCGCNNNNNNNNNNUGCCGUCGCCGGCGCCCGCCCCCACUGCCGCCCCUGCCUCGACGCCGCCCCUCCUCCCUGUUCGGUCCGGCUCCGGCGACCCCCUUUCCUCCCUGUCCCCUCGAUCCUCUUCAUAUAAUUUUUUUUCAUAUAAUUUUCUUUCAUAUGCAUAUGUUGAUUAUAUGGAUGGAUGGAUGAUGUAUAUGUUUAUUAUAUGGAUGGAUGGAUGAUGUGUGCUUUUUUUCAUAUAAUUUUUUUAGGCAGAUUUUUAGAAUUUUUUAGGCAGAUUUUUAGAAUUUUUUGUGUAUGUAUGUUAUGUUUAUAUGUAUGUAUGUAUGUUCAUAUGUAUGUAUGUUUAUAUGCAAAGAAUAUGCAAAGAAAAUGUAUGAAUGGUCAUAUGCAAGGAAAAAUGUAUGUAUGGUCAUAUGCAAAGAAAAUGUAUGUAUGUAUGUAUGUUCAUAUGAAAGAAAAAUGUAUGUAUGUAUGUUCAUAUGCAUAUGCAAAGAAAAUGUAUGUUCAUAUGCAUAUGCAAAGAAAAUGUAUGUUCAUAUAUAUGAUGAUAUGUUCAUAUAAAAAGGAAAAUAAGAAGAGGAAGAAAGGAGAAGAAGAGGAGAGGAAGAAGAGGAGAAAUAAAUAAGAAGAGGAAAAAAGAAGAAAAAGAAGAGGAGAAGAAGAAAGGAAUAGAAGAGAAGAAGAAAAAAUAGAAAAAAUUCUAUUUUUUNNNNNNNNNNNNNNNNNNNNNNNNNNNNNNNNNNNNNNNNNNNNNNNNNNNNNNNNNNNNNNNNNNNNNNNNNNNNNNNNNNNNCAGAUUUUUAGAAUUUUUUAGGCAGAUUUUUAGAAUUUUUUGUGUAUGUAUGUUAUGUUUAUAUGUAUGUAUGUAUGUUCAUAUGUAUGUAUGUUUAUAUGCAAAGCAUAUGCAAAGAAAAUGUAUGAAUGGUCAUAUGCAAAGAAAAAUGUAUGUAUGGUCAUAUGCAAAGAAAAUGUAUGUAUGUAUGUUCAUAUGAAAGAAAAAUGUAUGUAUGUAUGUUCAUAUGCAUAUGCAAAGAAAAUGUAUGUUCAUAUGCAUAUGCAAAGAAAAUGUAUGUUCAUAUAUAUGAUGAUAUGUUCAUGUAUGAGUAUAUGUAUGUAUAUAUGUUCUCUGUGUAUAUAUAUAUAUGUUCAUGUAUAUAUGCAAAAGAUAGAUUUUUAGAAAAGUUAGGAUUUUUUUCUGUUCAUAGAUUUUUUUGGUGAUAUUAAUUAUUGUAGAAUAUGCAAAUGUUUGUAUAUUCAUAUGAACAAUGCAUUAGGCAAAACCUUUACUAUUUUUCGAAAUUUUCUAUUUGAACAUUUUUUUAUGAAUGAGAGGUAAAAGGAAAAUAAGAAGAGGAAGAAAGGAGAAGAAGAGGAGAGGAAGAAGAGGAGAAAUAAAUAAGAAGAGGAAAAAAGAAGAAAAAGAAGAGGAGAAGAAGAAAGGAAUAGAAGAGAAGAAGAAAAAAUAGAAAAAAUUCUAUUUUUUCUUCUUCUCUCCUCUAUUCCUUUCUUCUUCUCCUCUUUUUUUCUUCUUUUUUUUCUUCGAUCUUCUCCUCUAUUCCUUUUCUUCUUCUCCUCUUUUUAUUUCUUCUUCGUUUUCUUAUGUUUUAUCGGGUCUGUCGUCGUCGAUAUACCCCUCUCCCGUUAACUUCAACACGAUGGGGGGUUGAUAUACCCCCUCCCCGAUAAUAUUAUUUUCCCAUGGACGUAUGUCGUCGUUGUCGAUAUAACCCCCUCCCGAUAACUUCAACACGUGGGGGGGGGGUCGAUAUACCCCCUCCCCGAUAACAUUAUUUUCCCAUGUAUGUAUGUCGUCGUUGUCGAUAUAUAUAACUCCCUCCCAGAUAUCGACAUGAUGGACGGUCGAUAUUUAUACCCCCUCUCGACGGUGAUAACUUAUACCACGGGAGCACCCCCGGCCCUCUCGCUCGACCAAAACUCUCAAGGACACCCAAACCCUAGAAAAAAACGAUGUCGGUCUCCUACCCCCUCCCGCCGCGCCCCUACCCUUGAAGCGUUGCCGAGGCCACCCCAAACCCGGAAUAAGAUAGGCCUACGUUUGCACUAAUAUAUCCACCUGCUGUCAUGUUUGUGUAAUAAUUGCCAUGUUGUAAUAUUUGCAGAAACAAUGGAGCACGGACGAGACGAGCAAGCAGAAGAGGUGUUAGGGGACAUAAUCUUAGCCGGAGGUGAUAUCUUGUCGUAUCUUAACGACAAUGAUGGUCUGGAAGAACAGGGUGAAGAAGCAGGCUACGGUGAUCGAAGAGUGGAGGAGGAAAGACAUGAUUAUGAUGGCUCCGGUGACCCAAUGCUGGUGCAAGAAGGAGCCCGUGGUGACGGCUCCGGUGACCGAACAGAGUCCGGCCAGGUAAAUAUAUUAGUUAAGCCUGUGCUGACUAGCUAAUUGAUGCAUUCAUUGUUUUGGUAUGUACAUAUAUUAAUUAACACUCGUCUUUUUUUUUCUAGCCCUCCGGAUCGAGCACAACUGCGGUAAAGAGACGAGGCCCGAAGAGAAAGUUGCGCUCGGAUGAAAGGUUUGAGAUCACAGCAAUCGCGCGCGACGGCCAACCGAUUGAACCCAUCCGGACAAAGGAUGCAUUUGCUGCUCAGUGCGGGGUUCUAGUUAGGGACAAGAUCCCGAUCAGCAUCCACCAAUGGUAUAAGCCUAAGAAGGAAGACCCUGAGGUGUCUUAUGUCAAUGAUAUGCAGAAAGAUGAUCUUUGGACUGAGCUGAAGGCAAAUUUCACCCUACCGCCAGAGGAGGAUCCGGAGAAGCCAGUUAAAGAGCAAUUAAUCAAGUCUCAUGCUCUUAAGAAGAUGGCAGACCUAUUCAGGAGGUGGAAGAAUGAGCUGAAAACGUUUGUCGACAAAGAAGAGACACCAGAAUUCAUCGGCCAGUAUGAGAAGAUCAGAGAUCACUGGCCCGCAUUUGUGGCCCACAAGAAAUCGGAAAAGAGUAAGAAGAUGUCAGCGACAAACAAGAAGAAUGCUGCGAAGAAGAAGCUUCACCAUCGCACGGGGUCAGGUGGCUACCUCAAAGCCCGACCUAAGUGGGCCAGGGCUGAGAAUGAUCUGCUUGAAAAAGGGAUCGAACCACAGACAAUGACCUGGACAGACCGUUGCCGGACUUGGUUCUUCGGGGCUGGCGGAACCUUGGACCCUGUAUCAGGGAGGUGCGUUUGGACGAACGAGCUUUUGAGAAUACCAGUCAAGAAGAUUCAGCAAUAUAUCGAUGCAGCGCAGGAAGGGACGUUCGUUCCAGACAGAGAGAACGACGAGCUCACAAUGGCCCUCGGGAAUCCUGAGCACCCUGGACGGACACGAGGCACGCCAGGCUCCGUUCCGUGGAAGGCUGGUUUCCCGGACGCGGGCGGUUACAAAAGCCAGGAGAGGAGGAAAAAAGUGGAGCAGAUCCAAAUUCAGAAGCUGCACGAAAGGGUUCAAGCGCUAGAGGAAUGAGACGGCAAUCGACAUGCCGAAACUGCCCCCGAAGCUACACCGCCAUCUCAUCGGAGAAGCAGCGUGGCUUUCACCGAGCUGCUUCAGCUGGAGCAUGCGGCUCCUGCUAGCUACCCCGUGGAUGCUAUCACGGAGUCUCAACAUUGCCACCUUAUGGCGGAAUGGCAGAACUUCAAAGUCAAGGCGGUUGUUGGCUCUAUUUUAUCUCCUGAACCCGGCGCAACCUACCACUGCCGGCCGAUUCCAGAAGGAUAUGCUAGGGUGAUGGUGGAUGAAAUAACGGAGGGAUUUGAGGAGCUCCAGCUUGACCACCCUACCGGUGAAGGGGAGACUCGGCUGGGUUCUGCUCUGAAGACUCCAUGCCUAUGGCGGAAGGAGCUCAUCAAGCUUCCGAACUGGAUGGCUCCGACGAGUAAGGGCACUCCGCCUCCUCCUCCGCCUCCUCCUCCGACGAGUGAUCAGGGCACUCAGCCUCCUUCUCCGGCGCGUGGCGGCACUCCGCCUCCUUCUCCGCCUGCGCCGGCGCGCCAGAGCAGCCAGCCUCCUCCUUCUCCGCCUCGUCAGCAAGGGCGGAAGAGACCCGCCGCCGCUGCGGCUGCUCCGGCGCAUCGUAGUCCUUCUCCUCUACCUCGUAAGCAAGGAAAGAAGACAGCCGCAGCCGCUCCGUCUGCUCUGCCGGCGUCUAGCAGUACAGCUGCCAGAGGCGGGAGGCAAUACAGAUUCGGUCCUUCUCUGAAGACUCCAGAGAAGUUACCAUACGAGAGGACCGAGGAGGAAACCAGGAAGAUCGUGCGAGCUGAAGUGAAAAACUUCUUUGAAGGGGUGAAAGCAAAGAAACAUCCACCUCCGGAGGAGAAGGUAGAUCCGGUGAAAGCAAAGCGCACUCUGGCUGCCCUGACAAAACCACCAAAGUCUCCGCCGAGAGGCAACUAUGAGCGCAUUCUUGCAAAGACAUAUGCCGAAGCGGAGCGGUCGGGAAGUACUGUCAGUGAUCAAAGGUUAAAAGAACGACGAGCUAGGAAAAAAUUGCCCAGCUCGGCGAACAAGCGAGCCAAUCGUGCCCCCCGCUCAAGGUGUCAAAAGACAUCGUCGCUAAUGAUCCGAGGAUGGUGCCCGGUUAUAGCAAUCUUGGAGAUUACCUGCCCGACGAUGUACAUUAUGAAAUCAUGGAGGUGGACGAACACAAAUACCAUUACGGGAAGUCUCUCGUCAAAGAUGAAAGAUCUCUAACAACGAUGAUGCGAAGAUUACAUGAUUGGUACAUGAAAACCUGCAGAGAGUCUGGGGGGAGGAAUACUUUGACGCUGAAUUACAAUCAAAAGGCCCUCGAUAAAACAACGAUCACUUGCUACUGUCUGUAAGUAGUACUACUUCUGUCAUUAAGUCUCUCUAUAUAGGUCAACUCUUUCAUUGCAUGUAUUUAUAAUUAUCCUCACUAUAUUAUGCAGAUUGAAGAUCGCCGAAUUGAAGAAAAGACAAAUCGGUGAUAUUGGGUUCAUUAACACAAAUCUCAUAGAUGCAUAUACGGUUGAAAAGCAUCCCAAAGAAGCCGAGGCCAACUUGCUACAAUCGUUGGUAUUAAAUCAAAACAAAGAUAUAAUACACUUUCCUUACAACUUCAAGUGAGUGUUACUGUCUUGUGCAUAUUCGGUUUCCCUUAUUAGUCCAGGUUAUGGUAAUGUAAUUGAUGACUUAUGCAUGCAUGCGCAGCUUCCACUAUAUUCUCCUAGAGAUUAAGCUUGAGCAGGGAGUAGUAACCGUCUUAGACUCGAGACGAAAAGAUCUCCAGGACUAUGCGAACAUGACUCAAAUGCUCGAGAAGUAAGUUAAAUCGAUCAUUAUCCACUAUAUCAGCAACUUUGUUCAUUUCCUGAUAUCAAGUAAUUGUUUUCUUUGUCUGACAGGGUUUGGAGAAAAUUCACCACAAAAGCUCCGGGACUGCCGAAGAAGCUGCAAUUUAAACACCCGAAAGUAAGUACUAUAGUAGCAUGUUCCGCGCAUCUCCUAGUGAUUCAAGCGCUAGUUUCAUCAAUACCAUUUAGCAUGCUUGCUUAUCAGUUUGAUUGACCUCUAUUUCUUGUAAAGUGGUUGUGGCAGGAACCCGGGAAUAAUUACUGUGGAUACUACGUUUGCGAGUCCAUCCGCUACACGACCUGUGAGCGGGGCUACACUGAAGUACAAUAUGAAGUGCGUAAGCAAUAAUAUUCACAAUUUUAUUUUAUUACCAUCAUUUGUGUUGAGUUUCGUUUAUUCAUAUAUAUAUGUAUUGACCCCCUUCUUCAAAUUAGAUGUUUUGAAAGCGGGAUGAACUCCUAGCACCAGAUCGUAUGCGAGGAAUUCAAGAGGAAUUGGCGGCAUUCUUCCUUGACCACGUGAUCGCUGAAAACGGAGAAUACUAUGUGGACCCUGUGUUCCUACAAUUUAAUUAGGAGAUUGUAUUGUAAGAGAUAAUUAUUGUAUAUAUGUAGCCGGUAGUGUCGGAUAGAUAUACGAGAACUUGUUGUUCGACCAAUCUCUCGGAGAAGGAGAGGUGGUCGAUAUCACUUCUCUCUGUAUGCAUAUGUUCAUGACGAUCUUCUGUUUCCUUCAUUUGAUUACUAGCUAGCGUGUCUAGUCCUCUCCAUAUGUAUAUAGUACGUAGCGUCGACCAAGCACGGAGAUAAGAGAGGACACUUCUCUCUAUUAAUUAGCUAGCUAACACAAUAGAUGAAACACCUAAAUUAACCCCCCAAAACCCCUAAACCACCCCCUUUCAAAAAAAAAACAAAAACCUCAACUCCUGCCAGCUGCUGACGCGUGGAUGCCUAUUGGUCCCGGUUGGUGACACCAACCGGGACAAAAGGUCCUGCCUAUUGGUCCCGGUUGGUGGCACCAACCGGGACCAAAGGCCCCCCUGCCUGGGCUGGCAGCAGCGGCCACGUGGAGGACCUUCUGUCCCGAUUCGUGUAAGAACCGGGACUAAAGGGUUAGGGCUUUAGUAACGACCCUUUAGUCCCGGUUCGAAAACCGGGACAAAAGGCCCUUACAAACCGGGGUAAAAGCCCCUUUUCCUACUAGUGAUAGAUAAUGGGGUCGUGACUCCCCCUAGUGAGGCCAUGACUUCCCCCUAAGAUAGAUGGUGGGGGUAUGACUUUUUCCAGCGAGGUCCAUCUUCUCUGGCGAGCUCGGAUGAACUAGAAUAGAUGACUGCCGUGAAUAAAUUAUUUUGGGUCUGUAUGUCACAUCUAACCUGAUGUUCACUAUGUUUGUGGUCUAUUUUUUUGUCCCAAUUUUUUUCCUUGUUGCUGCGUUAUUUGUGGGAGUUUAGACGUGACAUCCUUAAAAACAUCUAGAUAUGAAUUAAACAAACUAUAAAUUUUUCAGGCACCUGAUAUAUAGUUACAUAAAGAAAACCAUGCAUGCGGGUUGAUCGUGGAUUAAACCCCAAGCAUGCACGCAUGCAUGUAGUGACAAGAUACAUAAAUGCAUCGAUAAGGCUCUUGCAGGUGUGUAGUAGCUUCAACUUGGAGCAUAGCUCCCAGCAAAAGAAAAUUUCAUUCCGCCGAUGCAAAAGAUCGUCGCCGAGCUAUCCCAUCCCUGCUCGGCUUGUUCCUAUCUCAAUCAACGUUGUCCGUUCUCUGCAGAUGGAGGCCAGCUAUCUCGCAUCGCAUGCAUGGCGCAUGCCACCAUGGCGCCGUGCAUGCGGCGCUUCUUCACCACGUACACACCCCGACCUACACCUGGCCUCCUCGCCGCAUCGCCACCCGCUAUAUAUACCAUCACUUGCCCGGAGCUAGAUCACCAACUCAUCCAAUAAGCCAACUCGUCACUGAUCACCAACAUCGAUCACCAUGAAGUCCACGGUAGUAAGAUCGCCAUGGCUAGCGCUAGCCCUCGUCCUCUCCCUGUGCCUCUCCCUCUCGUUCGCGUCGUGGGAUGCCGAGGACGAAGGUAGGGGUAGUAGGAGGUGGCAAGAAGGGGGCGACGAAAGGCGGUCCGGCGAAAGUGGCCGGCCGUACCACUUCGGCGAGGAGAGCUUCCGGGAGUGGGCCAAGUCGCGGCACGGCCACUUCAAGGUGCUGGAGCGGUUCGACCACGAGCUGCUCCGGGGCUCCAUCGGCGACUACCGCGUGGCGUGCCUCGACGCGGCGCCGCGCGCGUUCCUGCAGCCCAGCCACUACGACGCCGACGAGAUCGCCUUCGUGAGGGAAGGCGAGGGCGUGCUGGUGCUGCUGAGGAACGGGAAGCGGGAGUCGUUCUGCGUCAGGGAGGGCGACGUGUUCGUGAUCCCGGCCGGGUCCAUCGUGUACUCCGCCAACACGCACCGCUCCAAGUGGUUCCGGGUCGUCAUGCUCCUCAACCCCGUCUCCACGCCGGGCAGCUUCCAGGUGAGCCAUGCAUGGCCGCAGCAUGCAAGCUCCUCCGCCAUCUGCGUUGCAUGCAACGACUUACUUUUGGUAUCUGUUCUUGAUACGUUUGUAGGAGUUCUCCCCUAUUGGGUUUGGAGGCGAGCAGCCGCAGUCGUUCUUCAGCGUAUUCAGCGACGAGGUUAUCCGGGCGGCAUUUAACGUACGUACGCGCUGACCAUCGGCACUGAUUUUUGUUUGUUUGUUUGUUCAUCGCUUGAUUCAGCUCGAUCUUAUGCUUGUACGCGCUGACCGUCUGCAUGCAUGUGUUUCAAUAGACUCGGCAGCGGGAGGAUGUGGACAGAGUGUUCGAGACGAAGAGCAGAGGUGAGGGUCAGAUAUCUGAGGGGUCGGAGGAGCAGAUACGGGAGCUGAGCAGGUCGUGCUCCAGGGGAGGACGCGGCGGUGGCGGCGGGUCGGGUUCCGAGAAGGAGGACAUCCAGCCGCGCAGCCUCACCGGCGAGAAGCCCCGCUACUCGAACAAGCACGGCAGGUUCCACCAGAUCACCGGCGACCAGUGCCACCACCUCCGCAAGCUCGACAUGGAUGUCACCCUCGUCAACAUUACCCGGGUAAAGCAUCCGCGCCGCACAUACAGAUAGUUUUGUAGCAUCAUGCAACGGGACGGAUUGGUGCUGGACCUAAGCGCCUAAGCCAAUGUGUGUGUUUCGUCGUGCGUGCAUGCAUGCAGGGCUCGAUGACGGCGCUGAGGUACACCACCCGGUCGACCAGGAUCUACAUCGUCGUGGAGGGGCGCGACGGCUACUUCGAGAUGGCGUGCCCGCACGUCUCCAGCUCCGGCCGUUCUGAACGCCGGGAGCACGAGCAGGAGCGCGAGCGCGAACACGGACACGGCAGGAGAAGCGAGGAGCGCGGGCAGGAGCACGGCAGGAGGAGCGAGGAGGAGGAGCACGGCCACGGCGGCGAGCAGGAGAAAUCGAGGGGCUACAGGCAGGUGAGGGCCCAGAUCAAGGUGGGGUCGGUGAUCGUGCUCCCCGCGGGCCACCCGGCGACGUUCGUGGCCGGGAACGAGGGGAACCUCGCCCUGCUGUCCUUCGGCGUGGGCGCCAACAACGACGAGGAGGUGUUCGUGACCGGCGGGAACAGCGUGCUGAAGCAGCUGGACGAGGCGGCCAAGGCGCUGGCGUUCCCCCAGCAGGCGAGGGAGCUGGCGGACAGGGUCAUCCGCGCGCAGCCGGAGUCCGUGUUCGUCCCCGGCCCGCAGCAGCAGCGCCGCGUCGCCGACAUGUGAGCGACGAUCUCCAGCGCGCGCAUGCGGUCCCUGGAGCUGCAUGCAUGCAUGAGUGUACAUGUGAGUGUGACGGGAAUAAAUAGCUAGCACGGUACUGCGUACUACAGUACGUGCGUGUAGCAGAGGAGAGGAGAGGAGAGACGAUGCUUGUGUUCGUGCGCGGUUAUGCAUGAAUGCAUGCAUGCACGUGAGUUUUCUAUGCAUGUAGUAGUACGUGAGUUUUCCGGUAAUAAAAGACGUGACCUUGCCCGUCGGCUCGUUGGAACAUGUCGGUGAAAAUUGCACUUUUACUCCUACAGUGACGUGUCAGUGUCACAUAGACCGAUCGAUCGAGUAACAGACAAAAACAAGACUUGUCAUGUACCGGAACGGAAGAACCGGAGCACAGGCCAAGCGAUCGACCUGAGUCACGCUCCUCUCGCCAGCCACUUUCCUGCCGGAGUCAGGACAGUUACUAGUAGGACGAGCGAAGCACGGGGAGUGACCACCAGCAGAGCAGUUCACAGACAGCAAGCAAGCGCGAGGAUCGAUCGAUCGGAGCGGCGGCGAUGGACGACGACUUCGGCUGCGUGAUCGGCGUCGCGGGGAGGGGGGAAUUCGCGGUGGUGGCGUCGGGAACCCCCAUCGUGCACCUCGACUCCCACAGGCUUCUCGCCAUCUCCGGCAACCAGCAGAACCGGUAACCACCGAGCUAGAUCCAAUCCACCUCCACCCGCCUCGCUCGAUCCCGGCCACCUUCCAUGGCUUCUGACCUCAGCUUCCCGCCCGUGUUUUGCUUUGGCAUGCAGCGCAAGGUUCGCGAGGACGAUGUGCCGCAGGUGGAAGGGGCUGACCGGGGUGCCGUACCCCGACACCGCCACGGUCGCCGACCUCGCGCGCGAGCUGCUCGACCGCGGCCACUCCGUCGAGGCCCUGGUCGUGGGCUACAACCAGGCCCAGCCCCACGCGGCGGUGAGCUGCGUCGGCCCCGCGCUCCCGCGCGGCCAGUUCCUGUUCGGGGCCGCGGGCCGGGGAGCGGAGGCCUGCAGGGCGGUGCUGCGCCGGGGCUACCGCGACACCAUGUCGUCCAGCGACGUGAUCGAGCUCGUGGAGAGCUGCAUCGCGGAGAUCCGCCGGCUCGGGGUUCCCGGGGCUGCCGGCGAGUUUGCGGUCCAGUAUGUCGACAGAUGGGGAGCGGCGCCCGUGGGAAGGGAGGUCAGGGAGACAAUGGCUAUCUAUCGACAGAUGGCACUCGAAGUGUUAAAAUCACAUGGGUUAGCCCUCAACCCCAUUCUCCGUGAAGAUCACAUCGCUUGUGUGUUUGAUCGAGAUUGACGUCCCGCCCCCUUUUGAUUCAGGGCAAUUGACGCCCUCUAAAUCCUGAUCGGUACUAGAGUACUUAUAGGCAAAGGAUGACUGACUCGGCUAAGAGCAUCUCCAAUGGAUCCGAAAAUCUUCCCCACUAAGAGCAUCUCUAGCAGACGCGCUUCGCUUUGGCGAGGUAUAAUUCUUUUACAGCGCCAAAAUAGUCUUUUUACGCGCGGGAGCGACGAAAAGGUUUUCCAUAUGCACAAAAACACAAAAACACGGCGCCCAGUCCGGCGGCCCCACCUGCAGCAGCCCAGAUUUUGCAGUGCGCACAAUCCAUGGCCCAAAAUUUACAGCCAGGGAUACCGCUUUUAGCAUGUGCGCUAAAGUUUUUGUGCGUGCUCGCAGCCCAAAAUUUGCAGCCCGGGAUACUGCUUUUAGCACGUGCAUUAAAGUUUUUUGUGCAUGCUCUAUUUUACAGCAUCUGCUGAAGCGCUGUUUUUUUGUAAUGGUUACAGGGGCUACCCAAAUACCUGCUUUCAGGUUAUUUGGAGAUGGUUGUUUUUGCAGACCCCAAUAACCCCAUCCCGCAUCCCAAUACCCAACUUGACAUAUGUGCNNNNNNNNNNNNNNNNNNNNNNNNNNNNNNNNNNNNNNNNNNNNNNNNNNNNNNNNNNNNNNNNNNNNNNNNNNNNNNNNNNNNNNNNNNNNNNNNNNNNNNNNNNNNNNNNNNNNNNNNNNNNNNNNNNNNNNNNNNNNNNNNNNNNNNNNNNNNNNNNNNNNNNNNNNNNNNNNNNNNNNNNNNNNNNNNNNNNNNNNNNNNNNNNNNNNNNNNNNNNNNNNNNNNNNNNNNNNNNNNNNNNNNNNNNNNNNNNNNNNNNNNNNNNNNNNNNNNNNNNNNNNNNNNNNNNNNNNNNNNNNNNNNNNNNNNNNNNNNNNNNNUGCAAUGCAGUCAACGACAAUGGUGCUUUGCGGGUGGGCGCGGCGGUGCGUGGCCAACAUCAGUUGGUGGCGGCAGUGAGGGUGGGGGUGGCACUGUGGUCAGCGGUGGUUGACGAUAGGUGUGGUGGUCGUCAAUGGCAUGGGCAUCAUCAGGUGGGAGGGUGAUUUGUGUGGGCUCCAUGGGAUUGGAGGAGGUGUUGGCGGAGACAUGGGCGGAGAUCUAGGGAUUAAGUCAACUGUUUGGAACCUUCAAAAUUACGAUGUUUGUUUUUUGGAUUGGUAUUUAUAGUUCUUUACUAAAUUGAUACAACGUUUGUUUUUGGAAUGCUAAUUAUGAUGAUUUGAUUGAUUGAUACAAUGUUCAUUUUAUGGAAUGCUAAUUACGAUGCUUUAUUUGCUAAUCACAUCAUUUUCAAGCAAAUAUAGGCCAUCAGAUCUAAGAUAAUGAAGGGCUGAUAUUCAAUGUUUCUACCACAACUAGCUUGUUUAAUAGUAGUGGAGACUAGAUGAACAUUUUUUUAAUAACACACUGAACAUUUGUUUAUGUGUACGAGCAAAUUUGUAAAUGGAUUGAGAAUUAGUUAUUUUUUUGUCAGUCCCACUUAAAAUAAAUUUUCAGAAAAGUGGAAUUUACUUUGUAUUUUCACAAGUAAAGUGGGCGCGAACUUCCUAUAGAAGAUUGGAUUAGACUUAAUUUUUUUGAGAGUUGCAUAGGAAAGGGUGGACAAUAUAUUAGAUUCGUUUGUAAGAGAAAACAUUAUGUAGGUGGUGGAACAAUUUUAAGUAACUGCUACCUUUUCCAUGUCCUCUUCGAACAUUUUUUUGCAUGAUACCUUAGGGCGUCAGAAAAAAUUGGUAUGUUCUCUCUCUAAAUAGAUUCAUAUGUACAUGACUCGAUUUUUGCAAGUUGAAUAUAGAUUAUCACUUGGUUAAUCAAUCCAUGGUGUGUUUGCCCAACAACCUAGGAGGGUUGGGCAUUAGAGAUCUAGACAUCAUGAAAACCAUCUUACUUUCUAAGUGUUGGUAGAAAGUGUUCCAUGUAGAUGGUAUGUAGCAACAUUCCUUAGAUGAUAACCCAACACAUCAUACUCUAGAAUAGCUGAAAACUGGAGUGGGCAACCCACACUUUUUAUAAAGGUUGAUGCAGGUAGUCUUCAUUUGGUUUUGUUUGUAGGGUCAAAGUUGGGAAUAGUGGCAAACUAAAUUUUGGAAAGAUCGAUGGUUCUUUGAUGACCAUUUUUACACUAUCUUCCCAUACUGUACACAAUCUUCUUAGAUCCCUAUAUUACUGUUAAAAAAGUUUUUGCAUGUUAUUCUUUAUCCCUUAGGUUUUAGAGGGUGGAAGUAAGAAUUUAAAGAGAGUAAUGGUUUGGCUUAAGGAUCAUGGAAAAAAUGUCUCUAAAUAAAAAUCCCCACGAUUAGUUUGGCUAUUGUCAGAUUCGUGAAACUUUUGUGUUUUGUUGCACAAAGGUGCUAAAUCUGAGAGAGAGUGUCUCUUCUAUGGGAGUAAUGAACCAAUAACAUUAGCCGAUCUUUCAAUCUUGAUUGGAGGAGCACUAAGGCAAGUAUUUUAACUAGGAUAACUCUUCAACUUAUUGAAGUGAUAUUGUGCAAAAGCAAAGCAUAGCUUCAUAUUAUCCUAUUUUAGUGAAUGUCAACAUUGAAAUUAAAUUUUGAUAAAGUGGGAUUGUUGUGUGAGCAACCUAACUAUAGAUUUGUUGAAUUUGAGGGUUUCAAAAGUCACAGACUUCCUACAAAAUACUUAUGUAUACCUUAAGAUGAGAAAGUUAUUAUACUUAUGUAAUGGAUGGCUGCAAGGAAAAGGUAGAAAGUAGAUUAGGUAUUAGCCCCCCAUGCAAAAAAUAUUAGGUGUUAGGAAAGGGAAGACACUAUCCAUUGGUGGCGGAACAGUUGAAUUAAUUCCUCCCUUUAUAAUGUCCCUUUGAAGGUGCUCCCUUUUUACAAGAUACCUCAUGGUGCCAGGAAAAAAAUCAUUACGUACAAGGUUGCAUUUAUGUGGAGAGCUGACAUGUUGAAAAUGAAAUAUUAAAUCGGCCCAUGGUCUAUCUGCCCAAGGACUAAGGAGGGUUGGCAUUUUAGAUUUGGACAUAAUGAAUAUGGCUUUAUUUUCUAAGUAGCUUUAGAAAUGGUUCAACAGAGGUGGUAUGUGACAACAAUUCCUUACUACAAAAUACCUCACACAUUAGACUCUAGGAUAGUGAAAAUGGGAGUGGGAAACACACAAUUUUGUUAGGAGCUAUGGUGUUGGGCCAGAGUUGGGAAUACUGUCAAACUUGAUUCUAGGAAGAUCAAUGGUUCUCUAAGGAUAACUUUUACACUAGCUUCCAUUCUAUUAAUGUUUUAAAAGUUAUUACAUGUGAUUUUAAAUCUCUCAAUUUUUGGAGAGCAGUAGUAGAAGUUAAAAUAGAAUAAUGGUUAUACUUAUGGACCGUCUGUAAAAAAAUGCUUCUCCAAAUUGACAUCCACACAAAUUUGUCUGAUUGCUAAGUUCAGGAAACUUUAGUGUUUUGUUGUAGGAGGUGGUAAAUCUGAGAGGAAAUGCAUCUUGUAAUGAACCAAUAACCACCUGCCAUUUUCCUCCCCCCACCAAUACACAACACACAUAUGGAUAUCAUUAGCUGCUCUUUGAAUCUCGAUUGGAAGAGCACUUAGGCAAGGAUUGCUAACUAGGCUAAUUCUUCCAUUGAUUGACGUGAUAUUGGGAAAGACAAAACUCUCAACUUCCUAUUGUGCCUAUUUUAAUAAUCUCAACAUUGAACAUAAUGUAUAUUAAGGGGAAUUUACUGUGUCAUGUGACCAACUUUAGAUUUAUUGAAUUUGAGAAUAUUCAGAAUGGGCAAACUUCCUAUGAGAAAAUGGUUAUACUUAACUAUUGUAGAGCUGUGAGGAAAAUGUGGUAAGUAGAUUAGGUUCUUGGCAAGGAAAGAAAAUGUCCAUUGGUGGUACAAAAACUUCAAUUAAUUCCUCCCUUCCUAGUGUCACUUUGAAUGUGAUAUCUGUUUACAAGAUAUCUAAGGGUCUCAAGACGAAAGACUGAUAUAUACAACGCUAGAUUUCUAUGGAAUCGUGACAAGUUGAAAAGGAAAUAUCACUUGGUUAAUUAGCCUAUGUUUUGUCUGCCCGAGGACCAAGGAGGGUUGGGCAUUUUACAUCUGGACAUUCCUUUACUUUCUAAGUAGCUGUAGAAACUUUCUAAUUUAGAUGGCAUGUGCCAACAUUUCCAUACUAAGAAAUACCUCACACAUCAUACCCUGGGACAAGUGAAAGUCAAAAUGGAAAAUUCACACUUUUGGCACAAGUGUAUGGAGGCUAAAUCCUGGAUUAGGGUUGUUGGAUGGUCAAAGUUGGGAUUGUGGCAAGACUAGAUUCUGGGAAGAUCAAUAGUUAAUGAUUCUUUGGUCAUAGUUUUUCCACUAUAUUUCCUAGACUACAUAUAAUCUCCCUUGACUUCAUAUCACUAUUGAAAAAAAUAUCUUAUGGUUCUAACUUCUAUAGAUUUCAAUGUGCUGGUAGGUAUUAAAAGAGUACAAUGGUUAGGCUCAAUGACUGUGUAUGAAAAUGUUUCUCUAGAUGGAGAGUCUGGAAUAUUAGUUUGGAUGCUCUUCGAUGUUGUCAGGUUCCGGAAACUUUAGUGUGACAUAUUUCUAUUAUGGCAUGGGAAAACAUUGGGUGAUGCCUUACAAUUUUUUGUGGAGAGUAAAAAAAUCCUCUGUGUAUCAAACUUUCCCAUGGCUGAUGCUUAAAAGAUCAUAUUGAGUAGAGAUGUUUUUUACACGAUGGUACUAAAUCUUAGAUAAUAUGCCAUAUAUGUUGGAGCAGUAAACCAAUAAACCACAUAUUGUGUUCCUAUCUACCGAACAUAUAUGUAUGGGAUAUCAUCAACAGAGGUUCGCAUGCAAUGAUGAAUGCAUUAAUAGACAUGCUAGUGGUUAGAAUAGCAAUUAUGUUUUGGAUUACUCAGAAGGUUAAGUAUAUUACAUGUAAUACAAAAAAUGUCUAAUCAAGCCAAUGAAUUAAUGUUUUGUUGAAUAUUUUCUUUUGGAUUGAUUGGUGGAUCUCUCUGCAGUGAAGGAGGAUCUAGUGGAUCAGCUUAGCUAUUGUGUAAAGCUAAUUGAACGCAUCGCAGUUGGCAUCUUCAAAACUGGGGGGGGGGAGCUGGGCAUCAUGGAUCCCAAGUAUGGUCAUGUAAUUUCCUUGAGCAACAAUGGAGGUGAUGGUGUUAUUGGCAGUGCUUAUUUAGUCGUUGUUAUAUUUUAAUCCGCACCUUCGUCGUGUAUUUGGUUCAUGGUUGAAACCUUGAGUGUUGUUCUGUUGUGUCGUGAUGAAAAACCUGUAGAACAUUCAGGUUUCCAUUGAUGGUAACUGGCGAACAACUUUUAUCUAAAGUAAAACUUAUGUUAGUAAACCACUUAUCUUGUUUGGUUCUCUUAAAAUUCAACCCUGAUUGCAAAUAACAAGUCGAAUAAUAAGAAAUGUAUCUGUAUUUUAGUUAUUCACUUGUUGCUAUUUCUCAUGUGGCGAUUGUUUUGGUGUCAUCAUAAUUUAUGUACAAUCUUACACUUGGUGGACCUGAUGAUGGGAAGCGAGGUCGAGAGCCAUCAUGGACGUAGUAGAGGCUAACACAAUGUUGUCCAUGUCUAUACGCAAUGCUGACAGAGGGGUAAAUAUUGAGGAGAUAUGGCUAGAGUGAUUGGGAUUAUGGGUGAAAAUCUUGGGGUUAAGAUUUAUGGGUGGUGUGGUCGUCAUCAUAGCAAAAGGGCCAUUGUUUCCUAUAAGAGGAGUGACGGCCGAUGGUGGUGGUGGAGCAUUGACAAUAUUAGGAUGGAGGAGAAAUAAUAAGCACAUCAUUAUAAAGUUGGAGAAAGAGAAUGGAACAGGGUCGGCGCUCCUCAGUCCAGAGCGAGAGGGCAAAGGGUGCUCUCGUGUGACGUUAUGGUGGAGUUGUUGCGGCGAAGUCCGAUGGUGACAGCUAGGUGGUGUAGGUUCAUGGGUCACCGAUAAAACUGAGAAUGGUUUUAUCUAAACCGGGUGUGUUGGGUCAGUUUUGCCUCAUAGUUUUGUUUGGUUCGGGUGUAAUGGGCCCGUUCGACAACAGGUUGGUUUAAGUUGGUUUCUUGUACAAAACAGUUGGAUAUGGUCAGUUACGGGCACGAACCGGUCUGAUUCCACCUUAGUUAAGCCUACUUUCUCACCCGGUUGGGAAACUGAUUUGUAGGUAUCUCUCCCUAGAUAGCCCUUAAAGCAACCACAAGAUGAUAGGCCAUGGCUCUCACGACCGCGGCCAACGGCGUGUGAGCACGCGGUGGCUGCUGCAAGGAUCAGCCUGCUCCAGCAACGUCCGCGACCUCCGCACCCAAAUCCGGCAUCCCAUGCGACCGCCGCGCCUGGAUCCGGUCUCCUCUGACUCUUCCCUGUGGUAAGCGCAUGGGGAAGCCAGCUCUCACAACCGUGCUAGUCGUUGUGUAGGCGGCGGCUGACGCCCUGGUCUCCGUGCUUCGGCUACCUCAGCGGCCGACGAGCCCGGACCUGGCUCCCGCGUCGAUUUCUCUAUCCUCUCCCCAGGCCUGCUGCUCUUGGAUGGCCCUCUUGCAUCGUCCCCCGCGACGGAUGGGCCCAUGCUACCGCCGGCCGGCCCUCCCUUCCCCGACUUCUACAACCACUACCUCGGUUGGAUCCGGGCGACUCGCCUCUCGCUGAGCGCCAGCCCCAACGAUGCACUAGGUUUAGUUCGGCUUGGGUGUAAAGAUUGAGUGGUUUGGUUUUGGUUGGGCCGAUGAAAAUAUAGUAUGGUUUAGUUUCGGUUGGCUGAUACAAAUAUUCGUGCGGGUUCAGUUCGGUCAUGGUGCAGUUUAUAAACCAUUCUCGGGUUGGGUCACCAUUGGCUUUUCAUGUGUUUGUCAGUGGUCCGGCCUCUCAUGUGACUCUACUUGGGAGCUCCUAAGUGGCGCCAAGCGCCACUUGGAGGAACAGGUGCUAACGCACUUGUAUUCAUGGGCCGGCCCAUUAGAAGGUCAGCGCUCGAUUACGUGACCAGUUUCCACGCAGUCGCUCGAUUGUGGUUGACCAGUUGACCGGUCAACCUUUGACUUUGAAAAAAGUAUGAAAUUUUUCGCAAAAAAGAAUAAUUUCAUGACUUAAAAAUGUUCAUGGAUUUUGAAAAGAAGUUCACAAACUUUAAAAAAUAGUUCACGGAUUGGAAAAAAAUUCAUUGAUUUUUUUUUCACAAAAGUUGAAAUUUUUAAUAUCAGUUUUGAAAAAAUUUCAUUGAAUUUGAAAAAUGUUCAUCGAAUUUAGAAAGUUCCACCAAUUUUAAAGAAAGGUAGAUCAAGUUUGAAAAGGGAAAUCAUCAAUUUUGAAAGAAUUCAUCGAUUUGAAAAAGUUCAUGCAUUUAAGAAACGAAAAAAAUAGGAAAAUGAAAAAAAAAGGAAAUGUAGAGAAUCCAAGUGAAAACACAGAAAAAAACUAAACAGAAAUGACAAUGGGCCUGCCCGUUACUAGACUUAGUGUACCGUAGGGUGUGCGCGUGUGGUGGCUUAAUGGGACAAGGCGCACAAGGUGAUGCAAACCAAUUUUUUUAUAUUGAACUUUUAUACUUAUUUUGAACUAAAUGAACCAUAUUAAAAUAUUAAUUAAUAUAGUGUUCUAUUGCUUAGCCACAUAACAAUGUUUCCAAACAUUAGUUAUAUUAUUCAUUGUUAUACAGUUGUAAUGUAUAUCAUUGAAUUUUUUUCUGCAAAAUUUAAAUUGUAUGAUGUACCAAAAAUUCCGUUUCUUGUUUAAAAAGGUAUUGAAAUUUAUUUUUUACUAUUGCAUAGAUUAUAUAGUGUAUAUACAUAUAUUUGCAUAUCUAUGCGUUUGUUUCCAUAUCGUUUAAUAUUAUUGAAUGACAUGGUAGAGAUUUCUAAAUCAUAUACACACUGACAAAAUUUCAAUAGUGGUUUCUAAUAUAUAUUAGGCACCAUGUUCGUGGAAAUUUCUAGCGCUUACAAAUGUGAUUUGAAAGUUGGGUUCAGUAAUAGAGUCAUCAAAGAAUAAAAAAUGUUGUUGAUUGUACUUUUGUGUAUGAUUUGAUUAUCUGACAUGAUCGUCUUGAUUUACUUGGUUUGAUUUGGUGCUUAUCCAUUUCUCAAAUGAAAAAAAUUAUGCAUUGGUUUAAACAUUGAAAUCUAGUUAUCAAAAAAUUUCACUAUGAAACUAAGACAUCCACCAUAAAGAGAGACUAGCGUAUCUAAACUCAAGGUUAGUCAGAUUGGUUUGCCUUCACAUGGUAUAAAUUGUUAUUAUAUGGUGUGAACUUGCGCUCCUGCAAAUUGAGGCUUAUUUCUAUAUUUAAUGUUUUAGAUGUAAUGUAUAAUUUUUGAAUCCUGGUAAAUGUCACAUGUGUGGCACGAAUGCAUGGCAAUUCCGAACGUUUUUUUAAUCGCAAGCUUAGUGACGUGAGGAUGACAAUUUUAGUUGUCAAAGUAUGACAACUUUCAUACUUCAAAGGAUGGCAACUUUAUUUUUCGGGUUUGUAAUUUUUUGAAUGGUAGCUUUAAUUGUAAAAAAGCCAGAGCCCGAGUGCUUCACACCACACGUGUGACACUUAUCAUUUGAGUAAUUUUUUAGUGUUUAUAUACUACUUCCUCUGUUCCUAAAUAUAAGUUUGUUUAGAGAUUCCAACAUGGAUUAUAUACGGAGCAAAAUGAGUGAAUCUACACUCUAAAAUAUGUCUAUAUAUAUCCUUAUGUAGUUCGUAUUGAAAUUGCUAACAUAAUUGUGUAUAGAAACGGAGGGAGUAGUAUAAUGUAUAGUAGGCUGUCGCCCUUUUACCCGGCCUAUACGCCAGCCCUAUUUUCACAAGUAAAGUGGGCAAACUUCCUAUGGCUUAGACUUAAUUUUUUUUGAGAGUUGCAUAGGAAAGGGUGGACAAUAUAUUAGGAGUAGGUUCUUUUGCAAGAUAAGACAUUAUGUAGGUGGCAGAACAAUUUUAAGUAAUUGCUCCCUUUUCCAUAUCCUCUUUGAACAUGUUUUUUGGGAAAUUUUUGUUUUUGCCACUAUAAUUUUUGCCAAUUUUGCUUAUGUCACACUAAAAUUUGACAUUUCACUUUUGCCACUCUUGCUUUUGACAAUGUAUCACAAUUGUCAUUAACAUGACGAGCCAACCACUUAUAUCAUAGGAGAAAAACAUUUUGCUAACCAAAUAUGGACAUGGCCGAGCUAACCACUUAUCGGUGCGUGUUAUCAUCCGGUUUUUAAAAAACCUUUUCCUUUCCGAAUUCCGGUCUAGUUUGCGGCUCCGACCCCAACUCGUCGUCGGCCUCGAUCCGAUCUACUUAUAGUAGAUCCCCCUAGUCCUCUCUCGUAACCUAGGAACACCGUGCGAGCACAGCUGUAGCUACGUGAUACGCACGGAGAAGUACCGACCGAACGUGCUGCACAACAGCAACACGAGGGAGACGAUCAUGGACAGCGUGUUCGGCGUGGUGGGCGGCGGCUUCGCGGUGGUGGCCGCCGGCACCUCCGCCGCGGGAAGAAGCGUCGUGUUCAUCAACCCCGACAACGACAGGGUCACGAGCCUCGGCUCCAAACUGCUUCUCGGCGUGUCCGGCGUCCCCGGAGACUGGUACGUAAUCCACCACGAUCGAGAUUAAUCAAUUCUCACGCUCCUUCGCCUGAGUCUUCGAUCAGUCUUUGUGAUCCUCGCCUGAGUCCUCCAUGCUUUUGUGUUUCGUAGCCUGCGGUUAAGGGAUGAGGUGAGGGCCAGCACGAGCAAGAUCCACAGCGCCGCCGCGGCUGCUGACGUCGCCCGGGGGGCGGUGAUCGGCUGCGCUCAGUCCGCGAACGCGGUGAUCGCCGGCUACGACAAGGCCGAGGGCCCGACGAUGUACGCCGUAGGCGGCACUGCGCCGCCGGAGCGGGUGGAGCAGUACCGCACCGCUGGGUGCGGGGCGGGCCUCUGCACGGCGGUGAUGGAGAACCACUACCGCCCCGGCAUGACGGUGAAGGAGGCUGUGGCGCUCGUAGACAGGUGCAUCAAGGAGGUCCGGCGGCUCGGGCUGGCUAGCUUCGUGAUCAUGGUCGUGGACAAGGAUGGGGCCAGGGAGUACACCAGGCGUAUACUAAGGCCGAAGGCGGUGAUAGAAAUAAAAUCCAGUCAGGGAACGCCUAUUGUAAGCACGAAUAAUUAAAGUAGUGGUAGUAUAUUUUGCGUAAAAUUUAUAUACAAACUUGUUUGUAAUUUGGAAAUUUAAGUGGGGUUCAUAUACAUGUUCUUUCUCACUCUUACCGGCUAUCUCCGCCACGUUUAUCAAACCCGCUCUGGAGGCAUUGUUUUGGCUUGACCGCCCCCUUGGGCACCAAAGGAAUCACUAGCUCCGGUUCGUCGGACCCGCCGGUGCCCGUGCGGUCUAUAGCGGUGGAAAUUGUCUGUUGGCCGAUACCUCUUGGCCGACAUCAUCCUCAAGUCUGGUUGUCCACCUGCCAAUCUCCUAGGCGCAACGGUGGAGGGCCAGCGAGUCUAGUCUAUAGUUUUGGUCGCGUGUUCGAGGUGUUUGGCAUCGAUUGAGGCGCGACCUUGGGCUCUAUGUCCUGCCUCAUUGCCAUUCGUAUGUUUGUCUGGCCCAGCCGUGGAGGAGUCACGGUUGAAGCAAACCACAGGUCAAUUUUUUUGGCAACAUUUGGAGUUGAGACUUUCUUAUCCCUCUUGUUACGACGGAUCGAGCAUAUGAUUCUUUUCUUGAUUGAAAUCAUUCACUUUUCCUUGAAAUCAUCACAAAGUAAUUGGAAGAAGAAGUGCUUGAGAAGCUAAUGGAUAUAUAUUCUAUGGUGGCUUCUCCAAUAGUUCGAGCCAUAGCUUCAUUUCAUUGUUUCUAUAAUUUUCUUCACUUUAUCAUUGCCCUCAAGUACAAGUAAUUUCUGACAAACUUUCUUUCCCAUGGUUCGGGUGGGCACGGAUAUGGAUGGCAGGACAUGAGUGAAGAUCCCUCAGCUAAGGGCUAGACCGGACGUUUCACUGUCUGAUGACGAGUGCACACAAAUCAACCCUAGAAGGAUUCUGCUAUGUCAAAAGUGUUUAUAUAAUCGAAUUGUUUAACGCCAAGAUGCCAAUAGCAAUGAUGGAUAAAGCAACUCCCACGAGUAGGGCUCGAAAGCCGGGGACUCUCCUGGCAAAGAAUCUGAACGAUCUGAGUUCUUUUUUGAGAAAGAAGAAGAUGCAAGGCAUGGAUCCAAGCCUGAAGGCGACGUGGAGUGUUAUUAUUAUCGUUACUCCAGAGAAUGGGAGGCACUCUCUUCUUGCAAAAUGCAGUUAUGAAAUCUGUAAUCUAGAUGAUUCUGGUUGAAGGGGACGAUGCAGCCUAGCGGUUACGAACUUUUUGUUCGAUUCAAAGGAUUUCCACUUAAGUAAAGCUAUGGUGGGAGGAAUUUUUUUCGAGUAAUUUUCUUUUGGCAAUAUGAAAAAGGAUGGGGAAAAUCUAUUAAAAAUCAAUUUUUCAACACUUCAAAUCAUCAAACACGUAGCAAGUUACACUCCCACAACACAUACAUCAAAAAGGCAAUUAAAUUACCCAAAGUAGCAGGAAGGCUGAAGCGGGAAGUAGGUGCGGCGACGCAAAGUAAGGGCAGAGGAGACGGGGAAGAUGCUCGGAGGCAGAAGCACGACAACCUCGGCCCGGGGAGGACAUGAUGGUGGCGACAACAGAUAGCAGAAAGCAGCAUCUCGACUGUCAGGCGCAGCCGCACCAGCGGAGGCUGGGUUUGUUGUUUCAUCGACAGUCCUGCUCGUCGGGACUCGGGAUAACUAAGACGGCGCCGCGGGCAGCUAGUAGUCAGACAGGAAGCAGCAACACGAUAGUCGAGGCACGCUUUGGGGGCAGGGGAAGGUCGGGGACAAGGAGGAUGAACUGCAAGAGCUCGCCAGGUUAGGCCCUGUACAAUGUUGUUAUCUUAGGUGUGCCACGUAGAAUAAGUGCUGAGAUGGUAGAAAGAGAAGUUAGGAAAAAAAGGUUACUUUUUUUUAAUCAAGAGAUGAUAUCUUAGCAUAAUAUGUCUCAUCACAUUUUUAGAAAUAGCUAAUUAUCGAAGAUAUGGCUAAGGGAUAACACAUUGUACACAUGUUUUUAGUGCCAUAUCUAAAUUACAUGAAAGACUUAAGAUAAAGACGGUCAUAUGAACCAGUGUACAUGCAUUUAGACCGUGGUCGCGUCUGGGUAAGGGGAUGUAUGCGUGUUUACGUGCUUGGGUUAGGUCGGCCAUUCCCUAUUCGGCGCUUAUGGCGCCAAUUACAACAUGUUUUUCUGUAAACUGACGCCCACCGCAAUCGGUCGCUCGCAGAACGGGCUGGCCCAUAUUAGCCACCGAGCGGCACUUCGUCUCGUUUUUUCGAAGCUCAAUCGAUUUCCGGACCUUACCAACCCGAUUUUUCUUUUUCACUUUGAUUUUUCUGGACCGGGUCAUCACUACUUGUUGUCUUUUUUCCUUUUUGUUAUUCACUACGGUUUUAGUUAUAUUAUUCUUUUUCGCAUUUGUUUCCUUAACCACGUGAACUUAUUUUAAAUUUAAAUUUUCACAAAUCUUUGAACUUUUUAAAAAUUAAAAAACCCUUCUCCAAAUUCGUGAACUUUUUCAAUUUUUUUUGUGAACGUUUUCAAUUCCGUAAGUUUUUAAAGAAAUUGUGAAUAUUGUAAAAGCAAUUCUGAGCAUUUUUUAAUUUAUGACCUUUUUCUUCAAAUUUUGUGAAUUAUUUUCAAUUUCUGCAAACUUUUUCCCAAUUUUUAAUUUCUUCUUUCAAAUUUGGUGAACUUAUUUCUAAUUUGAAAAACAAAAUCAUUUUUUCAAGAUUUCGAACUUUGUUCAAAUUUAUGAAUUAUUUAUUUUUCAUAUUCAACGUGUACUCGUCGUCAGUCAUCAGGUCAAAUGAAACAAAAACCCAGAAGAAAUACCCAGGCGACGACAUAGUAGAUGGGCCAGCACUAGAGCGGAGGCGCCCCUAUGUUUCGCUUAGGGCGAGACGAAGAGAACCCUCGCGUCAAGGGCAGCGUGAGAUGGGCCUGCCCAGGUGCGCUGUAGACCACCACAUUGUGUUUAUUUUGCUUUUUGGUUUUUUACUUUUGUUUAUACUUCCAAAUAUUAUUAGUAAAAUAUAUUACAAAAACAAUUGGAUGAAACAUUUUUUAAAAAAAGUUAAUCAAACAUUUUAAAAAUGUUAAAUGUGUAUAAAAAAUGUUUUUGUUAUAUACGAAAAUACAUAAUGUGUGUGAAAAGUUUAUCAUGUACUUAAAAUAAUUUAGUCAAGCAUUUUAAAAAGUUAAACAAUUAUUUCAAAUUUUUUAAUAAAACAUUUUAAAAAUGUUAGAUGUCUAUAGAAAAAAUGUUGAACAUUUAUUAAAAAAUGCUAAUCUUUCAUUUAAAAAAUGUUAAUCAAGCAUUUGGAAAAUUUUAAUAAGUAUAAAAAAAUAUGGACCAUGUAUUAAAAUAUUUAAUAUUGUAUUUAAAAAUGUUAAUUGAGCAUUUAAAAAUAUUAAAAUUUUGUAUAGAAAAACUUGACCGUGUAUUUAAAAAUGUUAAACUUGUAUUUUAAUAAUGCUAAACUUGCAUUAGGAAAAUGUAUUAGAUAUAUAUACCAAAAAUGUACAAUGUGUACGGGAAAAAUUAGACAUAAAAAAACAAAAUUUCGAAUUUUUUUAAUCAUUUAUUUGAAAAUGAUAACCAUGUAUAUUAAAAGAAGUUUCAAAUGUAUAUGAAAAAUCUUGAAUGUGUAGUGAAAAAAAAUUAACACGUGUUGAACCAAAAAGAAUCAUAUGAAUGAUAGAAAACAAGUAAAAUGAAGAAGUCCCAAUAAAAACCGAAAAGAAAAAAAAUGAAAAACCCGAAGAAACUAAUUUAAAAGAAUGGAAACAAAGAAAACCGAGAAAUAAACAAAUAAAAAUAGAGGAAAAAAAAUGAAAAACCGAUGACAACCGCUGAAAGAAAACUGAUGAAAAAGCAAAGAAAAUAGAAAAGCAAUAAGAAAUCGCGAAGAAACAAAGGAAAAAGAAAGGAAGACUAAAAAUAGAACAUAAAAGAAAAGAACCCGUAUUAUCCCGAGCGAGAACCAGCGAGCUCGGCGAAAAACAAAACAAACUCAGCGAAGGAAAAAUCAUGAAAAUGGGUCAGCCCAGUAGCUAUACCGCGGGCGUAAAACCUUUAGCGAGGCCUAAGGUAAUCUCACUAUAAACGAGGUAUAACAUAUGCGUGGUAUAGGCGCUCUCAUUUGGUCGUGCUAGGGAAGAGACUAGCCAGCCCAAACUAGUAUUCGGGCCUUUUUGUGUUGGGCUGAGCCCAUGCCAAAAAUAAAAGUCUAUAUUUACACAACUAAACAGUCUAUUGGUCUUGAAAGUUUGAAUUUAGGCAUUGAAUAGUGUAUCCAACCAUUAAUUGGGCUACAUCUGAUAACCUAGAACGUUGGGAUUCACGGCCAUACUAGGGUUCUGUGUUAUAUGGUUGUUCCAAAACAUUCAUGUUUUUUAUUAGAAAGACAAAGACAUCUUACAUAUGAAAUUAUCAAGAAAAACAACUAGUACAAUGAUAAGACACCUGGUAGCAGAACGAGCAGUUAAAAAUGAAAUUACAAUGGAAAUCACACUAGACUUCUUCCUCCGAUUGAUUGCCACUCACCAGAGAUUGAAAAUCAUACCGAACCAAUAAUAAGAGAAGAGGCACCUGCAAAUGCCCUCACCACACUAGGCAUUUAAAGACCGCGUAACCACUUGCCGCUUGAAACGAGAUCUAGAAGUCGGUGAAUAAACAUUAGUUGGAGCAUCAUGCCACGUAGGACAUGUUUGCAGUCCAUCCUACCUGCCAUGAGAGUUGGAGAAACCGGACCAUGCUGUAGAACAACACUGAAGAAGAUGUUGAAUUCGUUGCAUCAAUAGCUAACCAUGGCUCUCCUUGAUUGACAGACUAACUACCAAGAUCCAAACAAACCCAACAUAUCUGGUGACACAAACUCUUCAUCGAUGUCGGACCAAUCGUCGUUGAGGUAGGGAGAGGUUGGAGAGGCCUUAUUCAAACACAUUAUUGUCGCCAUCACUUCAUCAAUGCCACCAGAGAAAACAAACCUAAGAAAAAGACAAGCGAAAUAGAUGGGUCCCCACCCCUCUUAACGCCGACAAGGUUGUCAGACAGAGGAGAGAAGGGGGACCAAGGUGGCGGCAUGGAGGAGACCCUUGGGGGUUGUGGCUAGGGUUGGCAACGGAAGAUGGGGAUCUAUUUUUCCUUGAAACAUCCAUGAAUUAAUACAGGGUCAAUGCUAUCUCGAUGACUGGAUUGUUCUAGAACACCGAGUCAUCGACCCACCCUAGUACAUGCCUAUUUCAGCUGGUUGGAGCCAAUUGAAUCAUCAGUUCCACAUACUCACAUAUCUUGGAGCCAGGAGAAUCAUUUCACCAAAGCAGACAUUGGCAGCCAUACUUGCCUUGUGGCUGAACAAAGAAAUGAACUACUUCCCUACUAUUAAGUCUGACAAAAGGAAAAAAUAGAAUGCAAAUCGGAAAAGUAAACAAAUCAAUACAAUGCAUUACCCACAUACAUGGUAUCACCUACUAAGCAUUUUCCUCUUGGAAAGCUAUAGUAAAUGUUACAUGAAACAUAGCAAUAGGUGCCGCGAAUUUGUUUAAACUGCAUAUUCCUUGCAUGUGAUAUUUACUGACAUAUGAACAUGAGAAUCUUCCUUAUGAUAAUUCCAAGUAUUUCGUUUCUGUUUCUGUUUCAUGCCCAAUGUUCAUUUUGUUGGGGAACGUAGUAAUUUCAAAAAAUUUCCUACGCACACGCAAGAUCAUGGUGAUGCAUAGCAACGAGAGGGGAGAGUGUUGUCCACGUACCCUCGUAGACCGAAAGCGGAAGCGUUAGCACAACGCGGUUGAUGUAGUCGUAUGUCUUCACGAUCCGACCGAUCAAGUACCGAACGCACGGCACCUCCGAGUUCAGCACACGUUCAGCUCGAUGACGUCCCUCGAACUUCGAUCCAGCCGAGUGUUGAGGGAGAGUUUCGUCAGCACGACGGCGUGGUGACGAUGAUGAUGUUCUACCGACGCAGGGCUUUGCCUAAGCACCGCUAUAGUAUUAUCGAGGUGGACUAUCGUGGAGGGGGGCACCGCACACGGCUAAAAGAUCAAAUCAAUUGUUGUGUCUCUAGGGUGCCCCCCUGCCCCCGUAUAUAAAGGAGCAAGGGGGAAGGUGCGGCCGGCCAGGAGGAAGCGCGCCAGGAGGAGUCCUACUCCCACCGGGAGUAGGACUCCCUCCCUUUUCCUUGUUGGNNNNNNNNNNNNNNNNNNNNNNNNNNNNNNNNNNNNNNNNNNNNNNNNNNNNNNNNNNNNNNNNNNNNNNNNNNNNNNNNNNNNNNNNNNNNNNNNNNNNNNNNNNNNNNNNNNNNNNNNNNNNNNNNNNNNNNNNNNNNNNNNNNNNNNNNNNNNNNNNNNNNNNNNNNNNNNNNNNNNNNNNNNNNNNNNNNNNNNNNNNNNNNNNNNNNNNNNNNNNNNNNNNNNNNNNNNNNNNNNNNNNNNNNNNNNNNNNNNNNNNNNNNNNNNNNNNNNNNNNNNNNNNNNNNNCGGUAACCCCCCGGUACUCCGGUAUAUAUCCGAUAACCCCCGGAAUCAUUCCGGUGUCCGAAUAUAGUCAUCCAAUAUAUCAAUCUUCAUGUCUCGACCAUUUCGAGACUCCUCGUUAUGUCCGUGAUCACUUCCGGGACUCCGAACAACCUUCGGUACAUCAAAACUCAUAAACUCAUAAUAUAACUGUCAUCAAAACUUUAAGCGUGCGGACCCUACGGGUUCGAGAACUAUGUAGACAUGACCGAGACACGUCUCCGGUCAAUAGCCAAUAGCGGAACCUAGAUGCUCAUAUUGGCUCCCACAUAUUCUACGAAGAUCUUUAUCGGUCAGACCGCAUAACAACAUACGUUGUUCCCUUUGUCAUCGGUUUGUUACUUGCCCGAGAUUCGAUCGUCGGUAUCUCAAUACCUAGUUCAAUCUCGUUACCGACAAGUCUCUUUACUCGUUCCGUAAUGCAUCAUUCCGCAACUAACUCAUUAGUCACAUUGCUUGCAAGGCUUAUAGUGAUGUGCAUUACCGAGAGGGCCCAGAGAUACCUCUCCGAUAAUCAGAGUGACAAAUCCUAAUCUCGAAAUACGCCAACCCAACAAGUACCUUCGGAGACACCUGUAGAGCACCUUUAUAAUCACCCAGUUACGUUGUGACGUUUGGUAGCACACAAAGUGUUCCUCCGAUAAACGGGAGUUGCAUAAUCUCAUAGUCAUAGGAACAUGUAUAAGUCAUGAAGAAAGCAAUAUCAACAUACUAAACGAUCGAGUGCUAAGCUAACGGAAUGGGUCAAGUCAAUCACAUCAUUCUCCUAAUGAUGUGAUCCCGUUAAUCAAAUGACAACUCAUGUCUAUGGCUAGGAAACAUAACCAUCUUUGAUUAACGAGCUAGUCAAGUAGAGGCAUGCUAGUGACACUCUGUUUGUCUAUGUAUUCACACAAGUAUUACGUUUCCGGUUAAUACAAUUCUAGCAUGAAUAAUAAACAUUUAUCAUGAUAUAAGGAAAUAAAUAAUAACUUUAUUAUUGCCUCUAGGGCAUAUUUCCUUCAGUCUCCCACUUGCACUAGAGUCAAUAAUCUAGAUUUACACAGUAAUGAUUCUAACACCCAUGGAGCCUUGGUGCUGAUCAUGUUUUGCUCGUGGAAGAGGCUUAGUCAACGGGUCUGCAACAUUCAGAUCCGUAUGUAUCUUGCAAAUUUCUAUGUCUCCCACCUGGACUAGAUCCCGGAUGGAAUUGAAGCGUCUCUUGAUGUGCUUGGUUCUCUUGUGAAAUCUGGAUUCCUUUGCCAAGGCAAUUGCACCAGUAUUGUCACAAAAGAUUUUCAUUGGACCCGAUGCACUUGGUAUGACACCUAGAUCGGAUAUGAACUCCUUCAUCCAGACUCCUUCAUUUGCUGCUUCCGAAGCAGCUAUGUACUCCUCUUCACACAUAGAUCCCGCCACGACGCUUUGUUUAGAACUGCACCAACUGACAGCUCCACUGUUCAAUGUAAACACGUAUCCGGUUUGCGAUUUAGAAUCAUCCGGAUCAGUGUCAAAGCUUGCAUCGACGUAACCAUUUACGACUAGCUCUUUGUCACCUCCAUAAACGAGAAACAUAUCCUUAGUCCUUUUUAGGUAUUUCAGGAUGUUCUUGACCGCUGUCCAGUGACCUACUCCUGGAUUACUUUGGUACCUCCCUGCUAGACUUAUAGCAAGGCACACAUCAGGUCUAGUACACAGCAUUGCAUACAUGAUAGAGCCUAUGGCUGAAGCAUAGGGAACAUCUUUCAUCUUCUCUCUAUCUUCUGCAGUGGUCGGGCAUUGAGUCUUACUCAACUUCACACCUUGUAACACACGCAAGAACCCUUUCUUUGCUUGAUCCAUUUUGAACUUCUUCAAAACUUUGUCAAGGUAUGUGCUUUGUGAAAGUCCAAUUAAGCGUCUUGAUCUAUCUCUAUAGAUCUUGAUGCCCAAUAUAUAAGCAGCUUCACCGAGGUCUUUCAUUGAAAAACUCUUAUUCAAGUAUCCCUUUAUGCUAUCCAGAAAUUCUAUAUCAUUUCCAAUCAACAAUAUGUCAUCCACAUAUAAUAUAAGAAAUGCUACAGAGCUCCCACUCACUUCCUUGUAAAUACAGGCUUCUCCAAAAGUCUGUACAAAACCAAAUGCUUUGAUCACACUAUCAAAGCGUUUAUUCCAACUCCAAGAGGCUUGCACCAGUCCAUAAAUGGAUCGCUGGAGCUUGCACACUUUGUUAGCUCCCUUUGGAUCGACAAAACCUUCUGGUUGCAUCAUAUACAACUCUUCUUCCAGAAAUCCAUUCAGGAAUGCAGUUUUGACAUCCAUUUGCCAAAUUUCAUAAUCAUAAAAUGCGGCAAUUGCUAACAUGAUUUGGACAGACUUAAGCAUCGCUACGGGUGAGAAAGUCUCAUCGUAGUCAAUCCCUUGAACUUGUCGAAAACCUUUUGCAACAAGUCGAGCUUUAUAGACAGUAACAUUACCGUCAGCGUCAGUCUUCUUCUUGAAGAUCCAUUUAUUCUCAAUGGCUUGCCGAUCAUCGGGCAAGUCAACCAAAGUCCACACUUUGUUCUCAUACAUGGAUCCCAUCUCAGAUUUCAUGGCUUCAAGCCAUUUUGCGGAAUCUGGGCUCACCAUCGCUUCUUCAUAGUUCGUAGGUUCGUCAUGGUCUAGUAACAUAACCUCCAGAACAGGAUUACCGUACCACUCUGGUGCGGAUCUUACUCUGGUUGACCUACGAGGUUCAGUAACAACUUGACCUGAAGUUCCAUGAUCAUCAUCAUUAACUUCCUCACUAAUUGGUGUAGGCGUCACAGGAACCGGUUUCUGUGAUGAACUACUUUCCAAUAAGGGAGCAGGUACAAUUACCUCAUCAAGUUCUACUUUCCUCCCACUCACUUCUUUCGAGAGAAACUCCUUCUCUAGAAAGGAUCCAUUCUUAGCAACGAAUGUCUUGCCUUCGGAUCUGUGAUAGAAGGUGUACCCAAUAGUCUCCUUUGGGUAUCCUAUGAAGACACAUUUCUCCGAUUUGGGUUCGAGCUUAUCAGGUUGAAGCUUUUUCACAUAUGCAUCUCAGCCCCAAACUUUAAGAAACGACAACUUUGGUUUCUUGCCAAACCACAGUUAAUAAGGUGUCGUCUCAACGAAUUUCGAUGGCGCCCUAUUUAAUGUGAAUGCAGCCGUCUCUAAAGCAUAACCCCAAAAUGAUAGCGGUAAAUCAGUAAGAGACAUCAUAGAUCAUACCAUAUCUAGUAAAGUACGAUUACGACGUUCGGACACACCAUUACGCUGUGGUGUUCCGGGUGGCGUGAGUUGCGAAACUAUUCCGCAUUGUUUCAAAUGUAGACCAAACUCGUAACUCAAAUAUUAUCCUCCACGAUCAGAUCAUAGAAACUUUAUUUUCUUGUUACGAUGAUUUUCAACUUCACUCUGAAAUUCUUUGAACUUUUCAAAUGUUUUAGACUUAUGUUUCAUUAAGUAGAUAUACCCAUAUCUGCUUAAAUCAUCUGUGAAGGUGAGAAAAUAACGAUACCCGCCGCGAGCCUCAACAUUCAUCGGACCACAUACAUCUGUAUGUAUGAUUUCCAACAAAUCUGUUGCUCUCUCCAUAGUACCGGAGAACGACAUUUUAGUCAUCUUGCCCAUGAGGCACGGUUCGCAAGUACCAAGUGAUUCAUAAUCAAGUGGUUCCAAAAGUCCAUCAGUAUGGAGUUUCUUCAUGCGCUUUACACCGAUAUGACCUAAACGGCAGUGCCACAAAUAAGUUGCACUAUCAUUGUCAACUCUGCAUCUUUUGGUUUCAACAUUAUGAAUAUGUGUAUCACUACUAUCGAGAUUCAUCAAAAAUAGACCACUCUUCAAGGGUGCAUGACCAUAAAAGUUAUUACUCAUAUAAAUAGAACAACCAUUAUUCUCUGAUUUAAAUAAAUAACCGUCUCGCAUCAAACAAGAUCCAGAUAUAAUGUUCAUGCUCAACGCUGGCACGAAAUAACAAUUAUUUAGGUCUAAUACUAAUCCCGAAGGUAGAUGUAGAGGUAGUGUGCCGACGGCGAUCACAUCGACAUUGGAACCGUUUCCCACGCGCAUCGUCACCUCGUCCUUGGCCAGUGUUCGCUUAAUCCGUAGUCCCUGUUUUGACUUGCAAAUAUUAGCAACAGAACCAGUAUCAAAUACCCAGGUGCUACUACGAGCUCUGGUAAGGUACACAUCAAUAACAUGUAUAUCACAUAUACCUUUGUUCACCUUGCCAUCCUUCUUAUCUGCCAAAUACUUGGGGCAGUUCCGCUUCCAGUGACCAGUCUGCUUGCAGUAGAAGCACUCAGUCUCAGGCUUAGGUCCAGACUUGGGUUUCUUCUCUUGAGCAACAACUUGCUUGCUGUUCUUCUUGAAGUUCCCCUUCUUCUUUCCUUUGCCCUUUUUCUUGAAACUAGUGGUCUUAUUAACCAUCAACACUUGAUGCUCCUUCUUGACUUCUACCUCUGCAGCCUUUAGCAUUGCGAAGAGCUCGGGAAUCGUCUUAUCCAUCCCUUGCAUGUUAUAGUUCAUCACGAAGCUCUUGUAGCUUGGUGGCAGUGAUUGAAGAAUUCUGUCAAUGACGCUAUCAUCCGGAAGAUUAACUCCUAGUUGAAUCAAGUGAUUAUUAUACCCAGACAUUUUGAGUAUAUGCUCACUGACAGAACUAUUCUCCUCCAUCUUGCAGCUGUAGAACUUAUUGGAGACUUCAUAUCUCUCAAUCCGGGCAUUUGCUUGAAAUCGUAACUUCAACUCCUGGAACAUCUCAUAUUCUCCAUGACGUUCAAAACGUCGUUGAAGUCCCGGUUCUAAGCCGUAAAGCAUGACACACCGAACUAUCGAGUAGUCAUCAGCUUUGCUCUGCCAGACGUUCAUAACAUCUGGUGUUGCUCCUGCAGCAGGUUUGGCACCUAGCGGUGCUUCCAGGACGUAAUUCUUCCGUGCAGCAAUGAGGAUAAUCCUCAAGUUACGGACCCAGUCCGUGUAAUUGCUACCAUCAUCUUUCAACUUUGCUUUCUCAAGGAACGCAUUAAAAUUCAACGGAACAACAGCACGGGCCAUCUAUCUACAAUCAACAUAGACAAGCAAGAUACUAUCAGGUACUAAGUUCAUGAUAAAUUUAAGUUCAAUUAAUCAUAUUACUUAAGAACUCCCACUUAGAUAGACAUCCCUCUAAUCCUCUAAGUGAUCACGUGAUCCAAAUCAACUAAACCAUAACCGAUCAUCACGUGAAAUGGAGUAGCUUUCAAUGGUGAACAUCAUUAUGUUGAUCAUAUCUACUAUAUGAUUCACGCUCGACCUUUCAGUCUCAGUGUUCCGAGGCCAUAUCUGCAUAUGCUAGGCUCGUCAAGUUUAACCUGAGUAUUCUGCGUGCGCAAAACUGGCUUGCACCCAUUGUAGAUGGACGUAGAGCUUAUCACACCCGAUCAUCACGUGGUGUCUGGGCACGACGAACUUGUGACGCCCCAAGACCGACGCUCUAGAUGCCUUCCAUUUAGUUUCAUUGUCAUCGUGUGUUUCAUAUGUUUGUUGCCAUGAUCUUGAUGAGUGCCAUUGCCAUAUUCUGCUUCUUGCAUCACGUUCAUCUUAUAUUACAUUGCAUUGCACCAUCCUUGCUUUGUUCUAUGCUUCAUGAUGCGAUGUGCCUCUUGUCAUUCUAUUGCAUUGCAUCAUGAUCAUCAUGCCUUGUUUUGCAUAUUUAAGUUUUGUUGUGUGUUCUUGUGUGAACCCCUCUUAUUCUUAUCUCCACCUCAUUUUUGUUCCAUGCGCAUACCAGCAACAAUUCAUCAAGUUCACCCAAGUUUCUAUCCCAUCCAAACUUCUCCUUUUCCCUUUCUUUCAAUUAUUUCUCUAGUGGCAUUUUCUGCUCCAGAUUAAUGUUCACUAUAUUUUUUAUAUUCUCUACACCAUGCCAAGACCACCUCCUCCAGUUUUCAAGUCCUUUGGAAGUGUUUUGGUUGGGCUAAGGAUUUAUUCAAGCUUGAAUUAUUUUCAAACUUGUUUGAAUUUGCAGUCUCUUAAAAUUACCAGAGCAUUUUAUUCAAAUGCUGCAUAAUUCCUGGUGUCCAGGGAUAUUUUGUUCUUAGCCUAUUUCUUCUCAAAACUCCCUGGACUUUUCUUUUUCUAAACCUGGAGAUUCAAAGUUUUAGAAAAGAAGAAAAUGGAAGGGGCCUCCCAGCAGCGCACCUUGGGCCUUUUUCCCUCACCUACAGCCCAGCCAAGCCACCGCAGCCCGCCUGGCCCGACUUUGUUCACGGCCACCUGCCCCGUUGCGUCACCGUCUCUGUUCCAGAGACAGAGCGCUCGCGCUCGCGCCGUGAGUUUCACGGACGCCGAGGUCGCGCCGUCUUCUCCCCUCCUUUUUAAGCCAGUAGCCACGCCCUAGGGUUUCCCCUUCUCCCUCUCGUUUCCUCCGCCGCUGCCAGCCAGGAGGGCAGCUCCUCCCCGCUCCAUCUCCCCCCUGCAGCCACCAUGGCCGGUCCAAGAAAGAGCUCAUCACCGGAGUAGGAGCAUCGCCGGCCUCCCCACCGUCGACCCAGAGCACCUCAGCGCCUCCCAGAGUCUGUUCUGACGCCUAUCCGAGCCCUAGGACGCCUUCCCCGACGUCCUCUUCAUCCUCUACUUCGUCUUCUUCACGGACAGCAAGUCCACCGGAGUUUCUCGCCUCCUAUCCAUCGAUAUUCUGCGUCCCCGGCCGCAUCCUCAUGUCACAUGUAUACUAGGUAUACCCAAAUCCAAUCCUGCUCUUUUCCAUCGCGAUUUGAUCGCCGGAGUCAUCGCUAGAACCAUGCCAUCUUCGUGUUCUCGGUGCUCCGACGAGUUCUGAAUUUUGUUGUGUAGUUGCAGUAGUCGUCGUGGUUCCUCGCGCUUCGCCCCCGCUCUGAAUCCUCUCUAGCACACGCCGCCUUGUCGUGCCACUCCCUGCUCGCCACCGCUCCCGGCAGCUUCGCCGAUUGCCUCGCGUCGUCGUCGCCCGAGCCGAGCCAUGCUCGUGCUCAAGCAGGUCCUGCUGCUGCUUGCCCUGCUUCUCCUCGCCGCGCGUCCUCUGCACACACGCCGCCCAUUUGCUGCACCUUCGUGGGCACACCUCCAUGCACAUGCUUCUACACAUGCGCAUGGCCGCGCUCGACUGCAAGCCCGUGGCCUGCUGCGUCUUGCCUCGCCGCCAUGCCCGGGACGAGCUCAAGCUCGUGCUCGAGCCAAUCUCCUGCAGCUGCUCCGCCUGCACGCGACCAUCCCGCAGCUGCUCACACAUCCAGACCCGCAUGCCCGCCGCUGGUUUUUAGCCGUAGCCGCCGCUGCUUCUAGCCGCGAGCAACCGCUGGAGUUUUGCGUCCUCUGUUCAUCCAUGGAGGUCCAGGAUCGGGGCUUCAACCUAUUUAAGAUGUGCCAUGCUCUUCACUUUCACAAACACACAACCAGCUCGACUGGUUAACCCAUCGUGCCAUUAGCAGGAGGUCCUGGGUUUGAGUCCCAGGCGUCCCAAUUUUUGCAUAGUUUUUCGUUCUGCACACACACUGUCACUCGGGCCAAAUCCUCGUGGGCCGCUGCAGGAUCCUGCAAUUCGGCCCGAUUGUGUUUUUUAUCAGUCUUGCGUUUUGCUAUUUGUCUACUGCAUUGCAUAUUUACAGAAUUGCCAUUGUCUUAAAUUGUUUAUAGCUAAAUAUCCAAGCAUCCAAAAGAAACAUGCCAUAUAUGCAUCUUGCUCAGAUUUUCAUGUUCUUUAAACAGUAUGCAACUUUCCACCAUGUUUAAAAUGUUGUUUGCAAUUAAUUUGCUCUAAUGACAUGUUAAAAUGGUUUAAUUCAUAACUAAAUAACCGUAGCUCGGUUUUAAAUAAUCUUUAUAUGUAAAUGGGGUCGAAAAAUGCCUAGUUUAACAUGGUGCACUCUUCUUGCAUGUUUAACAACUCUAAAAUAUGGUUUAGGGCAGAACAGUACCAAAUCCAUAAAUUGCAUAUGAGGAUUUUUCCGGACUUGUUGCUUGUUGUUCCGACCUCAUUUAAACUUGCCUAGAUAGGUAGUUUUAUUAUGCUUCACCUCUUGCCAUGUUUAACAACAUUUAAUAUUGAUGGUACCUAAACGAGAGAGAACUAAAUAAGUCAUGUGGUGUUUCGUCAAUAUGCAACUCGUUGCAUAUUGAGCUACACUUAAUUUGUAGUGUUGUUUGUUGCACUUUGCCAUGCCAUGCCUCAUUAAACCGGACAUGCAUCAUACUUGGUUGUGCAUCAUGCCAUGUUUAUGUGAUGGUUGUUUACCAUGUUGUUUGCUUCUUUCCGGUGUUGCUUCUUCGGGUUAGUUCCGAUAACGUCGUGUUUGUGAGGAUUCGUUCGACUACGUCCGCUUGUCUUCUUCAUGGACUCGUUCUUCUUCCUUGCGGGAUCUCAGGCAAGAUGACCAUACCCUCGAAAUCACUUCUAUCUUUGCUUGCUAGUUGUUCGCUCUAUUUCUAUGCCGCGCUACCUACCACUUGCUAUAUCAUGCCUCCCAUAUUGCCAUGUCAAGCCUCUAACCAUCCUUUCCUAGCAAACCGUUGCUUGGCUAAGUUACCGCUUUUGCUCAGCCCCUCUUAUAGCGUUGCUAGUUGCAGGUGAAGAUGAAGAUUGCUCCAUGUUGGAUUAUGUUUAUGUUGGGAUAUCACAAUAUCUCUUAUUUUAUUAAUGCAUCUAUAUACUUGGUAAAGGGUGGAAGGCUCGGCCUUAUGCCUGGUGUUUUGUUCCACUCUAGCUGCCCUAGUUUCCGUCAUAUCGGUAUUAUGUUCCCGGAUUUUGCGUCCCUAACGCGGUUGGGUGUUAUGGGAACCCCUUGACAGUUCGCCUUGAAUAAAACUCCUCCAGCAAGGCCCAACAUUGGUUUUACCAUUUGCCUACCUACCACCUAUACCUUUCCCUUGGGAGUAAUUAACCUGAGGGUCAUCUUUAUUUUAGCCCCCCGGGCCAAUGCUUCUCCAAGUGUUGGUCCGAACUAGAGCCACUUGCAGCGCCACCUCGGGGAAACUUGAGGGCUGGUUUUAGUUGUACGUAGUGCACAUCCGGUCGUGGCCUGAGACGAGAUACGCGCGACUACUAUCAGGGUGUCGGCACGCCGGGAGGUCUUGCUGGUCUUGUUUUACCAUUGUCGAAAUGUCUUGUAACCGGGAUUCCGAGACUGAUCGGGUCGUUCCGGGAGAAGGAAUAUCCUUCGUUGAUCGCGAGAGCUUAUCAUGGGCUAAGUUGGGACACCCCUGCAGGGUUUGAACUUUCGAGAGCCGUGCCCGCGGUUAUCUGGCAGAUGGGAAUUUGUUAAUGUCCGGUUGUAGAGAACUUGACACUUGACUUAAUUAAAAUACACCAACCGCGUGUGUAGCCGUGAUGGUCUCUUCUCGGCGGAGUCCGGGAAGUGAACACGGUCUUGUGUUAUGUAUGCCUCCUUAUUACGCGCAAAAUAAUGAUUCCUCCACCUGACAGCAGGGACCCACCGGACGGGUCACCGUAUUUCGCGAAAAAAACGUUUCCCCCUGACUGCUGGGACCCACCAGCUACAUCUUCGCACGCAAGGAAGUGCGUCCAUAUUACGGGCAAAAAAUGAUUUGCCCCCCUGACUGCUGGGACCCACCAGCUACAUGUUCGCACGCAAGGAAGUGCCUGACAGUCGGGACCCACCUGGUCGAAGCGUACGUAUCGUUGUCAUUCUAGUGGCGAACGUGUACGUACACACUGGUCGAUCGGUCUGUCUGCAGGCUGCAGCGAUGAACCGUGGCUGUGUAAGGAAGGGCACGUGUCAUAGUAUAGGUGCGCACGUAGCAUGUACACAUACGUACAGCGGCCAGGGUGCAAUAAAGUAAAUACGGCCACGUACGUACAUACGGGCGGGGUCUCGAAUGCCUACUCACGCAUACGUACGACCAGGGCUCGUGUACAUGGCUGGGUCGGAAUGGAGAAGCUGCACCGUCGUAGUGAUCAUGGGGAGGCAACCGGCUGGGUCGGAACGGAAUGCGUCGUCGUGUUCAUCGGAAGCCAACCGGCUUGGACGGAACAACCGAUGGAAACGAGGCGUGGCAUACCACAGAACAGAGGAAACGGCCUUGGUUCGACCGGCCAUGGUCGAAACGGGAUCCUGUUCAUCGGGAGGGGUCUAGCGUACCGCAAAACGGAGGAAAUGGACCUCCUACGGUCGAAACGAGGUCCUGUUGAUCGGGAGGGGUGUGGCAUACCGCAAAACGGAGAAAACAGACUUGUGUUGGAGUGCUACGGUCGAAACGGGGGUCCUGUUCAUCGGGAGGGGUGUGGCGUACCGCAAAACGGGACUCCACGGGAUACUAGUCAUCUCCACCGUCGACCUCCUCCAGCCUCCGCGGGCUACUGUUCAUCCACCGUCGACCUCCUCCAGCAUCCACCUGCAACUGUUCAUCCACAGGCUCCUGUUCAUCCAGUUUCCACCGCGUGCUCCUCCAUCGGCUACUGUUCAACCAACCCUCUCCACGGGGUCCUGUUCAACCACCCCUCCACGGGCUACUAUUCAUCCAGCCCUCCACCGGCCACUGUUCAACCAGCCCUCCACGGGGUCCUGUUCAUCCAGCCCUCCAUGGGGUCCUGUUCAUCCAUCAGCUCGAUCGAUCGGGGUCCUGUUCAUCCAGCGGCAACGACCUCUACUACCACGGGGUCCUGUUCAUCCAACCCCCACCGGGAACUAUUCAUCCAAACCCCCUCAACAACGCACACUGUUCAUCAAGGGAAGGAGGCAACAAUGUUCGAUCGGCUUUAGUUAGCAGCAGUAGCGAAGGAAUCACUCGGGUUCAGUUAACAGCAAGGGAUCGAUCGAUCGCUCGGGUUCAGUAACGCGUAGCCUGCAGUGCAAUCGCUCGGGUUCAGUUAGAGCUCAACGCGUCGCUUGGGUUCAGUUAGAGCCCAAUGCCUCGCACACACGCGCGUACGUACGAGAGAAACGCGCAUCGCUCGGCCCCCGACCACCCACCGUAACCGGGAACUCCCCGAUAUUUUCCGCGCCCUCGCUUCUACCACGGUUUUUCCGUCAUGGAUGGCCCAAAGAAUGUCAUGCGGCUGCGUCUCCGGCCCGCCCAGGAUGAAAAGCCCAUUUUCUGUCAUGAUUUUUUGUCAUAGAAGUAGGACCCCACCACAUCUAUGAUGAUACCGGGUUUUGUCACAAUUAUCGUCAUAGGAGUGUCAUAAGUAUGACAGAAAAAAAUUCGUUUGGCCCAAAAUGUCACAGAUGUGUCUUUUUUUGUAGUGUUAGCAUGUUGAUCGUUCAGUUUUAUUGCUAUUGCUUUCUUCAUGACUUAUACAUGUUCCUCUGACUAUGAGAUUAUGCAACUCCCGGAUACCGGAGGAACACCUUGUGUGCUAUCAAACGUCACAACGAAACUGGGUGAUUACAAAGAUGCUCUAUAGGUGUCUCCGAAGGUGUUUGUUGGGUUGGAAUAGAUCAAGAUUAGGAUUUGUCACUCCGUGUAUCGGAGAGGUAUCUCUGGGCCCUCUCGGUAAUGCACAUCUCUAUAAGCCUUGCAAGCAAUGUGACUAAUGAGUUAGUUACGGGAUGAUGCAUUACGGGACGAGUAAAGAGACUUGCCGGCAACGAGAUUGAACUAGGUAUGAGGAUACCGACGAUCGAAUCUCGGGCAAGUAACAUACCGAUGACAAAGGGAACAACGUAUGUUGUUAUGCGGUUUGACCGAUAAAGAUCUUCAUAGAAUAUGUAGGAGCCAAUAUGAGUAUCCAGGUUCCGCUAUUGGUUAUUGACCGGAGAUGUGUCUUGGUCAUGUCUACAUAGUUCUCGAACCCGUAGGGUCGGCACGCUUAAUGUUUGAUGACGAUUUGUAUUAUGAGUUAUGUGAUUUGAUGACCGAAGUUUGUUCGGAGUCCCGGAUGAGAUAACGGACAUGACGAGGAGUCUCAAUGGUCGAGACGUAAAGAUCGAUAUAUUGGAAGGCUAUAUUCGGACAUCGGAAAGGUUCUGAGUGGUUCGGGUAUUUUUCGGAGUACCGGAGAGUUACGGGAAUUCGCCGGGGGAAGUAUUGGGCCUUAAUGGGCCAUACGGGAAAGGAGAGAAGGGCCUCAAGGGGUGGCCGCGUGCCCCCCCAUGGGCUGGUCCGAAUUGGACUAGGAGGGGGCGGUGCCCCCUCUCCUUCCUUCUCCCCUCUUUCUCCUUCCCUUCGUUCUCCAAGUUGGAAUAGGAAAGAAGGGGCUGAAUCCUACAUGGACCGGGAGUCCAAGUAGGACUCCCCCCUUGGUGCGCCCCCUCUAGGGCCAGCCUCCUCUUCCUCCCUCCUUUAUAUACGUGGGCAGGGGGCACCCCAAAAGCACUCUAAGAUUUGUCUUAGCCGUGUGCGGUGCCCCCCUCCACAGUUACACACCUCGGUCAUAUCGUCGUAGUGCUUAGGCAAAACCCUGCACCGGUAACUUCAUCAUCACCGUCACCACGCCGUCGUGCUGAUGGAACUCUCCCUCGGCCUCAACUGGAUCAAGAGUUCAAGGGACGUCAUCGAGCUGAACGUGUGCAGAUCGCGGAGGUGCUGUGUGUUCGAUACUUGGAUCGGUUGGAUCGCGAAGACGUUCGACUACAUCAACCGCGUUACUAAACGCUUCCGCUUUCGGUCUACGAGGGUACGUGGACACAUUCUCCCCGCUCGUUGCUAUGCUUCUCCUAUAUAGAUCUUGCGUGAUCGUAGGAAUUUUUUUGAAAUACUACGUUCCCCAAAAGUGGUAUCAGAGCUAGGUCUAUGCGUAGAUGUUAUAUGCACGAGUAGAACACAAAGAGUUCUGGGCGAUAAUAGUCAUACUGCUUACCAGCAUGUCAUACUUUGAUUCGGCGGUAUUGUUGGAUGAAGCGGCCCAGACCGACAUUACAUGACCGCGUUCAUGAGACUGGUUCUACCGCCGUGCUUAGCACAUAGGUGGAUAGUGGGUAUCUGUUUCUGCAAAUUUAGUCGAAUCAAGUGUGACUACGCCCGGUCCUUGUUGAAGGUUAAAACAUCACACUUGACGAAAAAUCGUUGUGGUUUUGAUGCGUAGGUAAGAUCGGUUCUUGCUAAGCCCGUAGCAGCCACGUAAAACUUGCAACAACAAAGUAGAGGACGUCUAACUUGUUUUUGCAGGGCAUGUUGUGAUGUGAAAUGGUCAAGACGUGAUGAUAUAAAUUGUUGUAUGAGAUGAUCAUGUUUUGUAAUAGAGUUAUCGGCAACUGGCAGGAGCCAUAUGGUUGUCGCUUUAUUGUAUGCAAUGCAAUCGCCAUGUAAUUGCUUUACUUUAUCACUAAGUGGUAGCGAUAGUCGUGAUAGCACUAGUUGGCGAGAUGACAACGAUGCUUCGAUGGAGAUCAAGGUGUCAAGCCGGUGACGAUGGUGAUCAUGAUGGUGCUUUGGAGAUGGAGAUCAAAGGCACAAGAUGAUGAUGACCAUAUCAUAUCACUUAUAUUGAUUGCAUGUGAUGUUUAUCCUUUAUGCAUCUUAUUUUGCUUAGUUCGGCGGUAGCAUUAUAAGAUGAUCUCUCACUAAAUUUCAAGGUAUAAAUGUUCUCCCUGAGUAUGCACCGUUGCGACAGUUCGUCGUGCCGAGAUACCACGUGAUGAUCGGGUGUGAUAAGCUCUACGUUCACAUACAACGGGUGCAAGCCAGUUUUGCACACGCAGAAUACUCGGGUUAAACUUGACAAGCCUAGCAUAUGCAGAUAUGGCCUCGGAACACUGAGAGCGAAAGGUCGAGCGUGAAUCAUAUAGUAGAUAUGAUCAACAUAGUGAUGUUCACCAUUGAAAACUACUCCAUCUCACGUGAUGAUCGGACAUGGUUUAGUUGAUUUGGAUCACGUGAUCACUUAGAUGAUUAGAGGGAUGUCUAUCUAAGUGGGAGUUCUUAAGUAAUAUGAUUAAUUGAACUUUAAUAUAUCGUGAACUUAGUACCUGAUAGUAUUUUGCAUGUCUAUGUUGUUGUAGAUCAAUGGCCUGUGCUACUGUUCCUUUGAAUUUUAAUGCGUUCCUAGAGAAAGCUAAGUUGAAAGAUGAUGGUAGCAACUACACGGACUGGGUCCAUAACUGGAGGAUUAUCCUCAUUGCUGCACAGAAGAAUUACGUCCUGGAAGCACCGCUAGGUGCAAGACCCGCUGCAGGAGCAACGCCGGACGUUAUGAACGCCUGGCAGAGCAAAGCUGAUGACUACUCGAUAGUUUAGUGUGCCAUGCUUUACGGCUUAGAACCGGGACUUCAACGACGUUUUGAACGUCAUGGAGCAUAUGAGAUGUUCCAGGAGUUGAAGUUAAUAUUUCAAGCAAAUGCUCAGAUUGAGAGAUAUGAAGUCUCCAAUAAGUUCUAUAGCUGUUAAAUGGAGGAGAAUAGUUCUGUCAGUGAACAUAUACUCAAAAUGUCUGGGUAUCAUAAUCACUUGACUCAAUUGGGAGUUAAUCUUCCAGUUGAUAGUGUCAUUGACAGAGUUCUUCAAUCAGUGCCACCAAGCUACAAAAGCUUCAUGAUGAACUAUAAUAUGUAAGGGAUGGAUAAGACAAUUCCUGAGCUCUUCGCAAUGCUAAAGGUUGCGGAGGUAGAAAUCAAAAAAGGAGCAUCAAGUGUUGAUGGUCAAUAAGACCACCAGUUUCAAGAAAAAGGGUAAAGGGAAGAAGGGGAACUUCAAGAAGAACGGCAAGCAAGUUGCUAUUCUAGUGAAGAAGCCCAAGUCUGGACCUAAGCCUGAGACUGAGUGCUUCUACUGCAAAGGGACUGGUCACUGGAAGCGGAACUGCCCCAAGCAUUUGGCGGAUAAGAAGGAUGGCAAAGUGAACAAAGGUAUAUGUGAUAUACAUGUUAUUGAUGUGUACCUUACUAAUGCUCGUAGUAGUACCUGGGUAUUUGAUACUGGUUCUGUUGCUAAUAUUUGCAACUCGAAACAGGGACUAUGGAUUAAGCGAAGAUUGGCUAAGGACGAGGUGACGAUGCGCGUGGGAAAUGGUUCCAAAGUCGAUGUGAUCGCCGUCGGCACGCUACCUCUACAUCUACCUUCGGGAUUAGUUUUAGACCUGAAUAAUUUUUAUCUUGUGCCAACGUUAAGCAUGAACAUUGUACCUGGAUCUUGUUUGAUGCGAGACGGUUAUUCAUUUAAAUCUGAGAAUAAUGGUUGUUCUAUUUAUAUGAGUAAUAUCUUUUAUGGUCAUGCACCCUUGAAGAGUGGUCUAUUUUUGUUGAAUCUCGAUAGUAGUGAUACACAUAUUCAUAAUAUUGAAGCCAAAAGAUGCAGAAUUGGUAAUGAUAAUGCAACUUAUUUGUGGCACUGCCGUUUGGGUCAUAUCGGUGUAAAGCGCAUGAAGAAACUCCAUAUUGAUGGACUUUUGGAAUCACUUGAUUAUGAAUCACUUGGUACUUGCGAACCAUGCCUCAUGGGCAAGAUGACUAAAACUCCGUUCUCCGGAACAAUGGAGCGAGCAACAGAUUUAUUGGAAAUAAUACAUACUGAUGUAUGCGGUGCGAUGAAUAUUGAGGCUCGCGGCGGGUAUCGUUAUUUCCUGACCUUCACAGAUGAUUUUAGUAGAUAUGGGUAUAUCUACUUGAUGAAACAUAAGUCUGAAACAUUUGAAAAGUUCAAAGAAUUUCAGAGUGAAGUGGAAAAUCAUCGUAACAAGAAAAUAAAGUUUCUGCCAUCUGAUCGUGGAGGAGAAUAUUUGAGUUAGGAGUUUGGUCUUCAUUUGAAACAAUGCAGAAUAGUUUCGCAACUCACGCCACCUGGAACACCACAACGUAAUGGUGUGUCCGAACGUCAUAACCGCACUUUAUUAGAUAUGGUGCGAUCCAUGAUGUCUCUUACUGAUUUACUGCUAUCGUUUUGGGCUUAUGCUUUAGAGACGGCUGCAUUCACGUUAAAUAGGGCACCAUCUAAAUCCGUUGAGACGACACCUUAUGAACUGUGGUUUGGCAAGAAACCCAAGUUGUCGUUUCUUAAAGUUUGGGGCUGCGAUGCUUAUGUGAAAAAGCUUCAACCUGAUAAGCUCGAACCCAAAUCGGAGAAAUGUGUCUUCAUAGGAGACCCAAAAGAGAUUGUUGGGUACACCUUCUAUCACAGAUCCGAACGCAAGAUAUUUGUUGCUAAGAAUGGAUCCUUUUUAGAGAAGGAGUUUCUCUCGAAAGAAGUGAGUGGGAGGAAAGUAGAACUUGAUGAGGUAACUGUACCUGCUCCCUUCUUGGAAAGUAGUUCAUCACAGAAAUCAGUUCCUGUGAUUCCUACACCAAUUAGUGAGGAAGCUAAUGAUGAUGAUCAUGUAACUUCAGAUCAAGUUACUAUCACGACCGGUUUUCCAAUAAAAAUAUUUAUUGAGAAACCGAUCCCUUUUACGGACCAGUAGAGAAGAAUCCUUCUCACUGGUAGACAAUUUCUUGAUCACAGAAGAGAAACCAGGGGUACUAAAUAUAAUACAAGGUUGAGCGGAGACUGCUCAACAAUUUUAUUACAUGCACGCCGAUAUUACACAUAACAGCGGAUAUGGUGGCAUAACUACUGACACACAAAUAAACGCGAUGGUGGAUAUGUCACAGUGAAGUGGGUGACAUGACUCCUAAAUCUUACAGCUCAUCGAGCGUCGGAGUGAGGCUCGAGGAUUCUUAUUGCGCGUGGCGGAAGCGCAUAUAACACAAGUGACCAAUAUCCAGGAUCGCACGGGACUGACUGGGACUCCUCUAGGCGUCGGACUCACUAUCAAACUCUUCAUCCAUGAGAUCGCCUUCGUCAACAUCUGGCCAAAUCAACAAGCCAGGUGAGUACUAUGAAAGUACUCGCAAGACAGUUUGGACAUAAGAUAUAACAAAUGCAAACAUGAUGCAUAUGAACAGAUUAAUAACGCGCACUCAGACAAUGAGAUAGCAAUGCAUGGGAAAUAAAAGGAAGUCGGGCGGUAGUCCUCCCGAAAUCCCAACGUAAUGCUGAAGGCCAAUCGAGUGUCUGAAAGACUCCUCGAAAGGAUACAAAUAAAAUAACAAUGCCGCAGUCGGGCGUCAAGGCGACACCACAUAAAGGGCUUAUAAUGGAAUAUAAAUGACAGUGCGUGCCACAGUCGGACAUCUGAGCGACAUCACGUAAAGGGCUUAUAUCAAAAGUAAAUAACGAGCGUGCCACAGUCGGACGUCUGAGCGACAUCACAUAAAGGGCUUAUAUCAAAAGUAAAUGACAAGAGUGCCACAGUCGGACGUCUGAGCGACAUCACAUAAAGGGCUUAUAUCAAAAGUAAAUGACAAGAGUGCCACAGUCGGACGUCUGAGCGACAUCACAUAAAGGGCUUAUAUUUCAUGACUUGAUAUUUCAGUAGCUCAUGAAUUUAAAUCAUUUCAAGGAAAUACUCAGGUACGAAAUAAUAAACCGGUUAGUCCAUCCACAGGAAUAACAUUCAACAGAGUUUACCACUCAAGCUUGUUUACCGGGGAUUUCCACGGAAACUGACACGGGGACUGACAUGAAUGUGGAUGUGUUGGCCACGGUCCUUGACCAUGGACACGAUGACUCGGAAGGAUUUGACUCUGCAGAGUUUGUACUAUUUAACCACAGCCAACGGAUUUCAGUAGUCACAAGGGACUAGUUCCGUUUACGGUGUUUUAGGAGAAACACAUCUAACUAGUACAAACCCAUUCAACAUUCCGAUGCCAGGAAUCACCCUCGGCAACGUUCAAGAAAAACCUUGAGACGGGGAGGCUACAACCUCGCGUAGCAUGGGAUCAAAUUUAUACCGCGCGCUCUAAGGGGUGCCCCCCUCUCGGUCCCAACCGAAAACACCCAUGCCCCCUGACCGGAUGACUGGCUUUAAUCCAGGGCCAUGGAACCCUCAUCCCGACCCCUCUAUUUGGUGUGUACAAGGAAAGAGGUUAGCAACUUACUAAACCGUAUUCUUUGCAGAAACCAUGUGGCAGCACGAAAGGGGAAGAAUGGUAACGUGGCUCAGUCCACGUUAACGUCGGAAUUUAUCGGAUGACGUAAGACUGGCAUGCUACAACAAUACCAUCUUACUACCUUUCAUGUCACCACAUGAUCAGGUCAUCUCUCAUCGAAGAUCACAGUAACUUCGAAGCACACGGUUAGUUGCCUUGCAUGCAACUUAAUACUCACCGAUGCUCAUAUGCCAUGCUCAAACCAAUCAAGCAAACAUGCAAAACACUCAUCAUAUCAAAGGUUCAAACAUGCUUGCCUGGUUCGGAGAAGUCGGAGUCUAGCUCGGCGAAGUUCGCGGCUCCUUCACCUCCUCCGGAACCUACGGUAUAACGAAACCGUAUACUAACGUGAAAACCGUUGCGUGUAUAAAAAUUGUUCCAAAUUUUUUCCAAAUAAAUACUAUAAAAAACUAGACAAAAAUAUAAGACUGAAAGAAAAAGAAUCAAUCAAAAAGCAUCUUCUGUUUAAAAUAUAUAAGGGUUUUAGUCCAAGGACUGAUCUGUGAUGAAACAGAAAAGAUCCAGGGGCUUGUUUGAGAAAACAGAAAACGGUUCGGUAUGAAAUACGCCAGCCCAGAGAGAAAACACGUUUUGCCCGAAGGCGCUUUCAGAAAACGGUUCGAAGGGGAAAAGAAGAGAGGCUGACGGGGGGGUCCCACCCGUCAGGUUCAAAUCUUCUAACGGAGCUCGCCGGCGCCCGAAGGCUGCGGUGGUCGCCGGCGUUGAACCACGGCGAGGCAGAGUGAUCGGAGGGUACCUACGGGUUCAGGGUGUUCUUCCGCGUCGGUGGGUGGUGGACUUGACCGUCGGUGAGCACCACGUCGACGGCGACACUAUCUCCGGCGGACGGUGGUUCGGGCGAUGGUGGAGCUCUCCAGUGGGUGCUGCAAGCUUCAAAUUGAUGCGCGGGUCAGAAGGGUGGAUGCACUAGGAGACUACUUGCAAGAGUUGAGGGGUAGGGGUGCACGCACGGGGGUGAAUCGAGCUGGGUCCCGAAGCGGGUCGAGGCGGCCGGAGUUGGGGAAGAAGACUCCCUCGGGGCUCUUCCAGUGGCUUGGCGUGGUACUGGUGGUGUGUAGAGGUGGUGCGGGUUCGAGUUCGGGCUCGGGGCCUCCUUUUAUAGGCGAUCCGAGGGGGUGGCCGUGAACGGGAUAACGCCGGUGAGAAAUUACGGCGAGGCAGAGGUUGGGCAGGGGUUUUAGGUGGCUAGGCAUCACCGUGGAGGAUCACUGGUGCCAUUCCUCUGCUAAACCUCGGCCGGGCUUGGUGUAAUACGUCGGUCCUCGACGGAAUGGCCGUACGGGCACGGCGGUGGCAGGGAGCGUGCUCCGCGCCUACCAGUUCACGACGACGGACUGCAGCGUGCACGGGUGAGUGGAUGGCCACGCGGUGGCCCCUGGUGGCUUGGGCGGCGCUGGACGGCGCCGUCCAACGCUGCACCUCUCUGGCAGCCGCAAAGGGCGCUGCUGCCGUCGCUCACGGGGUGGCGCACCUCCACCAGCUCGUCGCUGAAGCCCGCAAGCUUCCAGGCGAUCGUGCGGCGCAGGGAUAAGAAGGAGGGGACAGGGAGCAAGGCGCCACCGAGGCUACUGGCGAGAUCGAGGAAAGGUUCUGAAGAAAACGACAGCAGCUUCUGAAACUGUUUACUGAACUUUCUGAAUUUGACAGUAACAGUGUCCUUCAGGUGUUCGACGAAAUGAUUUGGCAUGAAGAAUUUUUUUUCUGGAGCUGGGGCUUGGUGAGGUGACCUCUCAAUGCAUCCAGAGGCUGCCUGAAUUUUCUCAGAUUUUUAGGAGGAGAAAACAAAUGAAUUUCAUCAAAUUUGACAAAUAUGGUCCAAACUUGCAGCAAGCAAAAUUUGAAAUAUUUGAACUGGAGACCAGUGGAUCUUCAUGGAUCUUGGUUGAGGGCUCUAAGGACUAGCCAGGGAAAUUGGUUUGGAGGCAAAACUCAAAGGAGAAAAGGUAGUUCCUUUGUAAAUCUUCAAGAGCCAAAGUAGAAGGUAGAAAAUAUUUUUGAUAAGAAAUAAAUGGAAGAAAAAUCAUGGGGGAGUUCAACUUGCUGGAUUUGAAGUUAUUUUGACACAAAGAUGGGGAAUGGCUUUUGGGAGGGGAUUUCCACUUAGGUCAUGGCAAGAGGAGAUUUUGAAAGGGGAAAAGAUCACUCCAAAUGCCAUAGGGCUAUUUAAAAGGAUUUUCAAAAAUUUUCCCAAAUGAAAAACAUUUGUGAUGAGUCAACAUAAGAUGGAAAAACCUCCAAGGCCAAAGAUCAAGUCUUGGGUAAAUCCAAACAAAAUACUUGACAUAAAAGAAAUUUUUUGAGAGGGAGAGUUCUUUAGAAGAAAAUUUUAAGUAACCUCCCUCAAAUCAAAUAAAAGUUAAAAAAAAGCCAAAUAAAAUUUUUGGGUGUCACAGUUACCGAACCUUGUAGGUCAACCAGAGUAAGAUCCGCACCAGAGUGGUACGGUAAUCCUAUUCUGGAGGUCAUGUUACUUGACCAUGAUGAACCUACGAACUAUGAGGAAGCGAUGAUGAGCCCAGAUUCCGCAAAAUGGUUUAAGGCCAUGAAAUCUGAGAUAGGAUCCAUGUAUGAGAACAAAGUAUGGACUUUGGUGGACUUGCCCGAUGAUCGGCAAGCCAUUGAGAAUAAAUGGAUCUUCAAGAGGAAGACAGACACCGAUGGUAGUGUUACUAUCUACAAAGAUCGACUUGUCGAAAAAGGUUUUUGACAAGUUCAAGGUGUUGACUACGAUGAGAUUUUCUCACUCGUAGCAAUGCUUAAGUCUGUCCGAAUCAUGUUAGCAAUUGACACAUUUUAUGAAAUCUGGCAAAUGGAUAACAAAACUGCAUUCCUUAAUGGAUUUAUUAAAUAAGAGUUGUAUAUGAUGCAACUAGAAAGGCUUUGUCAAUCCUAAAGGUGCUAACAAAAUGUGCAAGCUCCAGCGAUCCAUCUAUGGACUGGUGCAAGCAUCUCGGAGUUGGAACAUACGCUUUGAUAAGUUGGUCAAAGCAUAUAGUUUUAUAUAGACUUGUGGUGAAGCCUGUUGAGGGAGUCCUGGACUAAGGGGUCCUUGGGCGUCCGGCCAGUUAUCUGUUGGGCCGGACUGAUGGUCUAUGAAGACAUGAAGGCCGAAGACUAUACCCGUGUCUGGAUUGGACUCUACUUGGCGUGGAAGGCAAGCUAGGCGACCGAUUAUGAAGAUUUCCUCCUAUGUAACCGACUCCAUGUAACCCUAGAUCUCUCCAGUGUCUAUAUAAACCGGAGGGCAUAGUCCGGAUAGGUCAGAUUCAUUACCAUAUACUCAUAGGCUAGACUUCUAGGGUUUAACCAUUACGAUCUCGUGGUAGAUCAACUCUUGUAACACUCAUAUUCAUCAAGAUCAAUCAAGCAGGAAGUAGGGUGUUACCUCCAUAGAGAGGGCCCGAACCUGGGUAAACAUUGUGUCCCCUGUGUCCUGUUACCAUCGAUCCUAGACGCACAGUUCGGGACCCCCUACCCGAGAUCCGCCGGUUUUGACACCGACAUUGGUGCUUUCAUUGAGAGUUCCACUAUGUCGUCGACGAGAGGUUCGAUGGCUCCUUUAAUCGUCAGUCAUGACGUGGUCCAGGGAGAAACCUUCCUCCCUGGACAGAUCUUCGUAUUCGGCUUCGUACUACGGGCCAACUCGCUCGACCAUCUGGAGCAGAUCGACAGCUACGCCCCUGGCCAUCAGGUCAGAUUCGGAAGUUUGAACUACGUCGCGGACAUCCGUGGGGACUUGAUCUUCGACGAAUUUGAGACCGCGGCAACCGCUCCCCUUCGCCCCGUUGAACAUGGCUUAAACCUGUCCUUGGGCCGCAUCCAGGAGAUAGCUCCUAUAACAACUCUGGCCUUAGAUCCGGAGCAGAUCAAGACGUUCGAAGGUGGGAGACUCAACCCCAUCAUGAGGGCCACCGAGUCCGUGGCAUUGGGGCCACGCGCAGAUCCCUCUUCAUACAAUACCUGCACCAACGGAACCCCGGACUCGUCUCCGAUAUCGAGUUCCGAACCCUGCGAGCCCGUGGAUACCGAACUCGAUCGGUUAUCGAUCUUCAAGUUCAGCGCCGCGGACAUCUUCCAAUACUCGCCCAUGGGCGACCUACUAAACUCACUAAAAAACCUAUCCCUAGCAGACGGCUCACCGCCGAACUAUGUUCGGUUCGACCUUACGGCGGAUGAUGGAGAAUUUUGCUUCCCACCCGCCACCCACUUCAUAGCCACCGUCGAAGACCCAACCAACACGCCUGGCCUCUGCCCCGAAGACAUCGACGGUCUAGACGAUGAUGAGGGGCAGGGCCAGAACUUACUAUCCGCUAGACGCGGGACGACCACUUCCUGGUAGGACGCGUGCAUGGUAGACACACCCAACGACGAUCUCGACGAUGACAAGGAGGAUCCAGUCGAGGAUAAGCCUCCUGGUACACAGUCCGAACACCCGCGCCCCCCGCGCCACUCUCAGUCAUGCCACUCAAGAGAAAACAAUACUAGCACCGGAGGUGAUAAUACACCGGACAACGAAGACCCUGUUGAGGCAGGAUACGAACAGGAGGACCAGGAAAGCGGGGAAGAUAGCCCCGAUGAACAGGUCAUGUACGGAGACUCGAAGGAUAGUAAUUAUCUUCCCCUCUCCGAGGAGGAGGAGAGCCUCGACAACGAAGAAUUCAUCGUGCCGGAGGAACCUCUCGAGCAUGAGCGCUUUAAAUGCCGGCUAAUAGCCACAGCAAGGAAUCUAAGAAUAAAACAGCUGCAGCUUCAAGCAAGCCAAGAUCUGCUCAAUGAUAAAUGGACCGAGGUCCUAGCCACCAUAGAAUACGGCCCUAGUGGCCCGGACAAAAGCCACCCCAAGAACAGGUGGCUCCCUCCACAUGAAGGGAAGGCGUUGGAGCCCAUUCCACCAUUGAACAAUGCGGCAGGUCGACCACAGUUCGGUCCGGAUAAAGCAGCAGCCCAAGCAGAACAGCAUACUAACCAAUACGGCCGUAAGAACAACACGGUUCGGGAAAACAAUCGUGACAUCCGCCAAAGCUUAGUGGGCGGAGCAGGAGAGAUAAGAUCGACGUACAGAUCAAGGGGAUAUGCCCCGACCGGUGAUGAUGGUCAAUCAGCCGGACUUAACCGAGCCAACCACGCUUGAGGCCGCCAACGGCAUCCAACGGAGGUGCUUCACAGUUGUCGGCAUUCUGGGAACGGGGGUCCCCAGACUUGCCUGCCUGCGGCCCAUGGCGAGGCUAAGUCAGCGGGCCAUACGGCCCAUCUUCAUCAACGAGGCAUCCAAGACCCUCGUGAGCCAGACGAUGCAAGACCUCCUCAGGAGGGGCCUGGCCAGGCAGGCUCACGAGGAGCGGAGAUAUCAAGGCGGGGCAAACCUCAUGAGGCUCUCGUGACAUGAGCCAUGACGAUCGAGAGCAGGCGGGCGCCAGCGCGCGCAGCGUCCUUGUUUCCUCUUUGGUGCUAAGGAGGCCAGCGCAGGCGAGGAGUACCGAGGCAUCAGGCAAAGGUUGCCUUAUCGGUGCAACCAGACCAAGAUCAGAAGGACGGCAGGACGGAGGUCACCGUGGAGCCCAAGACGACAUCACCACCAGAGCCUUUGCAGGCGAAGACCACUUUUGUCAGGAUAGCUUGUACUAGCUGUCCCCCUUCAAAUUUGCCCGCCGUUGUUGGCUCCCUUCCCGCUCCAUAUUUGGGAAGAGGACCAGGGCCUAUAUAAGUAGAGCUAGCCACCACCGUAGGAGAUAACUCAUUCAGAGGCAUCUCACCCACACAAGUUCAUCGAGCACAAGAACACCUCAACCUCAGGAGGCUGUUCUGCCCCUUGUACUGUUCAUCAUCAGCCCAAGAGGCAAUCCACCACCACCACACUGGAGUAGGGUAUUACACCACAACAGUGGCCCGAACCAGUAUAAAUCUCGUGCCUUUCUGUGUUGUGAGUUGGUCGAGUUUGUCCGCGAGAUCUUAGCGAGCUAGGGCGUGGAUUGGUAGGAGGGAAAGAGCUUCACGCGCACCCCAGAGUUCGAACCUUAAGGGUUUUGCCGGAACCCCACAUCUGACAACAGUGUGGCCCAACAUAGAGGAGCCGCACACCCUCUUUGCUUCACCAACGAGGUAAUGGAGCACCACGGGUUUAAACCCAUCAACAUCGCAUCAUACGACGGAACAACAGAUCCCGCAGUAUGGAUUGAGGAUUACUCCUCCAUAUCCACCUGGCUCGCAUAGAUGACCUUCAUGCCAUUAAAUACCUGCCUCUCAAGCUUAAGGGUCUAGCGCGGUACUGGCUACACAGUUUGCCAGAAAAUUCUAUUGGCAGCUGGGAAGAUUUGGAAGACGCCUUUCAUGACAACUUCCAAGGAACAUAUGUCCGGCCAUCCGAUGCCAAUGACUUAAGUCACAUUGUCCAACAGCCCGGCGAGUCAGUCAGGGAACUCUGGACUAGGUUCUUAGUCAAAAAGAACCAAAUUGUCGACUGUUCGGACGUGGAAGCCCUUGCGGCCUUCAAAGACACCGUCCGGGAUGAAGGGCUAGCACGUCACCUCGGCCAGGAAGGACCUAAAUCCAUGACAGCCCUUACCGCUCUAAUGACUCGCUUUUGUGCGGGAGAAGACAACUGGCUCGCUCGUAAAAGCAACAAUGCCAGCGACCCGGGCACUUCCGAAAUCCGAGACGGCAACGGCAAGCCACGACUAAACGAACACAACAGUCCUGGCAAUAGUGAAAGAUUACGCGACACAUCGGUCAACGCAGGAUUUCACAAUCCGAAAACCGGUCAACGGAAGAAGCCAUUUAAGGCAAACCAGGAUGGACCAUCCACCCUCGACAGGAUAUUGGACCGACCUUGUCAAAUUCAUGGCCACCCUGAUAAGCCAGCUAAUCACACCAACAGAAACUGUUGGGUCUUUAAGCAAGCAGGCAAACUUAACGCCGAACGCAAUGGGAGGAGGCCACUAGGCGAUAAAGAUGACGGAUCGGCUCGCCAGCUGAACAUCAGGGGCCAGAAACAGUUUCCCUCCGAAGUUCGACCACUCCCAGAACGGAAGUAGCAGUUCGGCUUCCGCUACCCACCCGCUAUACCGGCAAGAUUCACACCACGCAUACAUCACUAUGCGCUCAAGAUACCAUGGGCACCGGCGGAAGCACAAUACGGGCAACCCUGCAAACAUUCCCGUAACGUUUUUUAUAUGUUUUCCAUAUUUUUCUUCAUUAUCUCUUAAAAACAGGUGACAAUUAGGACAGCAUCUAGUCGGACUCUAUUGGAGUUCGGACCCGUACACUCACCUAAGGGGCUACUUUCGUUAAGAACUCCCCUCCGAGAGGACGGGCGGCGCAGACGUGCGACAGGAGGUCCAAAAUAGCUUUUUGUAGACCGCACUCGUUAUUUUGAGCCUGUACUAUGCCCUUUUCCUCCGUUCCCGACCCCGAGCAUGUCAAAUAGCCGGGUUGUGGUUCUUCCUUUUUUAUACAAAUUUAUCAUUGGCAUAUUGCUCCACUCCCAGUAAACUUUAUCCGAGCUAACCUUAAAUACUCUGCAUACAAUGAGUACGGCCGUAACGGCUGUGUUACAGGACGCACCUCGGCAUAACUUGCCAGGGGCUCGGUAUGGGAACAAAUGAGUCACCAGUAAAAGUCCAAACAGCUCUAUAGCCUACUUCGGCGUCGCAAGCUUGGCCUUAUAUGCAUCAGCUCCGAAUCAUUGUCUUUGGUCAAUAGAUGGGUUGCCCGGCUCCUGUGUUUGCUACCCUAUGUUCCGCUCUAUCGGCUAGGGUAGUAAAGGGAGAACUACUGUGAUUGUGCCCUGGCUUUGACCGGAUGAGCGCCUCAGUAGAGAAAGCCAAAAACUGACUGUCAUGAUGCGACGAGAGCUGGUCAACCACUUGAUGACUUAUUCGAAUCUUUAGCGAUUCUCCGUGUUACGCGAAGGAUCUUUUUCAGAUCAAAACAUGUAAGGCACAAUAUUAGGAUACGCCGCAUACAUACCAGGGGCUAUGUCGUAGCCCCACCAUAAAACUCCUAUGGCUAAGUGAAAGUGUUAACGCCCUAUAGUCCGAUUGCCUGGUUCGCCGCAUUAUCACCUCCUUUAUGGACCAAGACGUUGGAUAAAGAGUGAUUCAAUGCUCUUCCAAACACCCCCGUAUUUCCUACGAGGGGGCUGAAGCCGACACUGGAAAACUUUCAAUUUAUAUUAAAACGUCCGCACAGGAGGAAUACAAGCUCUCGAGCAAAACAUAAAAAUAGAUUAACUAAAGUUGUCUGUUACAACCCUUGUACACAUCACUCGAAUAUUAUGUUUUUCGAGCACUGACCCUCUAUCAAGCGGGCGGCCUCAAGAAUGUCUUCAAAAUAACGCUCCGGUUCUGGACGGUCCUUGCGUUUGGGUGGACUCCUCGUCGCAACGUCAAUGGCCUUCAUCUUCCCCCAGAAUGUCUUGAGACGGGCGAAGGCCAUCCGUGCACCUUCAAUGCACACCGACCGCUUCACAACAUCGAUACGCGACACCACAUCAGCAAGCCGCUGCACCAGGCCGAAGUAACUACUAGGAACAGGUUCAGUUGGCCACAACCGGACUAUGACGUCCUUCAUGGCCGCGCCACAUAUCCUAUGCAGCUCGACCCACUAGGACAUCUGCUCAUUCGGCAACAGAGGGCACUUCGACGCGCCAAAUUGUGACCAAAAAAGCUUCUCCGUUGCAUACCCCUCUUGCGCAUGAUAAAACUGCGCCGCAUUGGAAGAACUCUUCGACAAAUCUAAAAAAUUGUCCGGAGAACUCCAUACUUGGUUAAGCUGAGCAUAGUUCGGAUCGCCGAACCUAGCCUGUAGAAAAAAGGGCUUGCCAGCCACAAUCUCCCCAGCUUGCCGGAUCUCCUCACGGGCUGCUCUGGCUUCAGACAGCGUUUCUCUCGCCUCUCAUAAGGCCUUGUCAAGUUCAACCAUUUUGGCUUCAUUUUCCUUCUCAAGAAGUUUAUAGCGGCUAGCUGCAUUUUCUAACUUGCGCGCCAUGGUGGACAUCGUCUCCUUGUCUUGACGCCGCGCGGCUUGUUCGGCCUUCAAUUCAGCCGAUGCCUUUUCGGCGGCCGCAUUACUAAACCGGGCCUGCUCCUUGGCCUGGGCUAGCUCCGCCCGAAGGGAUUCCACGGCGGCAGCACCAUCUGCAUUCAUGCACAUUUCAUAUCAAACUCUUUUCAGAGUCAGGCUUAAAUUACAGGCACAUUGGUAUAAGGAAUACUCGAAAUAUAUACCUUGCGAGUCAUCAAGACGCCUGUUGAUCAAAGCAAUGUCAUCCUCCACAAUAUCUAGCUUUCGCUGCAAUUCGGUCACCUCCGAAUUUCGGGCAGUGGCGGGAGGGGAGACAGCCUGCAUUCCAAAUUAAACCAAGGUUAGCACCUGAAAAUAUCUUUUCGAUCCUCCGAUCGCUUCCUUUGGAAGGCGACCCGAGUCUCAGGGGCUACUGCAUACACAACAGGUGCAUUCUGUCCAUAUUAUUCAAUUGGCAACAUUACAUCACAAACCUCAAAACCCCUCGGAAGGCUCGUAAAGGCCUCGUUCAACCCGCUCUUCGUGGAUAAAACCUUUUCGACCACCGUAACCAUUAAGGCACAGUGCUCCUCUGAAAUGGACGCUCGUCGCAGCAUGUCCGUCAGCGUCUCCGGCACUCCUGGGUCUUCGGACACCGCUGCCGGAGCACGACAUUCCUUUGGAGGAAUUCGCUUAGCCGCCUCCAGCAUUGUCUUCGGCUGUAAACUGGACAGUUCGGGGACGUCAUUCUUGAUCCCCAAACCCUGAGUGACAGAGGCACCACCUUCGGAUACCUCCUUCCUCGUUUCCUGCACUACCUGCUGGUUGGGUGGAGCCCUCUGGGACGACACCUCGAGAUUAUCCGCCCUGUUGGGCGAAGAGGCCGGAGAAGGCGUGUCACUCUCCAUCAUCUCUGGAAGAAGGUCUCCUGAGGAGGAGGACAAUUGAGAAACACCAGGUGUUAACCUGCGAGGAUGCACACAUGUUAGAGGAUUAUUUCAAUAACAAGGAAAAGAAUGAGGUAUGGUUGAAGUGCCCUGCUUCACUUACCGUCUGGCCGGAGGUUCGUCCUCACCAUCAAGCUCUACGAAGGCAUCGCUUGCCUGGCCCAAGCUGCCCGACGAGAGCAUUUUCCCUUUCUUGGAAGGUUUCCCCUCUUGACCUCCAGAAGCAGCCCUCUUCUUGCCAUGAAGUGCUCCCUCCACACCUUUGCCCCUGGGCAAAAGGGUUUCGGUUUCCCCGAACAUAGAGCUUAAAUCGCCCUAGGAUGGGCAUCACCUCUGGGCUCCCUGCUCUCGCCCCCUCUGCAGACACCAGGUACGGUGUCGGAGUCAACAUCCGCGUUAGUAGGGCGGACGCAGGGUCUUCGGGAAGGGGCGCCGGACACCAGAUUAACACCGCUUUCUUUAUCCAGUCCUGUAUAAGGAUGAGUUGCUCAGUGUCUUGUCAAGAGAUGCUUGGAUGAAAGGUGUACGACGAUUGAAUACUUACCGGAGUGUCCGGAUGAUUGCAGUCGAGGCCGACGUCUUCGGUGGUGUCCGGCCAUUGCUCUCGCUCCCCGAAAUAUAACUUCCACAUUCCUUCGUGCAUAGUGCCGAAGAAGUGCUGAAGAGUCCACCGCCCUUCUGGAUUAAACUCCCACAUACGGAGAGGCCGCCGCUGACACGGCAGGAUCCGGCGGACCAGCAUUACUUGAACGACGUUCACAAGUCGGAUGCGGCCUUGCAGAGUCUGCACCUUAUUAACGGAUCCCCAGUCCGAUCCCUUGUUGAUCCAUGAAACAAGCUGAGUUGGAGGGAUGGGUCGGAACGCAGGCGUAGCCACCCACUUGGAGCCCCGCGGCUCAUUGACAUAAAACCACCCCUGCUGCCAUAAUUCAGAAGACUUGGCGAAGGAUCCUUCAAACCAAACCGCGCUGGCGAGCUUGCUUAUUACAACGCUGCCACACUCCGCAUGCUCCUCCAUCACCCGCGGUCUCACAUCGAAAGUCUUGAGCCACAAACCAAAGUGUGGAGGAGUCCGGAGGAAGGCCUCACAUGUGACGAUGAAUGCCGAGAUGAGAGGAAAAGAGUGCGGGGCCAUAUCGUGAAAAUCUAGCCCAUGGUAGAACAUGAGCCCCCGGACGAAGGGGUUAAGUGCGAACCCUAACCCAUGGAGGAGGUGAGACACAAAUGCUACCCUCUCACCGGACUUGGGGGUGGGAAUAAUCUGCCCCUCAGCGGGAAGCCGAUGAAGGAUUUCUGGGGUCAGGUACCUCGCUACGCGGAGCUUCGCAAUAUCCUCCUCCGUGACGGAAGAGGCCACCCACCGGCCUGAACGGCUGGACCCGGACAUGAUUAGGGCUGGUGGUGGUUGGAACUCGAGGGCUGGAACUCGAGGAGGCUGGGGUUGAGGAAGAAGCAAGCACAGAAGAGAAAGACAAGUCUGGGUUCCUAUAUAAAGGCCCAGAAUAUUGAGCGUCCCCUCCCGGGUCAUGAAACUUACCUAUCCUCAAAGAGUUGUACCCAGGGGACGGUUGGGUUACCCAUACCUACAUUAUUGAAAAUCCCGGGAAUAAGGGGACACGAUCUCUGCUUUGACAAGACGUGCCAAUAAAACCGCUUCCCGAGACAUGGGGUGACGGGCUAGCCAACGGUUGGAAAUAAUAACCGGGCAGGCGUGAUACAAUGUCAUAAACAGUUGUCAGCAGAUGGGACUCGUGUAAAAUAUAUAAAUUCUCUCUGCGGUUCUGCGUGGUGUGUAACAGGUCCGGAUACAAUCAUCGCAUCCGAAGACUAUCUUGGAGUUCGGAAAAGGGGGAACCCGCCUUGCAAUGCCGAAGACAAUCUGCGCGCUGGACUCCUCGUCAUUGAAGCCAGGUUCAGGGGCUACUAAGGGAGUCCUGGACUAAGGGGUCCUCGAGCGUCCGGCCAGUUAUCUGUUGGGCCGGACUGAUGGGCUAUGAAGACAUGAAGGCCGAAGACUAUACCCGUGUCCGGAUUGGACUCUACUUAGGGUGGAAGGCAAGCUAGGCGACCGAUUAUGAAGAUUUCCUCCUAUGUAACCGACUCCAUGUAACCCUAGAUCUCUCCGGUGUCUAUAUAAACCGGAGGGCAUAGUCCGGAUAGGUCAGAUUCAUUACCAUAUACUCAUAGGCUAGACUUCUAGGGUUUAGCCAUUACGAUCUCGUGGUAGAUCAACUCUUGUAACACUCAUAUUCAUCAAGAUCAAUCAAGCAGGAAGUAGGGUAUUACCUCCAUAGAGAGGCCCGAACCUGGGUAAACAUUGUGUCCCCCGUCUCCUGUUACCAUCGAUCCUAGACGCACAGUUCGGGACCCCCUACCCGAGAUCCGCUGGUUUUGACACCGACACCUGUAUUUACAAGAAAGUGAGUGGAAGCACUACAGCCUUUCUGAUAAGUAUAUGCGAAUGACAUAUGGUUGAUCGGAAAUGAUGUAGUAUUUUCUGGAAAGCAUAAAGGAGUGUUUGAAAGGAGUUUUUCAAAGAAAGACCUCGGUGAAGCUGCUUACAUAUUGAGCAUCAAGAUCUAUAGAGAUAGAUCAAGACGCUUGAUAAGAUUUUCAAUGAGUAAAUACCUUGACAAGAUUUUGAAGUAGUUCAAAAUGGAACAGCCAAAGAAGGAGUUCUUGCCUGUAUUGCAAGGUGUAAAGUUGAGUAAGACUCAAAACCCAACCACGACAAAAAUUUAGAAAGAGAAUGAAAAGUCAUUCCGUAUGCCUCAGUAAUAGGUUCUAUAAAGUAUGCUAUGCUGUCUACCAGACCUAUUGUAUACCCUGCCCUGAGUUUGGCAAGCGAGUACAAUUUUUAUCUAAGAGUAGAUCACUAGACAGCGGUCAAAAUUAUCCUUAGAGGACUAAGGAAAUAUUUCUCGGUUAUGGAGGUGAUAAAGAGUUCGUCAUAAAGAGUUACAUCGAUGCAAUCUUUGACACCGAUCUGGAUGACUCUAAGUCACAAUCCGGAUACAUAUUGAAAGUGGGAGCAAUUAGCUAGAGUAGCUCCGUGCAGAGCAUUGUAGACAUAGAAAUUUGCAAAAUACAUACGGGUAUGUAUGUGACAGACCUGUAGACUAAAACUUCUCUCACAAACAAAACAUGAUCACACCAUAGUACUCUUUGGGUGUUAAUCCCAUGGCGAUGUGAACUAGAUUACUGACUCUAGUAAACCCUUUGGGUGUUGGUCACAUAGCGAUGUGAACUAUGGGUGUUAAUCACAUGGUGAUGUGAAUUAUUGGUGUUAAAUCACAUGGCGAUGUGAACUAAAUUAUUGACUCUUGUGCAAGCGGGAGACUGAAGGAAAUAUGCCCUAGAGGCAAUAAUAAAGUUAUUAUUUUAUUUCCUUAUAUCAUGAUAACUGUUUAUUAUUCAUGCUAGAAUUGUAUUAACCGGAAACUUGAUACAUGUGUGAAUACAUAGACAAAACAAAGUGUCCCUAGUAUGCCUUUACUUGACUAGCUCGUUAAUCAAAGAUGGUUAAGUUUCCUGACCAUAGACAUGUGUUGUCAUUUGAUGAACGAGAUCACAUCAUUAGGAGAAUGAUGUGAUGGACAAGACCCAUCCGUUAGCUUAGCAUGUUGAUCAUUCAGUUUUAUUGCUAUUGCUUUCUUCAUGACUUAUACAUGUUCCUCUAACUAUGAGAUUAUGCGACUCCCGAAUACUGGAGGAACACCUUGUGUGCUAUAAAACGUCACAACGUAACUGGGUGAUUAUAAAGAUGCUCUACAGGUGUCUCCGAAGGUGUUUGUUGGGUUGCCAUAGAUCAAAUUUAGGAUUUUUCACUUCGUGUAUCGGAGAGGUAUCUCUGGGCCCUCUCGGUAAUGCACAUCACUAUAAGCCUUGCAAGCAAUGUGACUAAUGAGUUAGUUAUGGGAUGAUGCAUUAUGGAACGAGUAAAGAGACUUGCCGGUAACGAGAUUGAACUAGGUAUGAGGAUACCGACGAUCGAAUCUCGGGCAAGUAACAUACCGAUGACAAAGAAACAACGUAUGUUGUUAUGCGGUUUGACCGAUAAAGAUCUUCAUAGAAUAUGUAGGAGCCAAUAUGAGCAUCCAGGUUCCGCUAUUGGUUAUUGACCAGAGAUGUGUCUCGGUCAUGUCUACAUAGUUCUCGAACCCGUAGGGUCCGCACGCUUAACGUUCGAUGACGAUUUGUAUUAUGAGUUAUGUGAUUUGAUGACCGAAGUUUGUUCGGAGUCCCGGAUGAGAUCACGGACAUGACGAGGGGUCUCGAAAUGGUCGAGACGUAAAGAUCGAUAUGUUGGAAGGCUAUAUUCGGACAUCGGAAAGGUUCUGAGUGGUUCAGGUAUUUUUCGGAGUACCGGAGAGUUACGGGAAUUCGUCGGGGGAAGUAUUGGGCUUUAAUGGGCCAUACGGGAAAGGAGAGAAGGGCCUCAAGGGGUGGCCGUGCACCCCCCAUGGGCUGGUCUGAAUUGGACUAGGAGGGGGUGGCGCCCCCCUCCUUCCUUCUCCCCUCUUCCUCCUUCCCUUCCUUCUCCUAGUUGGAAUAGGAAAGGGGGGGGGGGCGAAUCCUACUUAGACCGAGAUUCCAAGUAGGACUCCCCCCCUUGGCGCGCACCCUCUAGGGCUGGCCUCUCCUUCCUCCCUCCUUUAUAUACAUGGGCAGGGGGCACCCCAAAGGCACUCCAAGAUUUGUCUUAGCCGUGUGCGGUGCCCCCUCCACAGUUACACACCUCGGUCAUAUCGUCGUAGUGCUUAGGCGAAGCCCUGCGCCGAUAACUUCAUCAUCACCGUCACCACGCUGUCGUGCUGACGGAACUCUCCCUCGGCCUCAACUGGAUCAAGAGCUCGAGGGAUGUCAUCGAGCUGAACGUGUGCAGACGCGGAGGUGCCGUGCGUUCGGUACUUGGAUUGGUUGGAUCGUGAAGACGUUCGACUACAUCAACCGCGUUACUAAACGCUUCCGCUUUUGGUCUACGAGGGUACGUGGACACACUCUCCCCGCUCAUUGCUAUGCUUCUCCUAGAUAGAUCUUGCGUGAUCGUAGGAAUUUUUUUUAAAUACUACGUUCCACAACAUUGCCAAGAAACCCAAGUUGUCGUUUCUUAAAGUUUGGGGCUGCGAUGCUUAUGUGAAAAAGAUUCAACCUGAUAAGCUCGAACCCAAAUUGGAGAAAUGUGUCUUCAUAGGAUACCCAAAGGAAACUGUUGGGUACACCUUCUAACACAGAUCUGAAGGCAAAAUAUUCGUUGCUAAGAAUGGAUCCUUUCUAGAGAAGGAGUUUAUCUCGAAAGAAGUGAGUGGGAGGAAAGUAGAACUUGAUGAGGUAACUGUACCUGCUCCCUUAUUGGAAAGUAGUUCAUCACAGAAAUCAGUUCCAGUGAUUCCUACACCAAUUAGUGAGGAAGCUAAUGAUAAUGAUCAUGAAACUUCUGAUCAAGUUACUACCGAACCUCGUAGGUCAACCAGAGUAAGAUCCGCACCAGAAUGGUACGGUAAUCCUAUUCUGGAGGUCAUGUUGCUUGACCAUGACGAACCUACGAACUAUGAGGAAGCGAUGAUGAGCCCAGAUUCCACAAAAUGGCUUGAAGCCAUGAAAUCUGAGAUGGGAUCCAUUUAUGGGAACAAAGUGUGGACUUUGGUUGACUUGUCCGAUGGUCGGCAGGCCAUAGAGAAUAAAUGGAUCUUCAAUAAGAAGACUGACGCUAACGGUAAUUUUACUGUUUACAAAGCUCGACUUGUUGCGAAUGGUUUUUGACAAGUUCAAGGAGUUGACUAUGACGAGACCUUCUCACCCGUAGCAAUGCUUAAGUCCAUCCGAAUCAUGUUAGCAAUUGCCGCAUUUUAUGAUUAUGAAAUUUGGCAAAUGGAUGUCAAAACUGCAUUCCUAAAUGGAUUUCUGGAAGAAGAGUUGUAUAUGAUGCAACCAGAAGGUUUUGUCGAUCCAAAGGAUGCUAACAAAGUGUGCAAGCUCCAGCGAUCCAUUUAUGGACUGGUGCAAGCAUCUCGGAGUUGGAAUAAACGUUUUGAUAGUGUGAUCAAAGCAUAUGGUUUUAUACAGACUAUUGGAGAAGCCCGUAUUUACAAGAAAGUGAGUGGGAUCUCUGUAGCAUUUCUAAUAUUAUAUGUGGAUGACAUAUUGUUGAUUGGAAAUGAUAUAGAAUUUCUGGAUAGCAUAAAAGGAUACUUGAAUAAGAGUUUUUCAUUGAAAGACCUCGGUGAAGCUGCUUAUAUAUUGGGCAUCAAAAUCUAUAGAGAUAGAUCAAGACGCUUAAUUGGACUUUCACAAAGCACAUACCUUGAUAAAGUUUUGAAGAAGUUCAAAAUGGAUCAAGCAAAGAAAGGAUUCUUGCCUGUAUUACAAGGUGUGAAGUUGAGUCAGACUCAAUGCCCGACCACUUCAGAAGAUAGAGAGAAAUUGAAAGUCAUUCCCUAUGCUUCAGCCAUAGGUUCUAUCAUGUAUGCAAUGCUUUGUACCAGACCUGAUGUGUGCCUUGCUAUUAGUUUAGCAGGGAGGUACCAAAGUAAUCCAGGAGUGGAUCACUGGAGCGGUCAAGAACAUCCUGAAAUACCUGAAAAGGACUAAGGAUAUGUUUCUCGUUUAUGGAGGUGAUAAAGAGCUCGUCGUAAAUGGUUACGUCGAUGCAAGCUUUGACACUGAUCCGGAUGACUCUAAGUCACAAACCGGAUACAUAUUUAUAUUAAAUGGAGGAGCUGUAAGUUGGUGCAGUUCCAAACAGAGCGCCGUGGCGGGAUCUACGUGUGAAGCGGAGUACAUAGCUGCUUCGGAAGCAACAAAUGAAGGAGUCUGGAUGAAGGAGUUCAUAUCUGAUCUAGGUGCCAUACCUAGUGCAUCGGGUCCAAUGAAAAUCUUUUGUGACAAUACUGGUGCAAUUGCCUUGGCAAAGGAAUCCAGAUUUCAAAAGAGAACCAAGCACAUCAAGAGAUGCUUCAAUUCCAUCCGCGAUCAAGUCAAGGAGGGAGACAUAGAGAUUUGCAAGAUACAUACGGAUCUGAAUGUUGCAUACCCGUUGACUAAGCCUCUCUCACGAGCAAAACAUGAUCAGCACCAAGACUCCAUGGGUGUUAGAAUCAUUACAAUGUAAUCUAGAUUAUUGACUCUAGUGCAAGUGGGAGACUGAAGGAAAUAUGCCCUAGAGGCAAUAAUAAAGUUGUUAUUUAUAUUUCCUUAUAUCAUGAUAAAUAUUUAUUAUUCAUGCUAGAAUUGUAUUAACCGGAAACUUAGUACAUGUGUGAAUACAUAGACAAACAGACUGUCCCUAGUACGCCUCUACUAGACUAGCUCGUUGAUCAAAGAUGGUUAAUUUUCCUAGCCAUAGACAUGUGUUGUCAUUUGAUGAACGGGAUCACAUCAUUAGAGAAUGAUGUGAUGGACAAGACCCAUCCGUUAGCUUAGCACUUUGAUCGUUUAGUUUAUUGCUAUUGCUUUCUUCAUGACUUAUACAUGUUCCUAGGACUAUGAGAUUAUGCAACUCCCGAAUACCGGAGGAACACUUAGUGUGCUAUCAAACGUCACAACGUAACUGGGUGAUUAUAAAGAUGCUCUACAGGUGUCUCCGAUGGUGUUUGUUGAGUUGGCAUAGAUCAAGAUUACGAUUUGUCACUCUGAUUGUCAGAGAGGUAUCACUAGGCCCUCUCGGUAAUGCAAAUCACUCUAAGCCUUGCAAGCAAAGUGACUAAUGAGUUAGUUGAGGGAUGAUGCAUUACAGACCGAGUAAAGAGACUUGCCGGUAACGAUAUAGAACUAGGUAUGGUGAUACCGAUGAUCGAAUCUCGGGCAAGUAACAUACCAAUGACAAAGGGAAGAACGUAUGUUGUUAUGCGGUUUGACCGAUAAAGAUCUUCGUAGAAUAUGUAGGAGCCAAUAUGAGCAUCCAGGUUCCGCUAUUGGUUAUUGACCGGAGAGGUGUCUCGGUAAUGUCUACAUAGUUCUUGAACCCGUAGGGUCCGCACGCUUAAUGUUCGAUGACGAUUCAUAUUAUGAGUUUAUGUGUUUUGAUGUACCGAAGGUUGUUCGGAGUCCAGGAUGAGAUCACGGACAUGACGAGGAGUCUCGAAAUGGUCGAGACAUAAAGAUUGAUAUAUUGGAAGUUUAUAUUCGGACAACGGAAUGGUUUUGAAGUGUAUCGGGUAUUUUCCGGAGUACCGGGAGGUUACCGGAAACCCCCGGGGGAUUAAUGGGCCACAAUGGGCCUUGGUGGAGAAGAGAGAGGGCCGGCCAGAGGUGGCGCCCCCCCUUGCCCAGUCCGAAUUGGACACGGGGAAGGCCCCCCCUCUUCCUUCUCUUCUCUCCUCUUUCCCUUCUUCUCCUUCUUGGACUAGGAAAGGGGGAAACCUACUCCUCCUAGGAGUAGGAUUCCUCCCCCCUUGGCGCGCACCUUGUGGCCGGCCGUCCUCCUCCUCCUCUCCUUUAUAUACGGGGGAGGGGGCACCCCAUAGACACACAAGUUGAUCUUUAGCCAUGUGCGGUGCCCCCUCCACAGUUUCCACCUCGGUCAUAUUCUCGUAGUGCUUACGCGAAGCCCUGCGUCGGUAACUUCAUCAUCACUGUCACCACGCCAUCGUGCUGACGAAACUCUCCCUCGACCUCAGCUGGAUCUAGAGUUCGAGGGACAUCACUGAGCUGAACGUGUGCAGAUCGCGGAGGUGUCAUGCGUUCGGUACUUGAUCGGUUGGAUCGCGAAGACGUUCGACUACAUCAACCGUGUUACUAAACGCUUCCGCUUUCGGUCUAGGAGAGUACGUGGACACACUCUCCCCGCUCGUUGCUAUGCUUCUCCUAGAUAGAUCUUGCGUGAUCGUAGGAUUUUUUUUUGAAAUACUACGUUCCCCAACAUCUCUGUCCUCUCUCCUUCUCUCCUCCCUCCCCCAUCCCGGCCUCCUCCCUCCCUCUCUCCUCCCUCCCUCUCUCCUCCCUCCCUCCCUCCCUUCCUCCCUCCUAAAUCUAUGUUUUUUGAAUAAAAUAGAACAUAUAGGUUAUAUGAACAGAAUGUAGGUAUUUUGACUAGAAUAAAAUAUAAAAUAUAGCUAGAAUGGAGGUUUUACGAAUAGAAAAGAAAACUAGCAAAUAUGUUUUUUGAAUAUAAAAAGUUUUAGUAAUACAAAAUUAGUAAAAGAAAAUUUUAGUAAUACAAAAUUUUAGUAAUAGAGAUUUUUAGGUAUAGAAAAUUUUCAAUUAUAGAAAUGUAUUGGAAUGCUAUAUGAGAAAUUUUUAGGUAUUGAAUUUAGUAAUAAUUUUUUUAGGUAUCUAAUUUUUUUCACUCGGUGGAAUAUGCAUGCUUUGUAGAGUCGCGUCUUGAUGUCUACUACGCAACUUUAUUCUUGUAGACACGUGUUGGGCCUCCAAGCGUAGAGUUUUGUAGGACAGUAGCAAUUUCCCCUCAAGUGGAUGACCUAAGGUUUAUCAAUCCGUGGGAGGCGUAGGAUGAAGAUAGUCUCUCUUGAACAACCCUGCAACCAAAUAACAAAGAGUCUCUUUUGUCCCCAACACACCGAAUACAAUGGUAAUUUGUAUAGGUGCACUAGUUCGGCGAAGAGAUGGUGAUACAAGUGUAAUAUGGAUAGUAGAUAUUGUUUAUUAAUAAGAACAAUAAAAAACAGCAAGGUAGCAAUUGAUAAAACGGAGCAUAAACGAUAUUGCAAUGCUUGAAAAUGAGGCCUAGGGUCCGUAUUUUCGCUAGUGCAGUCUCCCAACAAUGCUAAUAUAAUUGGAUCAUAUAACCAUCCCUCAAAGUGUGAUGAAGAAUCACUCCAAAGUUCCUAUCUAGAAGAGAACAUCAGAAGAAAUUGUUUCUAGGGUACGAAACCACCUCGAAGCUGUUCUUUCCGAUCGAUCUAUCCAAGAGUUCAUACUAAAUAACACCAAACAAUUUCAGAUUCAUAAUACUCAAUCCAACACAAAGAACCUCAAAGAGUGCCCCAAGAUUUCUACCGGAGAAACAAAGACGAGAACGUGCAUCAACCCCUAUGCAUAGAUUACCCCAAUGUCACCUCGGGAAUCCGCGAGUUGAGUGCCAAAACAUAUAUCAAGUGAAUCAAUAGGAUACCCCAUUGUCACCACGAGUAUUCAUAUGCAAGACAUAUAUCAAGUGCUAUCAAAUCCGUAAAAGUAUUCAAUCUGAUAAAAUGAAAUCUCAAAGGGGAAGCUCAAUUCAUCACAACAAGAUAGAGAGGGGAAAACACCAUAUGAUCCGACUAUAUUAACAAAGCCCGCGAUACAUCAAGAUCAUCAUAUCUCAAGAACACGAGAGAGAGAGAGAUUAAACACAUAGCUACUGGUAGAAACCCUCAGCCCCGAGGGUGGACUACUCCCUCCUCAUCGUGGUGGCCGCCGGGAUGAUGAAGAUGGCCACCGGUGAUGAUCUCCCCCUCCGGCAGGGUGCCGAAAUGGGGUCUAGAUUGAUUUCUCAUGGCUACAGAGCCUUGUGGCGGCGGAACUUCUGAUCUAGGGUAACCCCGAGGGUUUUUGGAAUAUUUGGUGAAUUAUAGGGCAAAGAGGGGGCGCGGGAGACCACCGAGGUGGGCACAACCCACCUGGGCGCGCCUGGGCCCCCAGGCGCGCCCUGGUGGGUUGUGCCCCCCUCAGGGCACCCCCCAGGUGCUUCUCUGGCCCACUGGAUGUCUUCUGGUCUAUAAAAACUCCAUAAAAAGUUUCACGGUGUUUGGACUCUGUUUGAUAUUAAUUUCCUGCGAUGUAAAAAACAAGCAAAAAACAGCAACUGGCACUGGGCACUGGGUCAAUAGGUUAGUCCCAAAAAAUGAUAUAAAGUUGCUAUAAAAUGAUUGUAAAACAUCCAAGAAUGGUAAUAUAACAACAUGAAUACUUCAUAAAUUAUAGAUACGUUGGAGACGUAUCAGCAUCCCCAAGCUUAAUUCCUACUCGUCCUCGAGUAGGUAAAUGAUAAAAGAAAUAAUUUAUGAAGUGUGAAUGCUAGCAAAGUGCAUAUUUUUUAUCAAUGAUAAUUUCAAUCACUUUUCCUAGCAUCAUAACAACAAUUCUUUCUUAUAAAACUUCUCAUGAUAAAGUAGCAACCAAUUCACAUGUUAAGUUUCAAACAAUGAAUUCUCUUGAAACUCAACAACCUAUGUUCUCAGUCACCAAGCAAUUGCAAUUUCAACUUAUUCAACAGUGUCUAAGUAAGAGCUCCACAUACUCAACCAUCAUAUAGUCUUCUAUGAUUGCUAACACUCACCGCAUACACAUGAGCAAAACAUUUCAACCGGACACAUAGGAAGAUAGAGGCUCAUAAUUUCACCUCCCAACGUAUUCACCUCAAGGGUGAUGUCAACAAUAACAACUCAUGCUACCCAUAUCCGACUGGAUAUAUGUGCCUAGAUCUUUCCUCACCACAUGAUGCUUGCCAAAAGAGAAAAAUAAAAAGGAAUAGAGGGAAAAACUUUGACUCUUGCAUGAAAGUAAAUACAUAAAAGUAAAAUGUAGGCCCUUCAUAGAGGGAAGCAGAGGUUGCCAUGCGCUUUUUGUUUGUAUGCUCAACCCCUUAGUGCAAAAGACGUCACGUUAUAUUGCCCCUUAUGAUAGCAACCUUUAUUAUGCAGUCUGUCGCUUUUAUUCUUUGCCAUCACAAGUUUGUACAAUGCUCAAUUUUCUCUUACACUAAAUGAUCUAAUACUUUUAGAAGCAAGUUUUAUUACCUUAUUGCACCGAUGACAACUUACUUGAAGGAUAUUACUCAAUCCUUAGGUAGGUAUGGUGGACUCUUGAAAAUAAGAUUUGGGUUUAAGGGGUUUUGGAUGCACAAGUUGAAGGAAAUAUGCUCUAGAGGCAAUAAUAAAGUUAUUAUUUAUUUCCUUAUAUCAUGAUAAAUGUUUAUUAUUCAUGCUAUAAUUGUAUUAACCGGAAACAUAAUACAUGUGUGAAUACAUAGACAAACAGAGUGUCACUAGUAUGCCUCUACUUGACUAGCUCGUUGAUCAAAGAUGGUUAUGUUUCCUAGCCAUAGACAUGAGUUGUCAUUUGAUUAACGGGAUCACAUCAUUAGGAGAUUGAUGUGAUUGACUUGACCCAUUCCGUCAGCUUAGCACUCGAUCGUUUAGUAUGUUGCUAUUGCUUUCUUCAUGACUUAUACAUGUUCCUAUGACUAUGAGAUUAUGCAACUCCCGUUUACCGGAGGAACACUUUGUGUGCUACCAAACGUCACAACGUAACUGGGUGAUUAUAAAGGUGCUCUACAGGUGUCUCCGAAGGUACUUGUUGGGUUGGCGUAUUUCGAGAUUAGGAUUUGUCACUCCGAUUGUCGGAGAGGUAUCUCUGGGCCCUCUCGGUAAUGCACAUCACUUAAGCCUUGCAAGCAUUGCAACUAAUGAGUUUGUUGCGGGAUGAUGUAUUACGGAAUGAGUAAAGAGACUUGCGGGUAACGAGAUUGAACUAGGUAUUGAGAUACCGACGAUCGAAUCUCGGGCAAGUAACAUACCGAUGACAAAGGGAACAACGUAUGUUGUUAUGCGGUCGGACCGAUAAAGAUCUUCGUAGAAUAUGUCAGAGCCAAUAUGAGCAUCCAGGUUGCGCUAUUGGUUAUUGACCGGAGACGUGUCUCGUUCAUGUCUACAUAGUUCUCGAACCCGUAGGAUCCGCACGCUUAAAGUUUCGAUGACAGUUAUAUUAUGAGUUUAUAUGUUUUGAUAUACCGAACGGAGUCCCGGAUGUGAUCACGGACAUGACGAGGAAUCUCGAAAUGGUCGAGACAUGAAGAUUGAUAUAUUGGAAGCCUAUGUUUGGAUAUCAAAAAUGUUCCGGGUGAAAUCGGAAUUUUACCAGAGUACCGGGAGGUUACCGGAACCCCUCGGGGGCUUAAUGGGCCAUAGUGGGCCUUAGUGAAAGAGAGGAGAGGCGGCCAGGGCAGGGCCGCGUGCCCCCCCCUAGUCCGAAUAGGACAAGGAGAGGGGGGGCGCCCCCCUUUCCUUCCUCUCUCCCUCCUCUUUCCCCCUCCACUCCUAGUCCAACAAGGAAAAGGGAGGGAGUCCUACUCCCGGUGGGAGUAGGACUCCUCCUGGCGCGCCCCUCCUGGCCGGCCGCACCUCUCCCCCUUGCUCCUUUAUAUACAGGGCAGGGGGGCACCCUAGAGACACAACAAUUGAUCGUCUGAUCUUUUAGCCGUGUGCGGUGCCCCCCUCCACCAUAGUCCACCUCGAUAAUACUGUAGCAGUGCUUAGGCAAAGCCCUGCGUCGGUAGAACAUCAUCAUCAUCACCACGCCGUCGUGCUGACAAAACUCUCCCUCAACACUCGGCUGGAUCGGAGUUCGAGGGACGUCAUCGGGCUGAACGUGUGCUGAACUCGGAGGUGCCGUACGUUCGGUACUUGAUCGGUCGGAUCGUGAAGACGUACGACUACAUCAACCGCGUUGUGCUAACGCUUCCGCUUUCGGUCUACGAGGGUACGUAGACAACACUCUCCCCUCUCGUUGCUAUGCAUCACCAUGAUCUUGCGUGUGCGUAGGAAAUUUUUUGAAAUUACUAUGUUCCCCAACAGUGGUAUCAGAGCCAGGUUUUAUGCGUUGAUGUUAUAUGCACAAGUAGAACACAAGUGAGUUGUGGGCGAUAUAAGUCAUACUGCUUACCAGCAUGUCAUACUUUGGUUCGGUGGUAUUGUUGGAUGAAGCGGCCCGGACCGACAUUACGCGUACGCUUACGCGAGACUGGUUCUUCCGACGUGCUUUGCACAGAGGUGGCUGGCGGGUGUCAGUUUCUCCAACUUUAGUUGAACCGAGUGUGGCUACGCCCGGUCCUUGCGAAGGUUAAAACAACACCAACUUGACAAACUAUCGUUGUGGUUUUGAUGCGUAGGUAAGAACGGUUCUUGCUAAGCCCAGUAGCAGCCACGUAAAACUUGCAACAACAAAGUAGAGGACGUCUAACUUGUUUUUGCAGGGCAUGUUGUGAUGUGAUAUGGUCAAGACAUGAUGCUAAAUUUUAUUGUAUGAGAUGAUCAUGUUUUGUAACCGAGUUAUCGGCAACUGGCAGGAGCCAUAUGGUUGUCGCUUUAUUGUAUGCAAUGCAAUUGCCCUGUAAUGCUUUACUUUACCACUAAGUGGUAGCGAUAGUCGUAGAAGCAUAAGAUUGGCGAGACGACAACGAUGCUAUGAUGGAGAUCAAGGUGUCACGCCGGUGACGAUGGUGAUCAUGACGGUGCAUCGAAGAUGGAGAUCACAAGCACAAGAUGAUGAUGGCCAUAUCAUAUCACUUAUAUUGAUUGCAUGUGAUGUUUAUCUUUUAUGCAUCUUAUCUUGCUUUGAUUGACGGUAGCAUUAUAAGAUGAUCCCUCACUAAAUUAUCAAAGUAUAAGUGUUCUCCCUGAGUAUGCACCGUUGCGAAAGUUCUUCAUGCUGAGACACCACGUGAUGCUCGGGUGUGAUAGGCUCUACAUUCAAAUACAACGGGUGCAAAACAGUUGCACACGCGGAAUACUCAGGUUAAGCUUGACGAGCCUAGCAUAUAACAGAUAUGGCCUCGGAACACGGAGACCGAAAGGUCGAGCGUUAAUCAUAUAGUGGAUAUGAUCAACAUAGUGAUGUUCACCGUUGAAACUACUCCAUCUCACGUGAUGAUCGGACAUGGUUUAGUUGAUAUGGAUCACGUGAUCACUUAGAGGAUUAGAGGGAUGUCUAUCUAAGUGGGAGUUCUUAAGUAAUAUGAUUAAUUGAACUUAAAUUUAUCAUGAACUUAGUACCUGAUAGUAUCUUGCUUGUCUAUGUUGAUUGUAGAUAGAUGGCCCGUGCUGUUGUUCCGUUGAAUUUUAAUGCGUUCCUUGAGAAAGCAAAGUUGAAAGAUAAUGGUAGCAAUUACACGGACUGGGUCCGUAACUUGAGGAUUAUCCUCAUUGCUGCACAUAAGAAUUACGUCCUGGGAGCACCGCUGGGUGCCAGACCUGCUGCAAGAGAAACACCAGAUGUUAUGAACGUCUGGCAGAGCAAAGCUGAUGACUACUCGAUAGUUCAGUGUGCCAUGCUUUACGGCUUAGAACCGGGUCUUCAACGACGUUUUGAACAUCAUGGAGCAUAUGAGAUGUUCCAGGAGUUGAAGUUAAUAUUUCAAGCAAAUGCCCGGAUUGAGAGAUAUGAAGUCUCCAAUAAGUUCUACAGCUGCAAGAUGGAAGAGAAUAGUUCUGUCAGUGAGCAUAUACUCGAAAUGUCGGGGUAUAACAAUCACUUGAUUCAACUGGGAGUUAAUCUUCUGGAUGAUAGCGUCAUUGACAGAAUUCUUCAAUCACUGCCACCAAGCUACAAGAGCUUCGUGAUGAACUAUAACAUGCAAGGGAUGGAUAAGACGAUUCCCGAGCUCUUCGCAAUGCUAAAGGCUGCGGAGGUAGAAAUCAAAAAGGAGCAUCAAGUGUUGAUGGUCAAUAAGACCACCAGUUUCAAGAAAAAGGGCAAAGGGAAGAAGAAGGGGAACUUCAAGAAGAACAACAAGCAAGUUGCUAUUCAGGAGAAGAAACCCAAGUCUGGACCUAAGCCUGAGACUGAGUGCUUCUACUGCAAGCAGACUGGUCACUGGAAGCGGAACUGCCCCAAGUAUUUGGCGGAUAAGAAGGAUGGCAAGGUGAACAAAGGUAUAUGUGAUAUACAUAUUAUUGAUGUGUACCUUACUAAUGCUCGCAGUAGCAGCUGGGUAUUUGAUACUGGUUCUGUUGCUAAUAUUUGCAACUCGAAGCAGGGGCUACGGAUUAAGCGAAGAUUGGCUAAGGACGAGGUGACGAUGCGCGUGGGAAAUGGUUCCAAAGUCGAUGUGAUCGCGGUCGGCACGCUACCUCUACAUCUACCUUCGGGAUUAGUUUUAGACCUGAAUAAUUGUUAUUUGGUCCCAGCGUUGAGCAUGAACAUUAUAUCUGGAUCUUGUUUGAUGCGAGACAGUUAUUCAUUUAAAUCAGAGAAUAAUGGUUGUUCUAUUUAUAUGAGUAAUAUCUUUUAUGGUCAUGCACCCUUGAAGAGUGGUCUAUUUUUGUUGAAUCUCGAUAGUGGAGAUACACAUAUUCAUAGUAUUGAAGCCAAAAGAUGCAGAGUUGAUAAUGAUAGUGCAACUUAUUUGUGGCACUGCCGUUUAGGUCAUAUCGGUGUAAAGCGCAUGAAGAAACUCCAUACUAACGGACUUUUGGAUCCACAUGAUUAUGAAUCACUUGGUACUUCCGAACCGUGCCUCAUGGGCAAGAUGACUAAAACGCCGUUCUCCAGAACUAUGGAGAGAGCAACAGAUUUGUUGGAAAUCAUACAUACAGAUGUAUGUGGUCCGAUGAAUGUUGAGGCUCGUGGCGGAUAUCGUUAUUUUCUCACCUUCACAGAUGAUUUAAGCAUAUAUGGGUAUAUCUACUUAAUGAAACAUAAGUCUGAAACAUUUGAAAAUUUCAAAGAAUUUCAGAGUGAAGUUGAAAAUCAUCGUAACAAGAAAAUAAAGUUUCUACGAUCUGAUCGUGGAGGAGAAUAUUUGAGUUAUGAGUUUGGUCUUCAUUUGAAACAAUGCGGAAUAGUUUCGCAACUCACGCCACCCGAAACACCACAGCGUAAUGGUGUGUCCGAACGUCGUAAUCGUACUUUACUAGAUAUGGUGCGAUCUAUGAUGUCUCUUACUGAUUUACCGCUAUCAUUUUGAGGUUAUGCUUUAGAGACGGCCGCAUUCACGUUAAAUAGGGCACCAUCAAAAUCCGUUGAGACGACGCCUUAUGAACUGUGGUUUGGCAAGAAACCAAAGUUGUCGUUUCUUAAAGUUUGGGGCUGCGAUGCUUAUGUGAAAAAUCUUCAACCUGAUAAGCUCGAACCCAAAUCGGAGAAAUGUGUCUUCAUAGGAUACCCAAAGGAGACUGUUGGGUACACCUUCUAUCACAGAUUCGAAGGCAAGACUUUUGUUGCAAAAUUCGGAAUCUUUCUGGAGAAGGAGUUUCUCUCGAAAGAAGUGAGUGGGAGGAAAGUGGAACUUGAUGAGGUAACUGUACCUGCUCCCUUAUUGGAAAGUAGUUCAUCGCAGAAACCAGUUUCCGCGACGCUUAUACCAAUUAGUGAGGAAGUUAAUGAUGAUGAUCAUGGAACUUCAGAUCAAGUUAUUACUGAACCUCGUAGGUCAACCAGAGUAAGAUCCGCACCAGAGUGGUAUGGUAAUCCUGUUCUGGAGGUUAUGUUACUAGACCAUGACGAACCUACGAACUAUGAAGAAGCGAUGGUGAGCCCAGAUUCUGCAAAAUGGCUUGAAGCCAUGAAAUCUGAGAUGGGAUCCAUGUAUGAGAACAAAGUGUGGACUUUGGUUGACUUGCCCGAUGAUCGGCAAGCAAUUGAGAAUAAAUGGAUCUUCAAGAAGAAGACUGACGCUGACGGUAAUGUUACUAUCUAUAAAGCUCGACUUGUUGCAAAAGGUUUUCGACAAGUUCAAGGGAUUGACUACGAUGAGACCUUCUCAUCCGUAGCGAUGCUUAAGUCUGUCCGAAUCAUGUUAGCAAUUGCCGCAUUUUAUGAUUAUGAAAUUUGGCAAAUGGAUGUCAAAACUGCAUUCCUGAAUGGAUUUCUGGAAGAAGAGUUGUAUAUGAUGCAACCGGAAGGUUUUGUCGAUCCAAAGGGAGCUAACAAAGUGUGCAAGCUCCAGCGAUCCAUUUAUGGACUGGUGCAAGCCUCUCGGAGUUGGAAUAAACGCUUUGAUAGUGUGAUCAAAGCAUUUGGUUUUGUACAGACUUUUGGAGAAGCCUGUAUUUACAAGAAAGUGAGUGGGAGCUCUGUAGCAUUUCUGAUAUUAUAUGUGGAUGACAUAUUGCUGAUUGGAAAUGAUAUAGAAUUUCUGGAUAGCAUAAAGGGAUACUUGAAUAAGAGUUUUUCAAUGAAAGACCUCGGUGAAGCUGCAUAUAUAUUAGGCAUCAAGAUCUAUAGAGAUAGAUCAAGAUGCUUAAUUGGACUUUCACAAAGCACAUACCUUGACAAAGUUUUGAAGAAGUCCAAAAUGGAUCAAGCAAAGAAAGGGUUCUUGCCUGUAUUACAAGGUGUGAAGUUGAGUAAGACUCAAUGCCCGACCACUGCAGAAGAUAGAGAGAAGAUGAAGGAUUUUCCCUAUGCUUCAGCCAUAGGCUCUAUCAUGUAUGCAAUGCUGUGUACCAGACCUGAUGUGUGCCUUGCUAUAAGUCUAGCAGGGAAGUACCAAAGUAAUCCAGGAGUGGAUCACUGGACAGCGGUCAAGAACAUCCUGAAAUACCUGAAAAGGACUAAGGAUAUGUUUCUCGUUUAUGGAGGUGACAAAGAGCUCAUCGUAAAUGGUUACGUUGAUGCAAGCUUUGACACUGAUCCGGACGAUUCUAAAUCGCAAACUGGAUACCUGUUUACAUUAAAUGGUGGAGCUGUCAGUUGGCUGGAUCUACGUGUGAAGCGGAAUACAUAGCUGCUUCGGAAGCAGCAAAUGAAGGAGUCUGGAUGAAUGAGUUCAUAUCCGAUCUAGGUGUCAUACCUAGUGCAUCGGGUUCAAUGAAAAUCUUUUGUGACAAUACUGGUGCAAUUGCCUUGGCGAAGGAAUCCAGAUUUCACAAGAGAACCAAGCACAUCAAGAGACGCUUCAAUUCCAUCCGGGAUUUAGUCCAGGUGGGAGACAUAGAAAUUUGCAAGAUACAUACGGAUCUGAAUGUUGCAUACCCGUUUACUAAGCCUCUUCCACGAGCAAAACAUGAUCAACACCAAGGCUCCAUGGGUGUUAGAAUCAUUACUGUGUAAUCUAGAUUAUUGACUCUAGUGCAAGUGGGAGACUGAAGGAAAUAUGCCCUAGAGGCAAUAAUAAAGUUAUUAUUUAUUUCCUUAUAUCAUGAUAAAUGUUUAUUAUUCAUGCUAGAAUUGUAUUAACCGGAAACAUAAUACAUGUGUGAAUACAUAGACAAACAGACUGUCACUAGUAUGCCUCUACUUGACUAGCUCGUUGAUCAAAGAUGGUUAUGUUUCCUAGCCAUAGACAUGAGUUGUCAUUUGAUUAACGGGAUCACAUCAUUAGGAGAAUGAUGUGAUUGACUUGACCCAUUCCGUCAGCUUAGCACUCGAUCGUUUAGUAUGUUGCUAUUGCUUUCUUCAUGACUUAUACAUGUUCCUAUGACUAUGAGAUUAUGCAACUCCCGUUUACCGGAGGAACACUUUGUGUGCUACCAAACGUCACAACGUAACUGGGUGAUUAUAAAGGUGCUCUACAGGUGUCUCCGAAGGUACUUGUUGGGUUGGCGUAUUUCGAGAUUAGGAUUUGUCACUCCGAUUGUCGGAGAGGUAUCUCUGGGCCCUCUCGGUAAUGCACAUCACUUAAGCCUUGCAAGCAUUGCAACUAAUGAGUUUGUUGCGGGAUGAUGUAUUACGGAAUGAGUAAAGAGACUUGCGGGUAACGAGAUUGAACUAGGUAUUGAGAUACCGACGAUCGAAUCUCGGGCAAGUAACAUACCGAUGACAAAGGGAACAACGUAUGUUGUUAUGCGGUCUGACCGAUAAAGAUCUUCGUAGAAUAUGUCAGAGCCAAUAUGAGCAUCCAGGUUCCGCUAUUGGUUAUUGACCGGAGACGUGUCUCGGUCAUGUCUACAUAGUUCUCGAACCCGUAGGAUCCGCACGCUUAAAGUUUUGAUGACAGUUAUAUUAUGAGUUUAUAUGUUUUGAUGUACCGAAGAUUGUUCGGAGUCCCGGAUGUGAUCACGGACAUGACGAGGAGUCUCGAAAUGGUCGAGACAUGAAGAUUGAUAUAUUGGAAGCCUAUGUUUGGAUAUCGAAAAUGUUUCGGGUGAAAUCGGAAUUUUACCGGAGUACCGGGAGGUUACCGGAACCCCCCGGGGGCUUAAUGGGCCAUAGUGGGCCUUAGUGGAAGAGAGGAGAGGCAGCCAGGGCAAGGCCGCGCGCCCCUCCCCCCUAGUCUCAAUAGGACAAGGAGAGGGGGGCGGCGCCCCCCUUUCCUUCCUCUCUCCCUCCUCUUUCCCCCUCCACUCCUAGUCCAACAAGGAAAAGGGAGGGAGUCCUACUCCCGGUGGGAGUAGGACUCCUCCUGGCGCACCCCUCCUGGCCGGCCGCACCUCUCCCCCUUGCUCCUUUAUAUACGGGGGCAGGGGGCACCCUAGAGACACAACAAUUGAUCGUCUGAUCUUUUAGCCGUGUGCGGUGCCCCCCUCCACCAUAGUCCACCUCGAUAAUACUGUAGCGGUGCUUAGGCGAAGCCCUGCGUCGGUAGAACAUCAUCAUCGUCACCACGCCGUCAUGCUGACGAAACUCUCCCUCAACACUCGGCUGGAUCGGAGUUCGAGGGACGUCAUCGGGCUGAACGCGUGCUGAACUCGGAGGUGCCGUACGUUCGGUACUUGAUCGGUCGGAUCGUGAAGACGUACGACUACAUCAACCGCGUUGUGCUAACGCUUCCGCUUUCGGUCUACGAGGGUACGUAGACAACACUCUCCCCUCUCGUUGCUAUGCAUCACCAUGAUCUUGCGUGUGCGUAGGAAUUUUUUUAAAAUUACUACGUUCCCCAACACAAGUAGUAUCUCUACUUGGUGUGGAAUUUUUGGCUAGCAAAGAUGGGGGGCAAGCACCACAUGUUGAAGGAUCUAUGCAAUAUAACUUCUAUGUGAAUAUGAACAAACAUAAAUCAUUACGUUGUCUUCCUUGUCCAACGUCAACAAUUUUGGCAUAUAAUAUUUUGAUGGGGGCUCACAAUCACAAAAGAUUUCCAAGAUAGUGUAUUUGCAUGUGAAAGUUCUCUUCCUUCUACUAAUCAUUCAUGAAUUGCUUGUAUGACCAAUAUUGUGAUUGUCAAGCUUCAAAAGAUUUCACUUUCUAAACCCAAUGUGAAGCUACCACUAGGCAUGAUAUAAUUUCAACUUCAUGAUUAUUCAAUUCAUUCAACAAUUUACUCAUAGGAUAUAAGUGAAGCACAAGAGUAAAUGACAAGCUACUCCAGAAAGAUAUAAGUGAAGAUCAAGCGAGUAGUUAAGUAAAUGGGUAGCUAAUUGGGGACUCUCUCUUAUUUAAAACUUUUAGAUCUAAGUAUUUUAUUAAAACAACAAGCAAAAUGAAAAUAAAAUGACAUUUCAAGGAUAGAACAACUCAUGUGAAGAAGCAAAAACUUAGGAUCAACCGAUACUAACCGAUAAUAGUUGAUGAAGAAAGGUGGGAUGCCUACCGGGGCAUCCCCAAGCUUAGAUGCUUGAGACUUCUUGAAAUAUUAUCUUGGUAUGCCUUGGGCAUCCCCAAGCUUGAGCUUUUGUGUCUCCUUAAUUACUUUUAUAUCACGUUUUCCCUAAAUCUUAAAAACUUCAUUCACACAAAACUCAACAAGAACUCGUGAGAUAAGUUAGUAUAAACCAAUGCAAAAACCUUAUCAUUCUCUACUGUAGAAAAUCACUAAAAUUAUUAUUCAACAUUGCAUACUAAAUGCCUCUGCAUAUUUAAUACUUCUAUCCUCAAAUAGAAUCAUUAAACAAGCAAACAUAUGCAAACAAUGCAAACAUAACAUCAAUCUGCCAAAACAGUACAGUCUGUAAAGAAUGCAAGAGUAUCAAUACUUCUUUAACUCCAAAAAUUAUGAAAAUUUACCACACUGUAGAAAAUUUAUCAGAGCUUACUGUGCAAAAAAUUUCAACAUUUUAUAACAUUCUGACUUUUCUAGGGAAUUUUAGCAACAGUGGUAAACUUUCUGUUUUGAAACAGCAACAUGUAUACUUGCAAAAUAAGCAUGGUGAAGGCUAUCAUUGACAUUUUUAUUGAAAUGAAAGAUGCAAAACAUUAUUCUAAAUAACAAAAAGCAAACCAAAACAAAAUAAAAUGAUGCUCCAAGCAAAACUCAUAUCAUGUGACGAAUAAAAAUAUAGCCUUAAGUGAGGUUACCGAUAAUGUUGAAGACUAAAGAGGGGAUGCCUUUCGGGGCAUCCCCAAGCUUAGUUGCUCGGAUCUUCCUUGGAUAUUAACUUGGGGGUGACUUCGGCAUCCCCAAGCUUAGGGUCUUAUCACUCCUUAUUCUCCUCAUAUCGAUAUCUCAUCCAAAACUUCAAAACUUCAAUCACACAAAACUUAACGGAACUUCGUGAGAUAGGUUAGUAUGAUAAAGAGCAAACCAUUCACUUUGGUACUGUCAAAGACAAGAUUCAUAAUUGUUCUCACACAAUGCCUACUGUAGCAUAUCAUUUCCAUAAUUUAUAUUGAGCAAUAUAAGCCAUAGAAACUAGAAAACAAGCAAACUAUGCAUGGAAAACAGAAUCUGUCAAAAACAGAACAAUCUGUAGUAAUCUGUACUCAAACCAUACUUCUGCUACUCCAAAAAUUCUGAAUAACUAGGACAACGUAGGAAAUUUGUAUAUCUAUCUUCUGUAAAAAAAUCAGAAUUUUUCCACGUUCCAGUAAAAUAUAAGAAUUUCUGCACUGGAUGCAAAAGUUUCUGUUUUUGCACAGAAUCAAGUCAACUAUCAUCCACACUAUCCCAAAGGCUUUACUUGCACUUUAUUGAAACAAAAGCUAUAAAACAUGAUUACUACAGUAUCAUAAUCAUGUGAACACACAAAAACAGUAGGUAAAAGUGUUGGGUUGUCUCCCAACAAGCGCUUUUCUUUUAUGCCUUUUAGCUAGGCAUGAUGAUUUUAAUGAUGCUCACAUAAAAGUAAAGAAUUGAAACACAAUGGGAGCAUCAUGAAACACAUGGCAAUCACAUUUAAGCCUAACCCACUUCCUAUGCAUAGGGAUUUCGUGAGCAAACAAUCUACGGGAGCAAAAAUCAACUAGCAUAGAAAGGCAAAACAAGCAUAACUUCAAUAUUUUCAACACAUAGAGAGGAAACUCGAUAUUAUUGCAAUACCUACAAGAAAAUGUUCCUCUCUCAUAAUAAUUUUCAGUAGCAUCAUGAAUGAAUUCAACAAUAUAGUUAUCAAAUAAAUCAUUCUUUUCAUGAUGUAUAAGCAUAGAAAAUUUGUUACUCUCCACAUAAGCAAAUUUAUUCUCAUCAAUAGUAGUGGGAGCAAACUGAACAAAAUAACUAUCAUGGGAGUGAAAAUUAAAAUCAUGAUGACAAGUUUCAUGGUUAUCAUUAUUCUUUAUAGCAUACAUGUCAUCACCAUAAUCAUCAUAGAUAGCAACUUUGUUAUCAUAGUCAAUUCAAGCCUCAUCCAAAAUGGUGGAUUCAUCACUAAAUAAAGUCAUGACCUCUCCGAAUCCACUUUCAUCAUUAUAAUCAUCAUAAAUAGGAGGCAUGCAAUCAUUAUAACAAAUUUGCAUAUCAAAUCUUGGGGGACUAAAAAUAUCAUCUUCAUCAAAUAUAGCAUCCCCAAGUGUAUGGCUUUGCAUAUCGUUAGCAUCAUGGAUAUUCAAAGAGUUCAUACCAACAACUUUGCAAUCAUGCUCAUCAUUUAUACCAAACAUUAUAUUGAAUUUUUUUUCUAUCAAUUGAACACAAUUUUCCUUUCCAUCAUUUUCAUGAAAGACAUUAUAAAGAUGAAUAAUAUGAUGCAACCUCAAUUUCCUUUUUUUAUAGUUUUCUUUUACGAACCAAACUAGUGAUAAAACAAGAAACUAAAAGAUUCGAUUGCAACAUCUAAAGAUAUACCUUCAAGCACUCACCUCCCCCACAACGGCGCCAGAAAAGUGCUUCGUUGACGAGGUGUGAGUCACGCUUACCUAGCCUCCCCGGCAACGGCGCCAGAAAAGAGCUUGAUGUCUACUACGCAACUUUAUUCUUGUAGACACGUGUUGGGCCUCCAAGCGCAGAAAAUACUGUUGAAUAGUGAUGUUUUUGUUUGAGAGACACCAUAAGCAUGGGACGGCCUCACUCCUUUGCUUGUCCGCCGCUGCAGUGACUUCACCAUUAUGCUAGUCUGCCGCUGUCUAUCAGACUUUCUCGUUGGCCCCAUCCCCAUGUAUAUUCCACCUCACUCGCAACCGUGUGAGGCGUUGCCGCCAUGAAAGCUGGCAAAAUGGACAAAAAUAACCCAAAGGCAAAAGUAAGUUAAAUUAGAAAAUAAACUCUCAGCAAAACUAUUUCACAGAAAUAACCCUUUCAGGCAGCGUCCAACGCGUAUGCGCUAUGCCCCACAGUGUAGUUCCUAACGCGUAGGCGCCACUUGAAAGGGGUUAGAUUUGCGAAAUACUUUUGUCAAGAGUUUAUUUUUUAAAUUUGUUUCGUCUUUGGAUUAUUUUUGUCCAUUUUGCCAUGAAAACCUAGCUGCCGCAUUGGGGAAAUAUCUGGUACUCCCACCCCUAGGAUGCUCCCAGGGCUCCAAAACUCUGUAGCACAUUGACGCAACAUCAAAGUAUGUUGUCAAAAAAUUUAAAACGUAGCUUGAGAAACAUAAAUGAAAAUUUUGACAGUAAAUAGUAUGCAAUUUAUGUUGGGCUUUAGAUUAGGCCCAUUAUUACUGAUGUCCAUUUUGUCAUUUUUGUAUCUCGAGCAAUGUUUUAAAUUUUGAUUUGAAUUUUUCUAACAUCAUACAUUGAUGUUGUGCAAUGUGCUGGAUUUUUUUCAGAAUAUUUUACCAUUUUAAAAUGUGCUACCGAGUUUGGAGCACCGGGAACACCCUAGAGAUGGAAGUACUAGAUAUUUCCCCGUGCCGCAUUGGUGACGGCAGAUUAGUGGUGCAUCCGGAGAUGACCAUUGUUUGUGGAUCUGGCGGUGACGGUAUCGGUAUUGUGCCGGUGGCGCUGGACAUGGCGGCGGACAUGUUUCGCAUCACAAAGAUUAUGAAAUUAUAAAGGGCUUGCACUUCGGGUACCUCGGAACAAAUGACGACGGAAAUUAGAUAAAGGGUAACUGUCGUGCACAGUUUUAAUCCGUCUGUAUAAUUUUUUCUAACUCGCCAAGCGAGGCCUUAAUCUCGCCGCUUUGUCGGUUCCAUCCACAGAUAUAUACGGUAAGAAAGUAGGAAACGACACACCUGAUACGGACAGUCUGAACAGUUAGCCGCCGUGCCCAAGAAAGUAGGAAACCUACCUCGGAGUCUCAUUCGCUCGGAUGAUCAGAAAUGUCUGCACCUCGACUAUCGAAUUAUCGAUGGAAGCUCCAUGACAAAAUUUCAUUCACUAAAACAAGGAAGAAGCGGCUGUUUAAAACUAUUUACCGCACACGCAAACAGAAACUGUGAUGGAUGCACUACGGUUUAACCGCCCAACUAACCAUCUUUGGGUUACAAAACCGAGGAAACGAGGCUGAGUUAACAUCCCCAGUUUAACCAACAUGCAUAGCAAUUGCUGUUCGUCGGGCUCUAUAUAAACACGAUGGAUCAACCAAUAUCCUCACAACCACAAAUAUAAUUGCAGCUGAUUUGCAAGCAGCCUGACAGACAUGGCUAACAUGAAGCUACUAGCCGUGCUUGCUCUCGUGCAGCUCCUGUCACGCCUCCACGUCCAUCGCGUCUCCGCGUCCGUGGACAUGCCGACAGCGACCAGCGGCGGCAGCUGCCACGUUAGUGGAUACCUGCCGGGCCAAUCCGGCAACUGCAACCCGGAUCACGGCUCCACCUGCUGCGUCAACGGACACCGGUACCCGCAGUACAAGUGCUCGCCCCCUGUGUUGGCUGAGACCCCGGCGAUCCUGACUAUAAACAGCUUCGAAGAAGGUGGAGAUGGGGGCGGCAAAUCAUUCUGCGACAACCGCUACCACAAGGACAGCGAGCUGGUGGUGGCGCUGUCCACGGGAUGGCUCCGCCUGGACGGCACGAACAGGUGCAACAAGAUGAUCCGUAUCAAUGGGAACGGGCAGUCCGUGACGGCCAAGGUCGUUGACGAGUGCGACUCGGUGUACGGCUGCGACAAGGAGCACAACUUCGAGCCGCCGUGCCCAAACAACGACGUGGACGCGUCGCCGGCCGUUUGGAAGGCUCUGGGCCUCAACGGGAACAUUGGAGAGUUCAAGGUCACUUGGUCUGAUGUGUGAGCACAAAUAUGUACGGGACAGUUCGCUCCUUAGUCCUCACUUGUUAUAUUAUAUGCAGCUGCCGUAGGGGUGUGUGCGCGCGCGCAGUGCUACCGUUGGUGGCGCGGAGUUGCUGCUAUUUAAAUAAGUCACUGUUCACAUGUACUCGUAUUUGCUAUUUUCCCAAGUUUAUGUAUUUGCCUUGUUUGGGUGAUAUAUUUUGCUCCUUCCAUUCACAAAUAUAAGCUGUUUUCAGAUAUUUCAUUCAGUAUAGAAUACAUACAGAUUAAAAUGAAUGAAUAAACACACUAAAAUGUGUCUACAUACAUCUGAUUCAGAAAAAAAUAUAUUAAAACAUCUUAUACUCAUUAAUUGGCCCUUAAACCCUCCACCUCCAUCGACGGGUUUCACACCCUAAGUGGCUAAAAGUUAGUAGAGGGCUUCGUCUUCAUUGACAUGCAUUAUACUAAUGAUAGUCAUGUGUUUCUAGGGCAUAGUUUUAAAUACCGAACCAUGCAAAAUAGUGUUCAGCUCUUCAAAUAAGCUAUAGCCGGCUAUUUCAUAAUUUUAUUAGACAAUUGUACAUAAAUCCAGUUAGCGGUAGCGUGCUCAAACUGCUACAGCGGGCUAUAUCCAGCUAUUUAAAACUCUGAUCACCGGUGAGUUUCUAGGUAUUAAGAAAAUAGAAUAUUUCCAAAACUAUACAUUAAGAAAAAGUGAAAAAUAAAAAAUAUGUUAAAAACCAUAAAAGAAAAACGAACAAAAAAUAAAAUGGAAAAAGAACAAUAAAGGCAAAAAGAAUAAGAAAAGCCUCGAACUCUCGCAUAGGUCGGCCAAGGCACGCAGACCCCUGCACACGUAGUAAACACUAGCACCGAAGACAUGCGGCGCACACCGCGCCCGUGACUUAUUCGAAAGAUGUUUUCAUAUUCUGCACCCAUGCAUGGUGGGAGGGGAUCAUAUUUUGCACCAGAAAACAAAAGAAGCCAGGAAUAAGAAUAGUUAGAAAACAUAAAAAAAAAAGCUGGCUGCAAUCCCUUCGAUGGUCCAUAUUUUGGCUGUGUUCGGCAGCCCUCCACUCCUCGGUCACCGAGCGGAGCGGGCGGAGCAUCCUUUUAGCCGCUCCAUAAAUUAGAACUAGCUGC